rnacentral:lncRNA from 1 species
GUUUAUUCAAUGUGUGGUCACCUCAUUACAAUCUCUAGGACAGUAGAUAACCUGAAAAAUUCAGAAUAAGGAAAAUUGGUGCUUCUCAGAAUAAAAACUCCUCCCAGCGUGAGGUUCUACUUGUAACUGAAGCUUCAGGUAAGACUAAAUAUAUCUUCUAAGACUGUGCACAUCUCCCUCUGUCAGUUUGGAUCAUAAUCAGUCCAUGGCUUCAGAUAACUCAUGUCGGCAAUCAUGUAAAAAAAAAACUCUCGCAAACCUCGUCGAUAUCUCCAACCCCUGAGUGCAAUUGCUCCUUGUGCCACACCCGGUGCUCGCCGUCGAUGAGCAUCAGAAGCACCUGGCCUUCCGGCCUCAACACCCUGGUCUUACGUCUACCAUCCUUCAUUUCAGCUAGCUAUUCUCAGUGACAUGCUUACUCCUCUUGGAUUUUAUUCCAUGAUAAGUUUUUUUUUUAGUAACAUUCCAUGAUAAGUAUGUAUUGGAAGUUGAAAUGCCAGCUUUCGUGGAGACAGCCCAUUUGAUUUUAUUUUUUUUGAGGGGUGGAGACAGCCCAUUUGAUGAAAUAGACAUUCUGUGCCAGAGAGAUCAUUUUUCUAAUGAAGUGGGCUUGAGCACCGGAAUCAGGCCCACGACCUUGCACCAGCUGCACCAGGGCGCUCUUGGUUAGUUUGUUUAGUACCACCUCGCCAGCGAGAGGAGGCAGGGGAGGGGAGCCUGCUAUAUAAUGACCCCUCGGUGCAACCUUGCAACAUACUUACCUGGACGGGGUCGACGGCUGAUCAAGAAGAGUCGUGGCCUAGGCUAGUGGUCCACAUUGCACUUGGUGGAUGCGCUGGCCUACCAUCUCCCCAAGUGGGAGAGUGGAUGUCAUAAUUUGUGGUAGAGGGGGUACGCGUUCGCGCGGCCCCUGCCAAUUCUCUUAAUUAAAUUUUGUCCUUCCUACUUUAGUGGUUCUUUCUGCUGAAUUCACGUUCAGUUUCAAUUACUUCAUCAUGGCCUUGCAGAGUCAGCUUAUAUGGUGUUUAAAAUUGCUGACAGGUCACUCAAACCAGUGUGAACGUUUAGAAAUAGACACUGUGAUGGGACACAUAUGCAGCAUUACCUGAAGUUGAUGUUCAAGUGGCCUUUACAGUCUAUACUUUUAACAAAAUAGCAAACCUUGUACUUUACAGGCUCCAAAAUGGUACUCCAUACUAUGGCAGCAAUGUCAGGAUUUCUUUGAAGCUCUGAGAGUCAGUGUAGCUGCACGCUGUACUGAGGCACCAAGAAUUUUACAAACACAGAUACUCUACAUCUGAAUGUACAAGGUACAACGUAACGAUGACUAUAUUAUCUAUGUGUACUUUAAACUGUUAUAAGCAUCUCUUGGUAAGGUAUCCCACCAUGCAUUUGGGAUUCAGUGUUAACUAUAAUUCUUGCAUCAACGACCGGUUCUGCGAAUCCGAAUUCCAACCGGUUACAGUCUCCUCAAUGCAGCAAAGAAGACAAAAUUGGUAGUAGAGCUAGAGAAUCAGUGGCCGUUCUGGAUAGACCAUUAUACCUUACUCGUAGGGUUCGACCGAGAAAUCUGGCUCGUCCGGCUUCUUUAGCGUCGGCAACUCUUUUAUGGCCUUGCCCUUUCCUGUUCCUAGCCAUGACUUUACCGGCCACCAUUCUUAUUUCUUAGAAAGAUAUUCCUCAUGGGUGGAGGAACAUCUUCACCAUCCGAGUCUUCUGAUCUCAUGGACGGGCUGCAGGGUUCAGGGUAUCAUAUCAUCAAUUAGACUAGCAUAGCAAAAUUAACAGAGAACCCCAACGUAUAUACUCAAAGGAACUCUUAUCUUGUCAGUCCAACAGCUGAGUAGUGUAACCUUCCUUCCAGCUGACCAAGCUUUCAUUUCCAAAGUGAGCUAUACUAGCUUAGGCACACACACAUAUACGCUACCUGUUAUGCAAGUCUGCUUUGAAAAGCACAUUGGCACAACUCAUCUUGCAGCAGUGUUCCUACAAGUUAGUACAAACAUUUGACCGUGGAUGAACUUCAUAUGAAAAACGCACUAGUUUGUGCACAGCAAGAUUGCAUUCCUUCGUACAUAACUAUUACUACUGCACAAUCUGAAAAACAUCAAAAUUAACCAGAGAGGAGAGAACUGAAUAUAUCUUCUAAGACUGCGCACAUCUCCCUCUGUCAGUUUGGAUCAUUAUCAGCACAUACCCUUACCUUGUUCUUCCUUUCUUGGGUCCUGGGGGCUCUUGCAGACCUCGCCGAUAUCGCCAAUCCCUGGGUGCAAUUGCUCCUUGUGCCACACCCGUUGCUUGCCCGUCGAUGGGCAUCACAAGCACCUGGUCUUGUCUUCCGGCCCCAACACCCUCCGGUGGUGCUCCCCGUGCGGCCAUGCCGGCCUUUCACACCCUUUGUUUCCACCGCUGUAUUUUUUUCUUUUUUGAGAAGAAUUUCCACCGCUGCUUUUUUUUUAGAUUUUUUUAGGGGUCCUUUUUUUUAGUGGUGCUCAUUUUAGAUGAAUUUCCACCGCUGCUAUGACGGCAGAAGUUGCAGCCCGAUCCAUCUAAGCCGCAGUGGAUCAGGAGAAGCCGUGAUGCUGGGGUAGUGUGUGUGGACGUCCACGAAGAUGAUUUAUGUGGGCUCGUGGGCGCCGCGGAGACAGCCCAUUAAUGGCAGAGAACCGGGCCUGAGCACCGAGAGCCCCAUCAGAAUCAGGCCCACGACCUUGCACCAGCUGCACCACCAGGGCGCUCUUAGUUAGUUUGCUUAGUACCACCUCGCCAAUGAGAGGAGGCAGGGGUGGGGGAGGCUGCUAUAUAACGAUCCCUCGGUGCACCCUUGCAACAUACUUACCUGGACGGGGUCGACGGCUGAUCAAAAAGAGUUGUGGUCUAGGCUAGUGGUCCACAUUGCACUUGGUGGAUGCGCUGGCCUACCAUCUCUCCAAGUAGGAGAAUGGACGUCGUAAUUUGUGAUAGAGGGGGUACGUGUUCGCGCGGCCCCUGCCAAUUCGCUAAAUCAAAAUUUUGUCCUUCAAUGCUCAACAAUCCGUAGCCUUCUGCUAAAUUCCUGUUAAGUUACAUCAACCUGGCUUUGCAGAAUCAGCAUGUAUCAAAUUGCUAGCCGCCAAGAAAAAUUUGAUGGCAGGUCACUCCAUUUCAAAUUGCUAGCCGCCAAAAUAAUAAUUUGAUGGCAGGUCACUCCAUCUAGUGUGUGACAGUUUACUCCAGCCCAAACAAAUGGAAGUAGACAGUGUGAAGGGGGAUAUGCAACAAUUACAUGAUACUAGCAGGCGGAGGCGUGGCGCCACGCCGCGCCUGUGUUUAAGUCCAUCGUUGAUUAUUUUGUGUCUUAAUUCAUUGUUACUUGUUAUUGGGAUGAUAGGGUAGAUAAAUAUUACAACAACAUAUUUGGUAAGUUUCAUUUAGUAGAUCAAUGGAUAUGGUGGCAUACAUGGUCGAUGGGCAUCUUUUAUCCGUAUUAUUCUUUUGGCUAAUGAUCCUUAAAUAUUUUCUACUCAUGACAAUAACCUUUUUUAUGUCUAGCUUGAACACAUUCUUGGUUACAAAGGAAGCAAAACGACAUAUCUACAUACCAAGUCCAUGACAUAGAAAUUCGGUUGAACUGAGCAUCAAAAUAUUCUUCUCCAUAUACCAAAGAGAACCCCCGCAAAAAAAAUAUAGCAAAGAGUAGUAAGUGGCCAUACAUAAUUACCAUAUCUGCUUCAUUCAAACAGGAUUAUUUACAUGAUAGCAAUAUGUGUCAUGUACUCAUGUAGAACAGCAACAGCCUAUACAUAAACUCACUGAAGUUGGGCCAACUAAAAGAAGUAAAAAAGGAAACGACCAUGGCGAAACCACUGGAUACUCUUCACUGACCAUUUCAUCAGCACAUCUAGUAGUUUUCCCCUAUCAUCAAGAACAUGAAUAGCGUCACAAUGAUUCAGACACUAUUCAUUCUACUGGGUCUAGGCCGGAGGUUGUAGGGAAAGGAGGGAGCUGGUCGUGGACGAACUCGCGGCCGCCGGCGGCUGGGCGCCGUCGUGCGCGAGGAGGCGGCGGCUAAGAGGAAGAUGCGCAGGGAAGGAGGUGGCUAGGGUUAGUUCUCCCGGCUCCCUAAGGAAGCCGAGCAAAUAUGAUUGUUUUUUUUGCCUGAUUAGAUUGAUACAUCUCCUCUCCUUAUAUAGAGACGUUUACUUGACUCCCAAGCCCCUAAUAACGAUAAUUGGGCUAAGCCCCUAAUAACGAUAAGAUAGACUGGGCCACAACUAACUGGGCUAAGCCUCUAACAUGCCGGUCAUACACUAGUAGAAAAACACCUAAUAGUCCCGGUUCGUAAGGGCCUUUAGUCCCGGUUCAUGAACCGGGACUAAUGGGUCGUUACUAAUACCUCCACCCAUUAGUCCCGGUUCAAACACAAACCGGGACCAAUGUGCCUACACGUGGCCCUGUGCGCCGAGCCCAGUCAGGGGGCCNNNNNNNNNNNNNNNNNNNNNNNNNNNNNNNNNNNNNNNNNNNNNNNNNNNNNNNNNNNNNNNNNNNNNNNNNNNNNNNNNNNNNNNNNNNNNNNNNNNNNNNNNNNNNNNNNNNNNNNNNNNNNNNNNNNNNNNNNNNNNNNNNNNNNNNNNNNNNNNNNNNNNNNNNNNNNNNNNNNNNNNNNNNNNNNNNNNNNNNNNNNNNNNNNNNNNNNNNNNNNNNNNNNNNNNNNNNNGGGGGGUUAAUUUAGGUGUUUCAUAUAUUGUGUUAGCUAGCUAAUUAAUAGAGAGAAGUGUCCUCUCUUAUGUCCGUGCUUGGUCGACGCUACGUACUAUAUAUACAUAAGUGAUCGAAAGAACCAUUCAGUACAGAAGUUCGUCAUGCAUACCGAGAGAAGUGAUCGAUUGACCUCUCCUUCUCCGAGAGAUUGGUCGAACAACAAGUUUUCGUAUAUCAUGUAUCUGACGCUACUAGCUACAUACAUGUACAAUAUGUAUAAGAUCUCUUAAUUACAAUCCCCUGGCAAUUGAAAUCAAUUUCCACAUGGUAUUCUCCGGCUUUAUUGAUGACGUGGUCAAGAAAGAAUCCGGCCAAUUCCUCUUGAAUUCCUUUCAUGCGAUCUGGUUCUAGGAGUUCAUUCUGCAUCUGCCACGUCUAAUUUGAAGAAGGGGGUUAAUUAAUACAUAUAUAUGAAUGAAACUCAACAGAAAUGACGGUGUAAUAAAAUGAAAUUAUGAAUAUUAUUGCUUACGUACUUCAUAUUGUCUUUGAGAGUAGCCCUGCUUGUUUUUCAAAGUCGCGUUGUGGAUGAACUCGCACACGUAGUAUCCACAGAAAUCAUUUCCUUCUUCCUGCCACAAGCACUUUACGAGAAAUAGAGGUCAAUCAAACUGAUAAUGAAGCAUUAUAAAUGGCAUUGAUGAAAGUAUAGCUAUAGAAUCAACGGGAGAUGCGCGCAACUACCUAGCCAGUAGUACUUACUUUCGGGUAUGUAUAUCGCAGCUCCUUCGGCAGUCCCGGAGCUUGUGCGGUGAACUGUUUCCAAACCCUGCAAGACAAAGAAAAUAAUUAUUAUUACUUGAGAUAUCAGGAAAUGAACAAAAAGUUGCCGAUAUGGUGCGAUAAUGAUCGAUUGAACUUACCUGCUGAGCAUUUCAGUCAUGUCCGCAUAGGACUUGCGAUCUUUCCGUCUCGAGUCUAAGACGGUUACUAGUCCACGCUCAAGCUUAAUCUCCAGAAGAAUAUAGUGGUACUGCGCACGCAUGCAUAACUCAUCAAUUACAUUACUAUAACCUCGCUCGAGUAAUAAGGGAAACCGAAUAUGCACACGACAGUAACACUCACUUGCCGUUGUAAGGAAAGAGUAUGAUAUCUUUGUUUUGAUUUUUGAUCAACGAUUGUAGCACGUUGUCCUCGGCCUCUUUGAUGUCCUUUUUAACCAGAAAUUCAUCUAUGAUAUUUGUGUUAAUGAACCCAAUAUCAUAAAUUUCUUGUUUUUUGCACUUGACGAUCUUCAAUCUGCAUAAUAUAUUGAGGAUAAUUAAUUAUAAAUACAUGAAAUGAAAGAGCCGAGCUAUAUAUAGAGACUUAAUGACAGAAAUAGUACUUACAGACAGUAGCAAAAGACCAUUAGUUUAUCGAGGGCCUUUUGAUUGAAGAACGCGAAGAACUCAUCAAAUGGAACAGUCAACAGAUCAUUUGCAAUGAGAUCGUGCUCCUCUUUAAUAUGCAGAUACAAAGCAUUCGUACCCUCAGACUCUCUGCAGGUUUCCAUGUACCAAUUAUGGAAGCUUCGCAUCAUUGUUGUCAGAGAUUUUUCAUCUUUGAUGAGAGGCUUCCCGUACUCGUAUCUGUGUUCGUCCACCUCCAAGAAAUCAGGAAGUGCAUCGUCAGGCAGGUAAUCUUCAAGAUUGCCAUAACCGGCCACCGUCCCCGGAGCAUUAGACACAUUGAGCGGGGGGCACGAUUGCUGUGCUUGUUUGCCGAGCUGGGCAAUUUUUCCCCCUUUGCUCGUUCUUUUGACCUUUUAGCUCUGACAGUAGUUCCCGACCGCUGGGCUUGGAGAUAUGUCUGUUCAGUAAUGCGCUCAUAGUUGGUUCUCGGCGGAGACUUUGGUGGUUUCCUCAGGGCAUCGAUAGUGCGCUUUGCUUUCACCGGAUCUACCUUCUCCUCCGGAGGUGGAUGUCUCUUUGCUUUCACCGCUUCAAAGAACUCCUUCACGUGGGUCCGCACAAUCGUAUCGUUUUCCUUCUCGGACCUCUCGUACGGUAACUUCUCUAGAGGCUUGAGAGAUGGACCGUAUUUGUAUUGCCUCCCGCCUCUGGUUGUGCUGCUAGACGCCGGAGCAGACGGAACGGCUGUGGCGUCUGUCUUCUUUCGUGCUUGCUUACAAGGCGGAGGAGAAGGAGUACGACGCGCCAGAGCAGCCGGGGCGGCGGCGGGUCUCUUCCGCCCUUGCUGGCGAGACGGAGAAGGAGGAGGCUGUUGGCUGCUCGGGACCACCGGUGCAGGCGGAGAAGGAGGCGGAGUGCCGCCAUGCGCCGGAGAAGGAGGCGGAGUGCCGCCACGCGUGCCCUGAUCGUCACUCGCCGGAGGAGGAGGCGGUGGAGGAGGCGGAGUGCCCUAACUCGCCGGAGGAGGAGGAGGAGGCGGAGGCGUCCAGUUCAGAAGGUUGAUGAGCUCCUUCCGCCAUAGGCAUGGAGUCUUCAGAGCACAACCCAGCCUAGUCUCCCCUUCACCGGUAGGGUGCUCAAACGGGAGGUCCUCAAAUCCCUCCGUUAUUUCAUCCACCAUCACCUUAGCAUAUCCUUCUGGAAUUGGCUGGCAGUGAUAAGUUGUGCCGGGUCCACUAGGAUAAACUUGGCCAACAGCCGCCUUGACCUUCAAAUUCAUCCAUCGCGCCAUAAUGUGGCAAUUUUGAGACUCCAUGAUACCAUCCACGGGAUAGCUGGCAGGAGCCAUCAAGACAUGCUCCGGCUGAAGCAGCUCGGUGGAAGCCAUGCUGCUUCUCCGCUGAGAUGGCGGGGUAGCUUCGGGGGAAGCUUCGGCAGGUCGUUUGCUGCGAUCUGCUACUUCUCGUUCCUCUUCUCGAUCCUCUAGCCCCAUUACCCUUUCGUGCAGCGCCUGCAGUUUGUCCUGCUCCAGUUUCUUCCUCCUCUCGUGGGUUUUGUAACCCCCUGCGUCCGGAAAACCAACCUUCCACGGAAUGGAGCCUGGCGUGCCUCGUGUCCGUCCAGGGUGCUCAGGAUUCCCAAGGACCAUUGUGAGCUCGUCCUUCUCCCUGUUUAGAAGGAACGUCCCUCGCUGCGCUGCAUCGAUAUAGUGUCGAAGGUUUUUGACUGGUAUUUCCAGUUUCUCGGACGUCCACUGGCACAACCCUGUUACAGGGUCCAAGGUUCCGCCAGCUCCGAAGAACCAAGUCCGGCAACGGUCUGGCCAGUACAUUGUCUCUGGUUCGAUCCCUUUUUGAAGCAGAUCAUGCUCAGCCUUGGACCACUUAGGCCGGGCUUUGAGGUAGCCACCUGACCCCGUGCGAUGGUGAAGCUUCUUCUUCACAACAUUUUUCUUGUUUGUCUCCGACAUCUUCUUACUCUUUUUCGAUGUCUUGUGGGGCACAAAUGUGGGCCAGUGAUCUUUGAUCUUCUCAUAUUUGCCGAUGAAUUCUGGUGUCUUUUUUUUCCGACAAACUGGUUCAGCUCUUUCCUCCACCUCCUCAUUAGGGUUGCCAUCUUCUUAAGAGCACAAGACUUGAUUAAUUGCUCUUUAACUGGCUUCUCCGGAUCCUCCUCUGGCGGUAGGGUGAAAUUUGCCUUCAGCUCAGUCCAAAGAUAUUCUUUCUGCAUAUCAUUGACAUAAGACACCUCAGGGUCUUCCUCCUUAGGCUUAUACCAUUGCUGGAUGCUGAUCGGGAUCUUCUCCCUAACAAGAACCCCGCACUGAGCAGAAAAUGCCUUCCUUGUCCGGCUGGGUUCAAUCGGUUCGCCGUCGGGCGCGAUUUCCAUGAUCUCAAACUUUUCAUCCGAGCUCAAUUUUUUCUUCGGGCCUCGUCUCCUUACCGAAGUUGUGCUCGAUCCAGAGGGCUAGAAAUUAUAAGGAAGAAAGACGAGAGUAAUUAAUAUGUGUACAUAUACCAAAACAAUGGAAGCAUCAAUUAACUAGUCAGCACGGGCUUAACUAAUAUAUAUAUACCUGGCCGGGCUCGGUUCGGUCACCGGAGCAGUCAGCACGGUCUCCUUCUUGUACCUCCAUUGUGUCACCGGAGCCAUCAUGAACAUAGUCCUCUUCUUGUACCGGCAUUAAUGGGCCGAAGCCAUCAUGAACAUAGCCCUCUUCUUCACCCAGUUCUUCCAGCUGACCAACGGUGUCGAGGAGAAAUGACGCAACUUCAUCCCUUCCAUUUGCGAUUAUGUCCCCCAAUAUCGCUUCUGUUUCUUCGUCUUGGGAGUGCUCCAUAGUUUCUGCAAAUAUUUACAACAUGUCAAUUAUUAUUCAAACAUGGUACAGAUGGAUAUAUAUAUAUAUAUAUAUUAUAUAUAUAUAUAUUAUAUAUAUAUAUUAGUGGCAAACGUAGAACUAGCUAGCUAAUCACAAUAAGGAAUCAUGUUAGUGGCCUCGACGCUGCUUCUCUAGGGUUUGGGGUCGCCUCGACACAACAACGCUUCAAGGGUUUGGGGUGGCCUCGACGACAACGCUCUUUUAACUUGGUAAAUUUGGGUGGCCUCAAGAAAGUUAAUUUGUCGGGUAGGGGCACGGCGGGAGGGGGUAGGAGACCAACAUCGUUUUCUCUCUAGGGUUUGGGUGUCCUCGAGAGUUUUGGUCGAGCGAGAGGGCCGAGGAGGGGUGCUGCUGUUGUAUAAGUUAUCACGGUCGAGAGGGGGUAUAUAUAUCGACCGCCCCGCAUGUCGAAGUUAUCUCGAGGGGGUUAUAUCGACAACGACGCGACAACGACGAGAAAGGAAAAUAAUUAAGGAAAAGGAAGAAAAGAGGAAGAAGGAAGAAUGAAGAAGAAGAAGAAGGAAAAAAAAGAGGAGAAGAAGAAAGGAAUAGAGGAGAAGAAGAAAAAAUAGAAAAAUUUCNNNNNNNNNNNNNNNNNNNNNNNNNNNNNNNNNNNNNNNNNNNNNNNNNNNNNNNNNNNNNNNNNNNNNNNNNNNNNNNNNNNNNNNNNNNNNNNNNNNNNNNNNNNNNNNNNNNNNNNNNNNNNNNNNNNNNNNNNNNNNNNNNNNNNNNNNNNNNNNNNNNNNNNNNNNNNNNNNNNNNNNNNNNNNNNNNNNNNNNNNNNNNNNNNNNNNNNNNNNNNNNNNNNNNNNNNNNNNNNNNNNNNNNNNNNNNNNNNNNNNNNNNNNNNNNNNNNNNNNNNNNNNNNNNNNNNNNNNNNNNNNNNNNNNNNNNNNNNNNNNNNNNNNNNNNNNNNNNNNNNNNNNNNNNNNNNNNNNNNNNNNNNNNNNNNNNNNNNNNNNNNNNNNNNNNNNNNNNNNNNNNNNNNNNNNNNNNNNNNNNNNNNNNNNNNNNNNNNNNNNNNNNNNNNNNNNNNNNNNNNNNNNNNNNNNNNNNNNNNNNNNNNNNNNNNNNNNNNNNNNNNNNNNNNNNNNNNNNNNNNNNNNNNNNNNNNNNNNNNNNNNNNNNNNNNNNNNNNNNNNNNNNNNNNNNNNNNNNNNNNNNNNNNNNNNNNNNNNNNNNNNNNNNNNNNNNNNNNNNNNNNNNNNNNNNNNNNNNNNNNNNNNNNNNNNNNNNNNNNNNNNNNNNNNNNNNNNNNNNNNNNNNNNNNNNNNNNNNNNNNNNNNNNNNNNNNNNNNNNNNNNNNNNNNNNNNNNNNNNNNNNNNNNNNNNNNNNNNNNNNNNNNNNNNNNNNNNNNNNNNNNNNNNNNNNNNNNNNNNNNNNNNNNNNNNNNNNNNNNNNNNNNNNNNNNNNNNNNNNNNNNNNNNNNNNNNNNNNNNNNNNNNNNNNNNNNNNNNNNNNNNNNNNNNNNNNNNNNNNNNNNNNNNNNNNNNNNNNNNNNNNNNNNNNNNNNNNNNNNNNNNNNNNNNNNNNNNNNNNNNNNNNNNNNNNNNNNNNNNCUCUUUUUCGGCAGCCCAAAGGGCGGGAAUCGGCGGCCUUUGGUACCGGUUGGUGGCACCAACCGGGACUAAUGCCUCCCCUUUUAGUCCCGGUUGAUGCCACCAACCAGGACCAAAGGCCCCUGUGCUGCCCGCCUCGGGGCCAAAGUUUAGUCCCACCUCGCUAGUUGAGAGGGGCGCGCAAUGGUUUAUAAGCCCCACUGCCGCACCCCUCUCGAGCUCCUCUCCACCACAGGCUUUCGGGCCUACUUGCUAUUGCUUUGCCUGAUGGGCCUUCUGGGCCUACUGCUGGCCCGAAUCCUGGCCCAUAGUAGGGUUUCAUGUCGUAUUCAGGCCGUGGGGGCCCAGUAGGAGGCAUUUUUUUGUUUUUUUGUUUUCUUUACUUAUUGUUGCUAUAUUUAUUUAUUUUUUCCAGUUUUUUUGUUUUGUUUUCUGCAUUAUUUAUUUUCUUUUGUUUUUUGCUUUAUUUUUUAAUUGUUUUUGCUUUUAAUUUUAGGAAAAUUAUAAACUUUCUGUUAGUGCCAUUAGUUUUCAAAUUUGAAAACACUUUUUUUGUUUUUUUGUUUUCUUUCUUGCNNNNNNNNNNNNNNNNNNNNNNNNNNNNNNNNNNNNNNNNNNNNNNNNNNNNNNNNNNNNNNNNNNNNNNNNNNNNNNNNNNNNNNNNNNNNNNNNNNNNNNNNNNNNNNNNNNNNNNNNNNNNNNNNNNNNNNNNNNNNNNNNNNNNNNNNNNNNNNNNNNNNNNNNNNNNNNNNNNNNNNNNNNNNNNNNNNNNNNNNNNNNNNNNNNNNNNNNNNNNNNNNNNNNNNNNNNNNNNNNNNNNNNNNNNNNNNNNNNNNNNNNNNNNNNNNNNNNNNNNNNNNNNNNNNNNNNNNNNNAAAUUAUAAACUUUCUGUUAGUGCCAUUAGUUUUCAAAUUUGAAAACACUUUUUUUGUUUUUUUUCUUUCUUGCUUUAUUUAUUUUAUUUUGUUUCUACUUACAACAAAAUACUUAUUGUUGCUAUUUUUAAUUAUUACGAGGGCCGAACCAUAAGACAUUAAAGCAUUUCAAAUGAAUUUUGAAAAAGUUGAAAGUUGGCAUGGUAUCAUAAAUUGACCCACAUAGCAUGUGCGUGUACAAAACGGACAAUGGGAUCAUACUCGUCAGUUACAAAGUUGGCAUGGUAUCACCAUAAUAGUUGCGGGAGAAAGUCUUCACUUUUUCUUCGCUUGUGUCAUUUGCUUAUUGCGCCGUAACCAUGGAUAAUCUUCAUCGUUUUAUCAGGAUGCUGGGGUCAGCCUUGACUUUGAAGGGAGGAAUUUCAUGAAACUUUUCAUAAUCUUCAGACAUGUCUGUCUUGUCCUCCACUCCCACGAUGUCCUUUUUUCCUGAAAGAACUAUGUGGCGCUUUGGCUCAUCGUAUGAUGUAUUCGCUUCCUUAUCUUUUCUCUUUCUCGGUCUGGUAGACAUGUCCUUCACAUAGAUAACCUGUGCCACAUCAUUGGCUAGGACGAACGGUUCGUCAGUGUACCCAAGAUUUUUCAGAUCCACUGUUGUCAUUCCAUAAUGUGGGUCUACCUGUACCCCGCCUCCUGACAGAUUGACCCAUUUGCAGUUAAACAAAGGGACCUUAAAAUCAUGUCCGUAGUCAAGUUCCCAUAUGUCCACUAUGUAACCAUAAUAUGUGUCCUUUCCCCUCUCGGUUGUUGCAUCAAAGCGGACACCGCUGUUUUGGUUGGUGCUCUUUUGAUCUUGGUCAAUCGUGUAAAAUGUAUUCCCGUUUAUCUCGUAUCCUUUCCAAAUCAAUACAGUCAAAGAUGGUCCCAUGGACAACAAGUACAGCUCAUCACAAACAGUGUUGUCACCUCUGAUACGUGCUUCCAACCAACUGCUGAAAGUCCUGAUGUGUUCACAUGUAAUCCAGUCGUCGCACUACUCCGGGUGUUUGGAGCGCAGACUGUUCUUGUGUUCAUCGACAUACGGGGUCACCAAGGUAGAGUUCUGUAGAACCGUGUAGUGUGCUUGAGACCAAGAAUAUCCGUCCCUGCAUAUUAUUGAGUCCCUUCCAAGUGUGCCUUUUCCAGUCAGUCUCCCCUCAUACCGCGAUUUAGGGAGACCUAUCUUCUUAAGGCCAGGAAUGAAGUCAACACAAAACCCGAUGACAUCCUCUGUUUGAUGGCCCAUGGAGAUGCUUCCUUCUAGCCUAGCGCAGUUACAGACAUAUUUCUUUAGGACUCCCAUGAACCUCUUAAAGGGGUACAUAUUGUGUAGAAAUACGGGGCCUAGAAUGAAAAUCUCGUCAACUAGAUGAACUAGGACGCGCGUCAUGAUAUUGAAGAAGGAUGGUGGGAACACCAGCUCGAAACUGACAAGACAUUGCACCACAUCACUCCUUAACCUUGGUAUGAUUUCUGGAUCGAUCACCUUCUGAGAGAUUGCAUUGAGGAAUGCACAUAGCUUCACAAUGGCUAAUCAGACGUUUUUCGGUAGAGGCCCCCUCAAUGCAACCGGAAGCAGUUGCAUCAUAAUCACGUGGCAGUCAUGCGACUUUAGGUUCUGAAACUUUUUCUCUGCCAUAUUUAUUAUUCCUUUUAUAUUAGACGAGAAGCCAGUUGGGACCUUCAUACUAAGCAGGCAUUCAAAGAAGAUUUCCUUCUCUUCUUUGGUAAGAGCAUAGUUGGCAGGACCUUCAUACUUCUUUGGAGGCAUGCCGUCUUUUCGUGCAAACGUUGUAGGUCCUCCCGUGCCUCAGGUGUAUCUUUUGUCUUCCCAUACACGCCCAAGAAGCCUAGCAGGUUCACGCAAAGGUUCUUCGUCACGUGCAUCACGUCGAUCGAAGAGCGGACCUCUAGGUCUUUCUAGUAGGGUAGGUCCCAAAAUAUAGAUUUCUUCUUCCACAUGGGUGCGUGUCCCCCAGCGUCACUCGGAAUAGCUAGUCCACCGGGACCCUUUCCAAAGAUUACGUGUAAAUCAUUGACCACAGCAAGUACGUGAUCACCGGUACGCAUGGAGGGCUUCUUCCGGUGAUCUGCCUCGCCUUUGAAAUGCUUGCCUUUCUUUCGACAUUGAUGGUUGGUCGGAAGAAAUCGACGAUGGCCCAGGUACACAUUCUUCCUGCAGCUUGCCAGGUAUAUACUAUCGGUGUCAAGUAAACAGUGCGUGCAUGCGUGGUAUCCCUUGUUUGUCUGUCCUGAAAGGUUACUGAGAGUGGGCCAAUCGUUGAUGGUCACGAACAGCAACGCCUGUAGGUUAAAUUCCUCCUGUUUGUGCGUACGUACACCGUUUCCAUUCCACAGCUGUAAAAGUUCUUCAACUAAUGGCCUUAGGUACACAUCAAUGUCGUUGCCGGGUUGCUUAGGGCCUUGGAUGAGAACUGGCAUCAUAAUGAACUUCCGCUUCAUGCACAUCCAAGGAGGAAGGUUACACAUACAUAGAGUCACGGGCCAGGUGCUGUGAUUGCUGAUCUGCUCCCCGAAAGGAUUAAUGCCAUCCGCGCUUAAAGCAAACCAUACGUUCCUUGGCUCACUUGCAAACUCAUCCCAGUACUUUCUCUCGAUUUUUCUCCACUGCGACCCGUCAGCGGGUGCUCUCAACUUCCCGUCUUUCUUACGGUCCUCACUGUGCCAUCCCAUCAACUUGGCAUGCUCUCUGUUUCUGAACAGACGUUUCAACCGUGGUAUUAUAGGAGCAUACCACAUCACCUUCGCAGGAACCCUCUUCCUGGGGGGCUCGCCGUCAACAUCACCAGGGUCAUCUCGUCUGAUCUUAUACCAUAAUGCACCGCAUACCGGGCACGCGUUCAGAUCCUUGUACGCACCGCGGAAGAGGAUGCAGCCAUUAGGGUAUGCAUGUAUCUUCUGCACCUCCAAUCCUAGAGGGCAUACGACCUUCUUUGUUGCGUAUGUACUGUCGGGCAAUUCGUUAUCCUUUGGAAGCUUCUUCUUCAAUAUUUUCAGUAGCUUCUCAAAUCCUUUGUCAGGCACAACAUUCUCUGCCUUCCACUGCAGCAAUUCCAGUACGGUACCGAGCUUUGUGUUGCCAUCUUCGCAAUUGGGGCACAACCCUUUUUUGUGGUCCUCUAACAUGCGACCGAACUUUAGCUUCUCCUUUUGACUUUCGCAUUGCGUCCUUGCAUCGACAAUGACCCGGCGGAGAUCAUCAUCAUCGGGCACAUCGUCUGGUUCCUCUUGAUAUUCAGCAGCUUCGCUCGUUGCAGCAUCAUCGUGCACAUCGUCUGGUUCCUCUUGAUGUUCAGUAGCAUCACCGUAUUCAGGGGGCACAUAGUUGUCAUCGUACUCUUCUUCUUCGCCGUCUUCCAUCAUAACCCCUAUUUCUCUGUGCCUCGUCCAAACAUUAUAGUAUGGCAUGAAACCCUUGUAAAGCAGGUGGGUGUGGAGGAUUUUCCGGUCAGAGUAAGACUUCAUAUUCCCACAUAUAGGGCAUGGACAACACAUAAACCAUUCUGCUUGUUUGCCUGAGCCACUUCGAGAAAAUCAUGCACGCCCUUAAUGUACUCGGAGGUGUGUCUUGAACCGUACAUCCAUUGCCGGUUCAUCUGCGUGCAUUAUAUAUAAUUAAGUGUGUCAAAAAUCAUUACAGAACAUCAUGGAUAGAUAAUUAAGUGACCAAAUUAAUAGAAGUUCAUCAUCACAUUAAAACCAAAGUACAUAUAUAGUUCUCAUCUAACAACAUAAAUCUCUACAGAGCAUCUAAAUUAAUUAAACCAUACACUGAAACUAUGUAAAACAUUUCAAUGUGAAAACAAAUGCGAUCAUAACUGCAACCAAUGUAACAACUGAUCCAACGGCAUAAUGAUACCAAGCCUCGGUAUGAAUGGCAUAUUUUCUAAUCUUUCUAAUCUUCAAGCGCAUUGCAUCCAUCUUGAUCUUGUGAUCAUCGACGACAUCCGCAACAUGCAACUCCAAUAUCAUCUUCUCCUCCUCAAUUUUUCUAAUUUUUUCCUUCAACAAAUUGUUUUCUUCUUCAACUAAAUUUAACCUCUCGACAAUAGGGUCGGUUGGAAUUUCCGGUUCAACAACAUCCUAGAUAAAUAAAAUCUAUGUCACGUUGGUCGGCAUAAUUGUCAUAAACAAUAAAUGAACCAAUAGUUAUGAAAAGAUAAUAUAUACCACAUCCAAAUCAUAGACAGGACGAGGGCCGACGGGGGCGGAUACCAAAACCAUCGCACUAUAUAAGAUGCAAUAAUAAAAGUAAGAAAAUUAUACAAGUAUCUAUAUAAAUAUAUAAGUAAGAAUUUUUUUCCUUUUAGAAAGAAGAUAAGAACAAGAGGCUCACCACGGUGGUGCCGGCGACGAGAUCGGCGCGGGCGAUCGACGGCGGUGAAGACGGGGACGGGACGUGAUGGACCGCUAAACCUAGACAAAUAUUGAGGAAAAUGGAGCUUGGAGGUCGAGCUUGGAGAGGAGAAAGCUUAAGUAGUGUGGCUCGGGCAUUCCAUCGAACACCUCGUGUGCAUAGGAGGUGAGCUAGAGCACCACAAAGCUCUCCCCUCGCCGGCCACGAAAAACAGAGCACUGGGAGUGCUCUGCUCGCGAGGUAGAUAUAGGCAACUAAUUGGCCCCGUUCGUGCCACGAACCGGGACUAAAGGGCAUCCUUUGGUCCCGGUUCAAGCCACCAACCGGGACCAAUGGUGGUGGGCCAGGAGCGAUGCGCAUUGGUCCCGGUUCGUCCCACCAACCGGAACCAAUAGGUCCAGCCGAACCGGGAACAAUGGCCCACGUGGCCCGGCCGGCCCCCGGGGCUCACGAACCGGGUCCAAUGCCCCCAUUGGUCCCGGUUCUGGAUUGAACCGGGACUAAUGGGCUGACCCGGCCUGGACCAUUGACCCCUUUUCUUCUAGUGAUAACACUUCUCCCCGCCUGCAAAACAGCUCGUCCUCGAGCUGGAAGGCAGGGAAGCGCUUGCGGAACUCCUCGAGGUGAUCAACCAUCGCCAAACACCUCCGCGGCAGCUGGGGCGGGCAAGUCGCCGAGCUCGGCGGUGGCAUCCUCCUCCUCAAUGUAGUCCGCAGCCUCCAGGUAGAAGAGUCGCGGGCAGACGUGGCCAGGCGCGUAGGGCUCGUCGCAGUUGAAGCACAACCCUUGGCGGCGACGCUCGAGUUGCUCGUCCGAGGAGAGCCGGCGGAACGGGCGUGCCGCAGUAGCGGCGAGGGGUGCUGUGGAAACCUGAGCAGGCCGACCCUGCGUGGGAACGUCCGGCCCGGGUGGCGGCCCAGCGGCCCGGGAGGUGAUGCCUGCUGGAUGGCCACCGCGCGGCGCUUGAAUGCGCGGGCGUAGUACAUGGCCGUCUGGAGGUCCUGGGGUCCCCGCAGCUCCACGUCCACGCGGAUAUGAUCCGGCAGACCGCCGGCAAAGAGCUCGGCCCGUUGGCGAGCCGUUACACCGGGCGCGUGGCACGCCAGGGCCUGAAAGCAGUCGGCAAAGUCCUGCACCGUGGAGGUGAAGUGGAGGCGGCCGAGUUCCGCCAGCCGGCUCCCGCGUAUCAGCGGCCCGAAGCGAAGGAGGCAUAGCUCGCAAACGCGCUCCCAUGGGGGCAUGCCGCCCUCGUCUUACUUGAGGGCGUAGUACCACGUCCGUGCGGCGCCCUGAAGGUGAUAUGAGGCGAGCCAGGUGUGUUCUGACACGAGCGUGCGUUGCCCCCAAAAGAAUUGCUCACACUGGUUGAGCCAGUUGAGGGGGUCCUCGGCGCCGUCGUAGGUGGCAAAGUCAAGCUUGGCGACGCGCGGCGGUGUCUGAGCAUGACCGUAGUGAGCGUACGGCUCGGCUGUACGGUGCAGCGAACAGGAUGUCAUCGGGCCGGUGUGCACAGGUGGUCCACUGGGAAGCGGUGGCCCGUUGAAUCCAGCGUGGAAAUCGGCGGCGCUGGAGGGCCCGCGUUCGGCUGGGAGGGCGCCGGCUGGUCCGCAGCCAUGGUGAAGACUGGCGGCGGUGACGUCCUGGCCAACCAGGCCGGAAGCUAUGACAGUGAGGGCGGGAACCACACUUGCUGAAUUGGCACGCCCGCCGGCGCGGUUGUAGUCAGCCCGGUGCUGGGCGGCGGAGGCGCAUGCAACGGCAGCUGCUGCUGCAUGGAAACGGUGGAGGCGGCGGGCGCUGCGAUGGCCGCGGCCGGCCAUUAUGGCCAGAGCGGGGCGGUGGCGGGGGCUGGCUGCAGUGGCAGCGGCCCGACCAGCGCCGCGGUGGCCCCUUGGUGUGGUGGCUGCCAGGACUGCCAGGACGGUGGCGGCGGUAGCUGCAGCUAUGGCUGCAGCAGCCCGGCGAGCGCGGCGGAGGCCGCCGGGGGCGGCGGCUGCCACGGCAGCAGCAUCGGCCGGGUGGCCAUGGUUGGUGACGCGGCCGGUGGUAGCCCGUAGGGCCCGGCCAAGUAGAGGCAUAUCCCCUGGACGGCUGUGACGAGAUUGUUGAGGACGUCGGUGAUUUCCGCCGGGGAGUAGACCAGCGGCGCGGUGGAGGGUGGUGGCGACAGACCGGUGGAGGGGGCGGCGACUGACUGGUGGAGGCGCCGGCGGUGGAGCCCAGCAGCGCGGUGGGGAAGUCCAGCGGCGCGGUGGAGAGGAUCGGCGGCGGCGCGGUGGUGGUGGGUAGCGGCGGAAUUGGUGUGGUGAAGACAUGGUCGAAACCGAGCUAUCUGAUACGAAACUGGUAGAAACUAGGGUUCUACCGGGUCUAGGCCGUAGGUUGUAGGGGAAGGAGGGAGAUGGUGUGGAUGAACUCGCGGCCGCCGGCGGCUGGGCGCCGUCGUGCGCGAGAAGGCGGCGGCUAAGAGGAAGAUGCGCAGGGAAGAAGGUGGCUAGGGUUAGUUCUCCCGGCUCCCUAAGAAAGUCGGACAAAUAUGAUUGCUUCUUUGCUUGAUUAGAUUGAUACAUCUCCUCUCCUUAUACAGAGAGGUUUACUUGACUCCCAAGCCCCUAAUAACGAUAAUUGGGGUAGGCCCCUAAUAAUGAUAAGAUAGACUGGGCCACAACUAACUGGGCUAAGCCCCUAACAUGUCGGUCAUAACAGAAGAUAGUUUGAAAAUAUGUACGAGGUCGAUGUUGGAAAAAAUUCAGGUGUUAUGACAUCUUUAUCCAAGAAAGUAGAAAAAUAUGAAUUAGUGUUCUGUGCCUCGUUUGUCUUUGAGCUGGUCGUUGUUUGUACCGAACAUGAACGACUGAUAGGGGGCAAUGGCGGAGCUAGCAUUUGACAACAGGGUGGUCCAUCCCAAUUUAUUUUGAUAACCAAUAUGAUAUGUGAACGUUCUAAGUUCUAACUAAUUAUCAAUAUCAUAUAGAAAUAGCUUAAUAUGGUCUGACAAACACACCAAAAUUUCUUUAAUAAAAAUUGUUUUUAUCUAAAGCUAACUGAUGCAGAAACAAUGUGUAAAAUUGUGUAUGUGCUAAUGUACCGGAUAGUAUAGUGCAAAAAAGCUAACCCUAAACAAGAAAUUGGGGGUAUUUUGGUUGCUCACUUGCUGCGAGACCUGUUGGUGAUUGAGUGAGCAACAACGGUGGCCACCGGCUUUGCAGUGGAGCGGAGGGCCAGACCACCGGAGGCAGGGGCGCCAGGGUCAACCACGCUGGCCAUAGGGCCGAUGCGCACGCAGGGGGGUCUGGCGCACGGCUGGAGCCGAUUGUCGGGCCGGCAGGAAGGAGAGUGAAAUGAUCUAGAUGACGACUAGAGGGAUGGGGGGGGGGGUGAAUAGGAGUUUUAAAACUUUUACGGAUUUGGCUUUAUCCUAAUGCGGAAUUAAACUAACGGAUACUUUUCAAGCACAAAUCCCAAAAAUGCUAGGCUCAACUAUGUGCACCAACAACCUAUGCUAAACAAGAUAGGCAAUUAAGCAAACUAGCAAGCACAAACUAUAUCACAAGAUACGGAAAUGAAGGAACAACUAAGCAAUUCAACUAUCACAAGAUAUAUCAAUAUGGGCAAGUAUGAAUUGCAGAAAGUAAAGGGUGUGGGUAUGAGAUAACCACAAGUGAGUCGGGGACGCGGAUUUAUCCCGAAGUUCACACUCGUGAGAGUGCUAAUCUCCGUUAGAGCGGUGCCGUAGCCAAAGCUCCGGGGCGUCACCAAGUGACUCACCGUAUUCUCCCUUUCGAGUCACCCCCAACGGAUGAGCCUCGAUUCACUCGGGAUUGGUCCUGAAGGCGACCACCACACCUUUACAAACUUCUCCGGAGCACACCACAACCACGGAAGCUUCCGGAGAAACUUUACCACCUAGGCCACUUCAACACCCUUCCCCGGAGCACACCACAAAAGGAAGCUUCCGGGGGAACCUUGGCCACAUAGGCCUCUUCACAAUCUUCUCAAUGUAUCACCAAACCGUCUAGGAGGCGAAGCCUCCAAGAGUAACAAACUCACGGGCUCUCACUCGAACAAAUCGAUGCGGGGAGCUCAAACCGAUGCAACAAAUGCAAUGCAAGGUCAAGCAACAAAUGCUCAACUCACUCUCUCAAUCUCACAAGAUGCAACUCAAGAAAGUGGGAGAUUGAAGAGAGGGGAUGCAAUGGAGGAAAUCAACAAAUGACUCCAAGAUCCAUCCACAAAUCACCCUUCACUUAGAAGGGAGAUAGGGGUUUGGGAGAGGUGGUAAGAGGCUCAAAAUGAUGUUUAGAAUGUGAAUGAACAGCCCCCAAACCGGUGGGGAGGAAGGGCUCUUUUAUAGCCAACUUCCAAAACUAGCCGUUUGGGCUCCAAUGGACACUUCCUGGACACCCCGUGCCCACGGGGGUUUAGACCCCGUGCCCACGGAGUCCCGUGCGCACGGUACAAUCCCGUGUGCACGGGGCCCCGUGCCCACGGGGGUCAAAAACCCCGUGUCCACGGGGUACCCAGAACAGCGUGCAGCACCCCACUAAAAUAGUGAUAACUUUGGCAUACGGACUCCAAAUUCCAUGAUCUUGGGCUCGUUUUGAAGCUACGGAAAAGCCCACGGUCCUCACAUAGAGAACCAACCAAUAUCGACAAUAAAUAAUGAUGCAAGUAAUGUAAAGGUUUGAGCUCUCUACAUGCGACAUGAUCAAGCUACUUGCCCGAGAGUCCCUCUUGAUAGUACGACUAUCAAACCUAUAAUCCGGUCUCCCUCCAAGCACCAUGAGACCGGCAAAACUAGGAAAACCUAGCUAAGGUAUACUUUUGCCUUGCAUAUUCAACUUGAGCUUGGUGAUGACUCCAAUGCUUGUCUCAAGUUGGAAUCCCUUUCUUGUCCACAACCACUUGGUGAAGAUGCUUGAAUUGAUUCCUCAUAGUGCAAUGAGGGAAGCCUUAACUUAAGCCCAUCUUCACAUGAGCAUUAUCAUGAUGUGGACCGCAAGCUUCAAAGCAUAUAGCCUCCUGCUUCUCAUCUUGCACUUGGACUCCUUGAACCCGAUGACCAUCACCACUUGAUGUCAUCCACACAUAGGCUACUUGAGAUCUUUCCUUUUGAUGCAAGCCCAUGAGAAACACCUAACCCACAUAGACAUACCAAACACAUAGCAUGGGUUAGGUAACAAAGCACAAUUCACAAUUACUUACCAUACCACUAGAUCACUUGAUCUCACGUGGUACAAUGUUUGUGCUUUGAGAGUUGACCACUUAGAUAUAAUCUUCGAGCUUCAUCUUGGUCAACCAACAUCUUUACUCGAAGCUCCAUCUUGGUUUCUUGAAAGCCACAAUGAACUCUUCAUUUCCCUUCAUUGCUUCAAGACUAUAUCACCAAAGACUCUUCCAUGACCAUAUCAAGUUCCACUAUGAAUAUCAUCUUGGUCACCACUUGCCCUUCUGAAAACUCCAUCACAAUCUCUUGAGAGGCAUAAUGAAUUCGUCACUCUAGUUGCUUGCUUCAAGACUUGAUCAACCGAAACCCAACACAUGAGCUCACCAUGAUCUUGUCUUGAGACCAUAACUUGAAUUCUUCUCUUUGAUUAUUCUCUCAAGCCCUUGAUCCUUAAAAGCCCUCCAUCAUAAUAUCUUGAGAGGCAUAAUGAAUUCUUCACUCUAGUUGUUUGCUUCAAGACUUGAUCAACCUAAACCCAACACAUGAGCUCACCAUGAUCUUGUCUUGAAACCAUAACUUGAAUUCUUCUCUUUGAUUACUCUCUCAAGCCUUGAUCCUCAGAAGCCCAAAUAUAUCAAUCUUUGAGAUCCUCCAAUGCACUCCAUCAUGAACAUAAUUAGAUUAGGCAUUGAAACCAAUCUUGAUGGCUUCAAUAGAAGUACCCGAAGACCAACUUGAAACCUCACUGGAUAUGGGAUCUUGAGAGACAACACCUAGGCCAAGUAAACACGGGGUAUCCAGAGAGUUGACACUCGACCCUGUGCGCACGGUACAAGCCCGUGUGCAUGGGGUAUUCAGAGAAGGAUACCAUGAGGACUUCUUCAGAUGCUUUGAUGGCAGACUUCACAAAACAACCCAAUGCACUUCAAGCAUCACUAUGGAACAUAUCUUCAUAUAAGAUUCAAUGCACUUGAUGCUCCAUAGGAAUUGUCAUUUAAUACCAAAGCAUAGGGCAAAUAUAACUUCAUAUAUAUGGACUUCAUCAUUGAUUCCGUCCAAUAUCCUUGAGGCACUAUCUUCAUAUAUAUACAUAUGGACUUCAUCCUUGAUUCCGUCCAAUAUCCUUGAGGCACUAUCUUCGUAUAUAUGGACUUCAUCCUUGAUUCCGUCCAAUAUCCUUGAGGCACUAUCUAUGGACAAAACCUUCAAAUAUAUCUCACUGAAAACAUUAGUCCAUAGAGAUUGUCAUUUAAUUACCAAAACCACACUUAGGGGCUACUUGCCCUUUCAAUCUCCCCCAUUUUGGUAAUUGACGACAAUCUGAACAAGAGGGUUUAUAUAAUGAAUUUAAAACAAGUAUGCAAUCUAUCCGAGAAUAAAUUGUAUACUUGAGGUGGUUUUGAUAGCUUCAAACAUCACAAAGAUAGUUGAUGUUAUCAAAACCAGUUGUACUAGCGUCGAAAUACUACACAAGAAUUUUAUGCUAGUAGAACCACAAUAUAUAGAGCAAACUCCCCCACAAUAUAUGCACAGGAAAUAACUUGGUAGAGUUUCCUCUAUAUACACAUCCACGCAAUGAGCAAGGACAACAAAAGUUGAUAAGCAUGAAUGACAGGAACCAACCCACUUCACCUAAACCCUCUAAAGUUCUCCCCCAUUGGCAACAAGUGCCAAAAUGGAAGAAAAAUCUAGACGGCCAAUAUAGUAUGAGUUCCUCCUUAAUUUGUGCAUUUCUCAUAUUAUGAAUGGAAUCAAAUGCACAUAUCCAGUUAUGAACAAACGAAGAAAUUCACACUAUAUUGAGCAUCCAUAGAAUGCACCAAAAUGAUAUGACAAAAGAAUCAAACAUUCAAAGGAUCCAAAGAACAUAUUUUGGACAAGGGAUAAUGGAGAUAUCCAAUAUGAUAAUCAUGCUAAGCAUGGGUCCAAAAUAUAUCCACCAACUCAUGAGUGCAAACAUAUGUGCAAAACAUACAAGCACUCACUCAACAAGUACUAAUCAUGCCAUGAUUCAACACACACAAUGUUGACUCUAACUUGAAUAAAUGCAUGAAGUAAGUACUUGUUACCAAGAGAGAAAGCAUUGGUUCAAGAGGCCCUUGAUCUAGUACGCGAACAUGAGGGACUUGAUCUUGUUCUUGGAUAGGUAUAUGAUCUCCCAUAACAUCUUGCUCUUGUGUUGGGGGUGAUGAGUUCCCUUAUGGUCGAUCCACAAGAGGGGCUCUUACUCCUUCUUCUUCUACAUGGACAAGGGGUGUUUCUUGUGGAAGAAUAUGACCAAUCCCCAUUGUACUUGUAGCUUGGGAAGGAGCCUCAUCACCUACAACACUUGAAAUAAAUUGCUCCGCAUGGAAGCCGUUAUUCUCAUCACACUCCACAUUCACCAUUUCCUCAACACAUCCCGUGGAUUUAUUGAGAAUAUAGUAAGUGUGGGAGUUUGAUGCAUAUCCAACAAAAAGACCCAAAUUUUGUAUAACCGGGUUUACAUGGUGAGAAUGAAACACUUACAACCGAACCGGGUUUUCAUUUAUCUUCUCUCUCAAAUCAAUGAAUCAACCAAGCUUGGCUCUAAUAAUUUUCCAUGGUGUCUCCACCUUCCUCAUGAAUAAGCCAAUCAUCCAAUGCUUCUCCAAUGUACCUAAAACACAUUAAGGUACAAUUUGGUCCCCAAACUUAUUGGGUCCGAAGUAGUAAGCACAACCACAAUACAUAGGGCAAACUCCACAAUAAGUAUGUGCAAAAGGAUAUGAACUUGAAUUUCAUGCACACCUUUAACCAUUAAUGAUAUUAUGGAGUUUACCCUAUAUAGAGGAUCAAGAGAGCAAGCAAGGCAUGAAGAAGUAUAUAAAUAAAUAUGCAUGCACAUGCCUACCAAGACCCAAAGAGAUAUAAUUUGGGCAAAAGAACACUUAAAAGAUGAAUACUCCAAUAAUGACAUACAUCAUUCAAGUUCUCCAAAUUAUAUCAAAGUGACGAAUCCACACAGGACCGCACACAAAGUACAACAUAUGAACUAAGCAAAAACCAAAGAGCAUAUAGGAUAUACAUUACACAUAUGCUCAAAGGCUUAUCUCACUCAAGUAGAUAAUAGAUAGUACAAGGAGUGAGAUAAGGCAAGUUGAAGCACAAGCCGAGACGAAGAUGAUCAUAAAAUUCUACCACAAGAAGAAAUACCAAUUGGUAUUUGGAAUUAACACUCGGUGGUAGAAUCCGAAGUAGCACAAGAUCAUAAUCAACAAACACCCCGUGCGCAUGGGGGUCAAAAGACCCCGUGCACACGGGGUAUCCAGGGAAUUACGCAGUACCCCGUGCGCACGGGGGUCAAAAGACCCCGUGCACACGGGGUACCCAGAGAGUUACGCAACACCCCAUGCGCACGGGGGUCAAAAGACCCCGUGCGCACGGGGUAUCCUGAACUUUUCUGGUGCAACUUUCUGGAUACCACGGCAGGCAUACAACAGAGGCAAAUAACCACCUAAAAGAGAUAAUUUCAAAUGAGCUUGACAUACCACAUAGUGACUAGAUAAUAUUGAGUAUCAAUACUAUGUGGUAUUUCUCAUAUUCACAUUUUGCGUUUGUGAUGUGCACAAAACAUAACACUCCCCCAUAAUGUGAUGAUCCACUAAUAUCUCGCAAGAGCCAAACAACAUACAAAUAAGGCUCAAGACAACAAGCAACACUAUAUGAUAUGCAAUGCAACCUACACAUGCUAGAUAACACAAAUCAAGCAUACUAGGAAGUACAACAUAUAAAUGCACAUGCUAGAUACAAAACCUAAGCAUGCAGGGGGCGAGUAACUUUCAAUGUAAGCAAUACAAAUACAAGUUACCACAAGGAGGAACACUAGAUAGAUAAUAUGAAGAUAAUCCACAUGACUUGGCUCGAACAAAUAAAUGGUGAAUAUUCUUUUCUUCAUGAACUAGCCAAAUCUCCAAUGUCCUCCACACACCUAUUGAUCAAGGUUGAGCUUGAUGGUCCCCAACCAAGUUGGGUCCUAAGAAGUUAGACACAAUAGGCUUGGCAACCCAAAUGGCCUUUUCCAUUUCCAAACCACUUUGGGCGCCAACAAACUUGGCAAACAAAUUGCCAACAACAUCCUUCCUAAGCAAAUAAUGAUCAUUGACUAGAGGAGGCUUAGGGAUGUUACCGUUGGGACAAGAUGAAGAUAUGUGUCCCUUCUCACAACAAAUAUAGCAACAUGUGCUCCCCCUUCUCUUCUUCUUUACUUUCUCAAUUUGGGGAGCAUUUCCUUGGUUCAUUAUUAGUAGUGGCCUUUCUUCAGCUUGAGGUUGACCUUGAGAUUGAACUUGAGGUUGACCUUGAGAUUGAACUUGAGGCUGCUUCCCUUGUUGCUUCACAUUUGAAGCCUUCUUAUUCAAUGGACAAGAUCUCACAUGGUGUCCAACAUUCUUGCACUUGAAGCAUGUGAUGUUGGCCGGAUUCUUGACUUGGUCUUGUUCCUUAUUCCUUUUCUCGGACUUCUUGUUGUUGGAGAUGAAACCAAGUCCACCCUUGUCAUGAGGGGAUUUUUGACCACUCAAAAUAUUGUUGAGAGUGGAAUUUCCUUCAUGACACAUUUCCAAGUCUUCAAAAUAGUGACUUGAGCCUUGAGCUCUUUGUUUUCCUCUACAAGGUUAGUAUCAACAAAAGUAAUAGAGGAAGUAGAAACUUCAUUAUUAGAGCAACAAGGCAAUGAGAGCAAUUCAUCACAAAAAUUAGCAAUAAUAUCUCUAGAUGUAUCACUAGAACUAGCACAUGUCAAUAAAGCAUUUUGAGUAGAAUUAGUGCUAAUGUCCACAUGAGGCUCACACGAUGUUACCUUAGUAAAAAUAGCCUCAUGAGCUAACUUUAGCCUUUCAUGGGAGAUUAGAAGGUCAUCAUGAGAGCCCGAGAGCUUUUCAUGACUUUCUUCUAAUCUUCCAUAAUUGCUAGUUAGCAAAGCAAGUUGAGCCCUUAGCUCAACAUUCUCCUUCAAGAUAGAUGCUUCACAAGAAGUAGAGUUAUUAGCACAAGCUGUUGGAAAUAUGCCCUAGAGGCAAUAAUAAAUUAGUUAUUAUUAUUAUAUUUCCUUGUUCAUGAUGAUCAUUUAUUAUCCAUGCUAUAAUUGUAUUGAUAGGAAACUCAGAUACAUGUGUGGAUACAUAGACAACACCAUGUCCCUAGUAAGCCUCUGAUUGACUAGCUCGUUGAUCAAUAGAUGGUUACGGUUUCCUGACCAUGGACAUUGGAUGUCGUUGAUAACGGGAUCACAUCAUUAGGAGAAUGAUGUGAUGGACAAGACCCAAUCCUAAGCCUAGCACAAAGAUCAUAGUUCGUAUGCUAAAGCUUUUCUAAUGUCAAGUAUCAUUUCCUUAGACCAUGAGACUGUGCAACUCCCGGAUACCGUAGGAAUGCUUUGGGUGCACCAAACGUCACAACGUAACUAGAUGGCUAUAAAGGUGCACUACAGGUAUCUUCGAAAGUGUCUGUUGGGUUGGCACGAAUCGAGACUGGGAUUUGUCACUCCGGUUGACGGAAAGGUAUCUCUGGGCCCACUCGGUAGGACAUCAUCAUAAUGUGCACAAUGUGACCAAGGGGUUGAUCACGGGAUGAUGUGUUACGGAACGAGUAAAGAGACUUGCCUGUAACGAGAUUGAACAAGGUAUCGGCAUACCGACGAUCGAAUCUCGGGAAAGCACAAUACCGCUAGACAAAGGGAAUUGUAUACGGGAUUGCUUGAAUCCUUGACAUCGUGGUUCAUCCGAUGAGAUCAUCAUGGAACAUGUGGGAGCCAACAUGGGUAUCUAGAUCCCGCUGUUGGUUAUUGGCCAGAGAGCUGUCUCGGUCAUGUCUGCAUGAUUCCCGAACCCGUAGGGUCUACACACUUAAGGUUCGGUGACGCUAGAGUUGUUAUGGGAAUUGGUGUGCAGUUACCGAAUGUUGUUAGGAGUCCCGGAUGAGAUCCCGGACGUCACGAGAAGUUCCGGAAUGGUCCGAAGGUAAAGAUUUAUAUAUGGGAAGUCCUAUUUUGGCCACCGGAAAAUGUUCGGGAUUUUUUGGUAUUGUACCAGGAAGGUUCUAGAAGGUUCCAGAGUGGGGCCCACCAGCAUGGGGGGACCCACAUGAACGUGGGUAGUGGAGGAAAGGCCCCACACCCUUGGUCAAGGCGCACCAAGAUCCCCCCUUAGAAGGAAUAAGAUCAUAUCCCGAACGGAUAAGAUCAAGAUCCCUAAAAAGGGGGGAUAACAAUCGGUGGGGAAGGAAAUGAUGGGAUUUCUUUCCUCCCACCUUUGCCAACGCCCCAAUGGAAUUGGAGGGCAAGAAACCAGCCCCCUCCACCCCUAUAUAUAGUGGGGAGGCGCAUGGGAGCUUCACCGUUGCCCCUGGCACAGCACUCUCCCUCCCCAACACCUCCUCCUCUGUAGUAGUGCUUGGCGAAGCCCUGCCGGAGAACUGCAAGCUCCGCCACCACGCUGUCAUGCUGCUGGAGCUCUCCCUCAACUUCUCCUCUCCCCUUGCUGGAUCAAGAAGGAGGAGACAUCCCCGGGCUGUACGUGUGUUGAACGCGGAGGUGCCGUCCAUUCGGCACUAGGAUCUCCGAUGAUUUGGAUCAUGAUGAGUACAACUCCUUCAACCCCGUUCUCUUGAACGCUUCCACUUAGUGAUCUACAAGGGUAUGUAGAUGCACUCCCCUCUCUCUCGUUGCUAGUUUCUCCAUAGAUAGAUCUUGGUGACUCGUAGGAAAAUUUUGAAUUUCUGCUACGUUCCCCAACAAUGGCAUCAUGAGCUAGGUCUAUUGCGUAGAUUCUUUGCACGAGUAGAACACAAAGUAUUUGUGGGUGUUGAUUUUGUUCAAUAUGCUUACCGUUACUAGUCCAAUCUUGUUUCGACAGUAUUGUGGGAUGAAGUGGCCCGGACCGACCUUACACGUACACUUACGUGAGACAGGUUCCACCAACUGACAUGCACUUGUUGCAUAAGGUGGCUAGCGGGUGCCAGUCUCUCCCACUUUAGUCGGAUCGGAUUCGAUGAAAAGGGUCCUUAUGAAGGGUAAAUAGCAAUUGACAUAUCAUGUUGUGGUUUUUGCGUAGGUAAGAAACUUUCUUGCUAGAAACCCAUAGCAGCCACGUAAAACAUGCAAACAACAAUUAGAGGACGUCUAACUUGUUUUUGCAGGGUAUGCUUUGUGAUGUGAUAUGGCCAAAAGAAUGUGAUGAAUGAUAUGUGAUGUAUGAGAUUGAUCAUGUUCUUGUAAUAGGAAUCACGACUUGCAUGUCGAUGAGUAUGACAACUGGCAGGAGCCAUAGGAGUUGUCUUAAUUUAUUGUAUGACCUACAUGUCAUUGAACAACGCCAUGUAAUUACUUUACUUUAUUGCUAACUGGUAGCCAUAGUAGUAGAAGUAAUGAGUUGGCGAGACAACUUCAUGGAGACACGAUGAUGGAGAUCAUGGUGUCAUGCCGGUGACGAUGAUGAUCAUGGAGCCCCGAAGAUGGAGAUCAAAAGGAGCAAAAUGAUAUUGGCCAUAUCAUGUCACUUUUUGAUUGCAUGUGAUGUUUAUCAUGUUUAUGCAUCUUAUUUGAUUAGAACGACGGUAGUAAAUAAGAUGAUCCCUCAUUAAAAUUUCAAGAAAGUGUUCCCCCUAACUAUGCACCGUUGCGAAAGUUUGUCGUUUCGAAGCACCACGUGAUGAUCGGGUGUGAUAGAUUCUAACGUUCACAUACAACGGGUGUAAGCCAGAUUUACACACGCGAAACAUUUAGGUUGACUUGACGAGCCUAGCAUGUACAGACAUGGCCUCGGAACACAAGAGACCGAAAGGUCGAGCAUGAGUCGUAUAGUAGAUACGAUCAACAUGAAGAUGUUCACCGAUGAUGACUAGUCCGUCUCACGUGAUGAUCGGACACGGCCUAGUUGACUCGGAUCAUGUAAUCACUUAGAUGACUAGAGGGAUGUCUAUCUGAGUGGGAGUUCAUUAGAUGAACUUAAUUAUCCUGAACAUAGUCAAAAGCCCUUUGCAAAUUAUGUCAUAGCUCGCGCUUUAGUUCUACUGUUUUAGAUAUGUUCCUAGAGAAAAUAUAGUUGAAAGUUGACAGUAGCGAUUAUGUGAUCAGUAGAAAGCUCAUGUCUUAAUGCAUCGCUCAGUGUGCAGAACCCCAAACGUCGUCUGUGGAUGUUGCGAACAUCGGACAUACACGUUUUGAUAACUACGUGAUAGUUCAGUUAAACAGUUUAGAGUUGAGGCACCAAGGACGUUUUUCGAAAUGUCGCGAAACAUAUGAGAUGUUUCGAGGGCUGAAAUUGGGAUUUCAGGCUCGUGCCCACUUCAAGAGGUAUAAGACCUCCGACGAUUUUCUUAGCCUGCAAACUAAGGGAGAAAAGCUCAAUUGUUGAGCUUGUGCUCAGAUUGUCUGAGUGCAACAAUCACUUGAAUCGAGUGGGAGUUGAUCUUCCAGAUGAGAUAGUGAUGUUUCUCCAAAGUCAUUGCCACCAAGCUGCUAGAGCUUCAUGAUGAACUAUAACAUAUCAGGGAUAGAUAUGAUGAUCCUUGAGGUAUUCACGAUGUUUGACACCGCGAAAGUAGAAAUCAAGAAGGAGCAUCAAUUGUUGAUGGUUGGUGAAACCACUAGUUUCAAGAAGGGCAAGGGAAAGAAGGGAUACUUCAUGAAACGGCAAAUCAGCUGCUGCUCCAGUGAAGAAACCCAAGGUUGAACCUAAACCCGAGACUAAGUGCUUCUGUAAUAAGGGGAACUGCCACUGGAGCAGGAUUACCCUAGAUACUUGGUAGAUAAGAAGGCUGACAAGGUCGAUAGAAGUAUAUUGGAUAUACAAUAUGUUAAUGUGUACUUUACUAGUACUCGUAGUAGCACCAGGGAAUUAGAUACCGGUUCGGUUGCUAAGUGUUAGUAACUCGAAAUAAAAGCUACGGAAUAAACGGAGACUAGCUAAAGGUGAGCUGACGAUAUGUGUUGGAAGUGUUUCCAAGGUUGAUGUGAUCAAGCAUCGCAAGCUCCCUCUACCAUCGAGAUUGGUGUUAAAAUAAUUGUUACUUGGUGUUUGCAUUGAGCAUAGACAUGAUUGGAUUAUGUCUAUCACAAUACGGUUAUUCAUUUAAGGAGAAUAAUGGUUACUCUGUUUAUUUGAAUAAUACCUUCAAUGGUAUUGCACCUAAAAGGAAUGGUUUAUUGAAUCUCGAUUCGUAGUGAUACACAUUUUCAUGCCAAAAGAUAUAAGAUAGUAAUGAUAGUACCACUUACUUGUGGCACUGCCAUGUAAGUCAUAUUGGUGUAAAACGCAUGAAGAAGCUCCAUGUUGAUGGAUCUUUGGACUCACUCGUUUUUGAAAAGUUUGAGACAUGCGAGCCAUGUCUAUUGGUGUAUACACAUGAAGAAACUCCAUGUAGAUGGAUCGUUUGGACUCACUUGAUUUUGAAUCACUUGAGAAAUGCAAAUCAUACCACAUGGGCAAGAUGACUGAAAAGCCUCGUUUUCAGUAAAAUGGAACAAGAUAGCAACUUGUUGGAAGUAACACAUUUUGAUGUGUGCAGUCCAAUGAGUGCUGAGGCAUGCAGUGAAUAUCGUUAUGUUCUUACUUCACGGAUGAUUUAAGUAGAUACUGAGUAUAUUUACUUGAUGAAACACAAGUCUGAAUUAUUGAAUGGUUCAAGUAAUUUCAGAGUGAAGUUGAAGAUCAUCAUGACAAGAGAAUAAAAUGUCUAUGAUAUGAUCAUGGAGAUGAGUAUCUGAGUUACGAGAUUUGGCACGCAAUUAAGACAUUGUGGAAAUUGUUUCACAAUUAAUACCGCCUGGAACACCAUAAUGUGAUGGUGUGUCCGAACAUCAUAUUUGCACCCUAUUGGAUAUAGUGCGUACCAUGAUGUAUCUUAUCAAAUUACCACUAUCGUUCAUGGGUUACGCAUUAGAGACAACCACACUCACUUUAAUAGGGAACCACGUAAUUCCGUUGAGACGACACCGUUUGAACUAUGGUUUGGAGAAACCUAAGUUGUCAUUUCUUAAAAGUUUGGGGCUGCGACGCUUAUGUGAAAAGGUUUCAGGUUGAUGAUCUCGAACCCAAAGCGGAUAAAAAAAUGCAUCUUCAUAGGACACCCAAAACAGUUGGGUAUACCUCCUAUCUUAGAUCCGGAAGCAAAAGUAAUUGUUUCUAGAAACGGGUCCUUUCUCGAGGAAAAGUUUCUCUCGAAAGAAUUGAGUGGGAGGAUGGUGGAGACUUGAUGAGGUUAUUGAACCAUCACUUCAACCAGUGUGUAGCAGGGCACAAGAAGUUAUUCAUGUGGCACCUACACCAAUUGAAGUGGAAGCUGAUGAUAGUGAUCAUGAUGCUUCGGAUCAAGUCACUACCAGACCUUGUAGGUCGACAAGGACGCGUACUACUUCAGAGUGGUACGCAAUCCUGUCUUAGAGGCCAUGUUGCUAGACAACAAUGAACCUACGAGCUAUGGAGAAGCGAUGGGGGGCCCGGAUUCCGACGAAUGGCUCGAGGCCAUAAAAUCUGAGAGAGGAUCCAUGACUUUGGAAGAAAUACUUUAUGGUCAUAAGGCCAUUGGGUAAAGAUGGAUUUUAAAAGGAAGAUAGACAAUGAUGGUAAGUAUCACCAUUAAGAAAGCUUGACUUGUCGCUAAAGAUGUUUUCCGACAAGUUCAAGGAGUUGACUACGGUGAGGCUUUCUCACUCGUAGCGAUGCUAAGAGUCUGUUGGAAUUGGAUUAGCAGUUACUGCAUUAUUUAUGAAAUCUUGCAUAUAGAAUGUCAGAACAUUGUUUCCUUGACAGUUUUCUUGAGGAAAGGUUGUAUGUGAUACAACCAGAAGGUUUUUGACAAUCCUGAAAGACGCUAACAAGUAUGCAAAGCUCCAGCAAUCCUUCUAAGGACUGGAGUAAGCAUCUCGGAGUUGGAAUGUACGCUUUGAUGAGAUGAUCAAAGAUUUUGGGUCUAUACAAAGUUUAUGAGAAACUUGUAUUUCCAAAGAAGCGAGUGGGAGCACUAUAGAAUUUCUGAUGAGUAUAUGUUGUUGACAUAUUGUUGAUCAGAAAUGAUGUAGAAUUUCUAGAAAGCAUAUAGGGUUGUUUGAAAAGUGUUUUUCAAUGGAAAACCUGGAUUAGGCUACUUGAACAAUAAGCAUCAAGAUCUAUAAGAUAGAUCAAAAUGUUUAAUAAUACUUUCAAAUGAGCACAUACCUUGACAUAGUCUUGAAGGUGUUCAAGAUGGAUCAGUCAAAGAAGGAGUUCUUGCCUGAGUUGUAAGGUAUGAAGUUAAGAGUUAAAGCUCGACCACGGCAGAAGAGAGAGAAAGGACGAAGGUCGUCCCCUAUGCUUCAGACGUAGGCUCUACAGUAUGCUAUGUUGUGUACCACACCGGAAGUGUGCCUUGCCAUGAAUCAGUCAAGGGGUACAAGAAUGAUCCAGGAAUGGGGAUCAUUGGACAUCGGUCAAAAAUUGUCCUUGGAGUAAAUAAAGGACAUGUUUCUCGAUUAUGGAGGUGAUAAAGAGUUCAGCGUAAAGGGUUACGUCGAUGCAAGCUUUAACACCUAUCCGAAUGACUCUGAGUAGCAAACCGGAUACGUAUAGUGGAGCAACCAUUUGAAAUAGCUCCAAGUGGAGCGUGGAAGCAGCAUUUACAAUAUGACAUAGAGAAUUGCGAAAUACAUACGGAUCUGAAUGUUGCAGACCCAUUGACUAAAACCUCUCUCACUAGCAAAACAUGAUCAAACCCCAGAACUCAUUGAGUCUUAAUCACAUGGUGAUGUGAACUAGUUUAGUGACACUAGUAAACUCUUUGGAUGUUGGUCACAUGGCGAUGUGACCUAUCAGUGUUAAUCACAUGGCGAUGUGAACUAGAUUAUUGACUCUAGUGCAAGUGGGAGACUGUUGGAAAUAUGCCUUAGAGGCAAUAAUAAAUUAGUUAUUAUUAUUAUAUUUCCUUGUUCAUGAUAAUCGUUUAUUAUCCAUGCUAUAAUUGUAUUGAUAGGAAACUCAGAUACAUGUGUGGAUACAUAGACAACACCAUGUCCCUAGUAAGCCUCUGAUUGACUAGCUCGUUGAUCAAUAGAUGGUUACGGUUUCCUGACCAUGGACAUUGGAUGUCGUUGAUAACGGGAUCACAUCAUUAGGAGAAUGAUGUGAUGGACAAGACCCAAUCCUAAGCCUAGCACAAAGAUCAUAGUUCGUAUGCUAAAGCUUUUCUAAUGUCAAGUAUCAUUUCCUUAGACCAUGAGAUUGUGCAACUCCCGGAUACCGUAGGAAUGCUUUGGGUGCACCAAACGUCACAACGUAACUGGAUGGCUAUAAAGGUGCACUACAGGUAUCUCCGAAAGUGUCUGUUGGGUUGGCACGAAUCGAGACUGGGAUUUGCCACUCCGGUUGACGGAAAGGUAUCUCUGGGCCCACUCGGUAGGACAUCAUCAUAAUGUGCACAAUGUGACCAAGGGGUUGAUCACGGGAUGAUGUGUUACGGAACGAGUAAAGAGACUUGCCUGUAACGAGAUUGAACAAGGUAUCGGCAUACCGAUGAUCGAAUCUCGGGAAAGCACAAUACCACUAGACAAAGGGAAUUGUAUACGGGAUUGCUUGAAUCCUUGACAUCGUGGUUCAUCCGAUGAGAUCAUCGUGGAACAUGUGGGAGCCAACAUGGGUAUCCAGAUCCCGUUGUUGGUUAUUGGCCAGAGAGCUGUCUCGGUCAUGUCUGCAUGAUUCCCGAACCCGUAGGGUCUACACACUUAAGGUUCGGUGACGCUAGAGUUGUUAUGGGAAUUGGUGUGCAGUUACCGAAUGUUGUUAGGAGUCCCGGAUGAGAUCCCGGACAUCACGAGGAGUUCCGGAAUGGUCCGGAGGUAAAGAUUUAUAUACGGGAAGUCCUAUUUUGGCCACCGGAAAAUGUUCGAGAUUUUUCGGUAUUGUACCAGGAAGGUUCUAGAAGGUUCCGGAGUGGGGCCCACCAGCAUGGGGGGACCCACAUGAACGUGGGUAGUGGGGUAAAGGCCCCACACCCUUGGUCAAGGCGCACCAAGAUCCCCCCUUAGAAGGAAUAAGAUCAUAUCCCAAAGGGAUAAGAUCAAGAUCCCUAAAAAGGGGGGAUAACAAUCGGUGGGGAAGGAAAUGAUGGGAUUUCUUUCCUCCCACCUUUGCCAACGCCCCAAUGGACUUGGAGGGCAAGAAACCAGCCCCCUCCACCCCUAUAUAUAGUGGGGAGGUGCAUGGGAGCUUCACCCUUGCGCCUGGCGCAACCCUCUCCCUCCCCAACACCUCCUCCUCUGUACUAGUGCUUGGCGAAGCCCUGCCGGAGAACUGCAAGCUCCGCCACCACGCCAUCGUGCUGCCGGAGCUCUCCCUCAACUUCUCCUCUCCCCUUGCUGUAUCAAGAAGGAGGAGACGUCCCCAGGCUGUACGUGUGUUGAACACGGAGGUGCCGUCUGUUCGGCACUAGGAUCUCCGGUGAUUUGGAUCACGAUGAGUACGACUCCUUCAACCCCGUUCUCUUGAACGCUUCCACUUAGCGAUCUAAAAGGGUAUGUAGAUGCACUCCCCUCUCUCUCGUUGCUAGUUUCUCCAUAGAUAGAUCUUGGUGACUCGUAGGAAAAUUUUGAAUUUCUGCUACGUUCCCCAACACAAGCAUCAUUGACAAUAUGAGAGGAGCUAGAAGAAACUAGAGACUUCACAUGAGUAGCUUGAAGUUCAUCAUAAGACUUAGAGAGUUUGGUGAGCUCUCCUUUGACAUUCUUGUAGACAAGGUCAAGGUGCUCAAAAUCCUCUUUAAGUUGAUCAUGAGCAACUUCAAUCUCUUCUUUAGAAGACUCUAAGUCUCUAAGAGUUUCUAGAGCAUCAAGAAGGUUACAAUCAAGUUUUUCAUUUUGUUCUUGCUCUUCAUGAAGUAAAUCAUUACACUUCCCAAAAUGAGUGAUAAGAUCUUUAAACAUAUCAUAAGUGUUCUUAUUUACCCCACGAAGAGAAUUACCAAUUUCAUAUAUUUCUUGACUCAUAUCCCUAUCACAUUCAUCAUUACUCUCAUCAAUAUCAUUACAAAGAGUAGAUGAUACCUCAGUAUUACCUCUUGCCAUGAGGCACAUGUGAAAAUCGGAGGUUGAUGAUGAUUCUUUUGGAGAGGGAGUUUCUUUAUCAUCAAGAGUAGGAUAUCCAUGUCCAUGCUCCUGACACUCAUAGCAUUUCCUCUCCAACAAGGUGAUGUCCUUCUUUGCUCCUCUAGCAAUUUCCUCAUUAAUGAUGUGUGCACUAUUUUCUCUUGUUUCCUCUACAUGGUUAGUCAAACAACAACUAGAGGAAAUAGAAGCACAUAGAUCAUGGAAACAAGGAGUAUCAAGCAUAUCAUCACAAAAGGUAUUCAAGGAAUCUCCAAAUGAUAUGCAUGGACUAUCAACACAAGAAUGUAAGUCAUUUUUGCUAGAUAUGCUCAAGUCCAUAGAAUCUACAACACUACCAUGUAUACAUGUAAGAUCAUCAAUGUUGAGCACAUCAUCACAAUCAUCACAAAUGAUAUUUUCACUCACCAUGUCAUUACCUUGGGACAUGCCACAUGAUGGUGAGGCGGAAGAAGUUGAAAUGUCCAAGUACACGGAGGAAGAAGCAAUAUGGAGAUCUUCAUGAUUUGAAGAUGUGGAGACCUCCUCAAUUAAAUCCUCCGAAAGAUGAUGAAUAUCAACAAGAUUGAACCCACCAUAUAUUUCUUCAAGUUUGGUCCACAUAUCAUGAGCCGUCACACAAGUCAUGAUAGACUCAAAUACUUUGAGGGAUAAAAACCGGAUUAUGGCAUUCUUAGCACUAUAUCCACAAAGCAUAUCAUCAUUUUCCUCACUAGUUGGAAAAAGGUCAUCCUUCCAUGGAGAAGCCCCUAUAAGAACAAUUCGCACAAAAUUUGGACCCAUGGUCCGGAAGUGACAAAGCAUGCGAAUUUUCCACAAGUGAUAGUUUGUGCCACUAAAACAAAAGGUGUCAUCAUGCACUAUACCACUAGUCGACAUCUUUACUCUCUAGGCGGUGAAGCCUACCAAGGAGAGACCAAAGCUCUGCUACCAAUUGAAAUGAUCUAGAUGACGACUAGAGGGGGGGGUGAAUAAGAGUUUUAAAACUUUUACGGAUUUGGCUUUAUCCUAAUGCAGAAUUAAACUAACGGAUACUUUUCAAGCACAAAUCCCAAAAAUGCUAGGCUCAACUAAGUGCACCAACAACCUAUGCUAAACAAGAUAGGCAAUUAAGCAAACUAGCAAGCACAAACUAUAUCACAAGAUAUGGAAAUGAAGGAACAACUCAACAAUUCAACUAUCACAAGAUAUAUCAAUAUGGGCAAGUAUGAAUUGCGGAAAGUAAAGGGUGUGGGUAUGAGAUAACCACAAGUGAGUCGGGGACACAGAUUUAUCCCGAAGUUCACACUCGUGAGAGUGCUAAUCUCCGUUAGAGCGGUGCCGUAGCCAAAGCUCCGGGGCAUCACCAAGUGACUCACCGUAUUCUCCCUUUCGAGUCACCCCCAACGGAUGAGCCUCGAUUCACUCGGGGUUGGUCUUGAAGGCGACCACCACACCUUUACAAACUUCUCCGAAGCACACCACAACCACGGAAGCUUCUGGAGGAACUUGACCACCUAGGCCACUUCAACACCCUUCCCCGGAGCACACCACAAAAGGAAGCUUUCGGGGGAACCUUGGCCACAUAGGCCUCUUCACAAUCUUCUCAAUGUAUCACCAAACCGUCUAGGAGGCGAAGCCUCCAAGAGUAACAAACUCACGGGUUCUCACUCGAACAAAUCGAUGCGGGGAGCUCAAACCGAUGCAACAAAUGCAAUGCAAGGUCAAGCAACAAAUGCUCAACUCACUCUCUCAAUCUCACAAGAUGCAACUCAAGAAAGUGGGAGAUUGAAGAGAGGGGAUGCAAUGGAGGAAAUCAACAAAUGACUCCAAGAUCCAUCCACAAAUCACCCUUCACUUAGAAGGGAGAUAGGGGUUUGGGAGAGGUGGUAAGAGGCUCAAAAUGAUGUUUAGAAUGUGAAUGAACAGCCCCCAAACCGGUGGGGAGGAAGGGCUCUUUUAUAGCCAACUUCCAAAACUAGCCGUUGGGGCUCCAAUGGACACUUCCUGGACACCCCGUGCCCACGGGGGUUUAGACCCCGUGCCCACGGAGUCCCGUGCGCACGGUACAAGCCCGUGUGCACGGGGCCCCGUGCCCACGGGGGUCAAAAACCCCGUGUCCACGGGGUACCCAGAACAGCGUGCAGCAGCCCACUAAAACAGUGAUAACUUUGGCAUACGGACUCCGAAUUCCAUGAUCUUGGGCUCGUUUUGAAGCUACGGAAAAGCCCACGGUCCUCACAUAGAGAACCACUCAAGAUCAACAAUAAAUAAUGAUGCAAGUAAUGUAAAGGUUUGAGCUCUCUACAUGUGACAUGAUCAAGCUACUUGCCCGAGAGUCCCUCUUGAUAGUACGGCUGUCAAACCUAUAAUCUGGUAUCCCUCCAAGCACCAUGAGACCGGCAAAACUAGGAAAACCUAGCUAAGGUAUACCUUUGCCUUGCAUAUUCAACUUGAGCUUGGUGAUGACUCCAAUGCUUGUCUCAAGUUGGAAUCCCUUUCUUGUCCACAACCGCUUGGUGAAGAUGCUUGAAUUGAUUCCUCAUAGUGCAAUGAGGGAAGCCUUAACUUAAGCCCAUCUUCACAUGAGCAUUAUCAUGAUGUGGACCACAAGCUUCAAAGCAUAUAGCCUCCUGCUUCUCAUCUUGCACUUGGACUCCUCGAACCCGAUGACCAUCACCACUUAAUGUCAUCCACACAUAUGCUACUUGAGAUCUUUCCUUUUGAUGCAACCCAUGAGAAACACCUAACCCACAUAGACAUACCAAACACAUAGCAUAGUUAGGUAACAAAGCACAAUUCAUAAUUACUUACCAUACCACUAGAUCACUUGAUCUCACGUGGUACAAUGUUUGUGCUUUGAGAGUUGACCACUUAGAUAUAAUCUUCGAGCUUCAUCUUGGUCAACCAACAUCUUUACUCGAAGCUCCAUCUUGGUUUCUUGAAAGCCAAAAUGAACUCUUCAUUUCCCUUCAUUGCUUCAAGACUAUAUCACCAAAGACUCUUCCAUGACCAUAUCAAGUUCCACUAUGAAUAUCAUCUUGGUCACCACUUGCCCUUCUGAAAACUCCAUCACAAUCUCUUGAGAGGCAUAAGGAAUUCAUCACUCUAGUUGCUUGCUUCAAGACUUGAUCAACCGAAACCCAACACAUGAGCUCACCAUGAUCUUGUCUUGUGACCAUAACUUGAAUUCUUCUCUUUGAUUAUUCUCUCAAGCCCUUGAUCCUUAAAAGCCCUCCAUCAUAAUAUCUUGAGAGGCACAAUGAAUUCUUCACUCUAGUUGUUUGCUUCAAGACUUGAUCAACCUAAACCCAACACAUGAGCUCACCAUGAUCUUGUCUUGAAACCAUAACUUGAAUUCUUCUCUUUGAUUACUCUCUCAAGCCUUGAUCCUCAGAAGCCCAAAUAUAUCAAUCUUUGAGAUCCUCCAAUGCACUCUCAUGAACAUAAUUAGAUUAGGCAUUGAAACCAAUCUUGAUGGCUUCAAUAGAAGUACCCGAAGACCAACUUGAAACCUCAUUGGAUAUGGGAUCUCGAGAGCCAACACCUAGGCCAAGUAAGCACGGGGUAUCCAAAGAGUUGACACUCGACCCCGUGCGCACGGUACAAGCCCGUGUGCAUGGGGUAUCCAGAGAAGGAUACCAUGAGGACUUCUUCGGAUGCUUUGAUGGCAGACUUCACAAAACAACCCAAUGCACUUCAAGCAUCACUAUGGAACAUAUCUUCAUAUAAGAUUCAAUGCACUUGAUGCUCCAUAGGAAUUGUCAUUUAAUACCAAAGCAUAGGGCAAAUAUAACUUCAUAUAUAUGGACUUCAUCAUUGAUUCCGUCCAAUAUCCUUGAGGCACUAUCUUCAUAUAUAUAUAUGGACUUCAUCCUUGAUUCCGUCCAAUAUCCUUGAGGCACUAUCUUCGUAUAUAUGGACUUCAUCCUUGAUUCCGUCCAAUAUCCUUGAGGCACUAUCUAUGGACAAAACCUUCAAAUAUAUCUCACUGAAAACAUUAGUCCAUAGAGAUUGUCAUUUAAUUACCAAAACCACACUUAGGGGCUACAUGCCCUUUCAGAGAGGCAGGCUGGGCUCCGGCCGGGUAGGCCGCAAGGUCGAGGAACGACAACAGGGUGUUGGGAGGCGGCUGUGUUCCGCUCGAUGUCGAUGGUGGACGAGGGCGUGGCUCCGUUCAUCCUAGGCCAACCAGUUACUGGGCCAUAUUUUUUUCUCUGGCCCAGAGAUCCAUAGGUAUAGUAGGAUGAUCCGAAAUCUUAGGGUGGGCCAUGGCCCACCCUGGCCACCCUGUAGCUGCGCCCCUGAUAGGGGGAUCACUUGGUGGUGGCGUAAAUCCCAUCUCUUGGGUCGCGCAAGUUUUCCCUCUAGUUAGGGUUUCCCUGUUUCUCCCGGGGCGACUUGUUGCCGCCGUCGAGGUUUUGCCUUCCCUGCCGCCGAUCUACGUCUCUGUUGCCCUGCUGAGAGCGAUCAAGGGGAAAACUUGGUUCCGCCACCCGCUUUUGGCCAGGACAGGGGCUCGGCGGAGUUUAGGGUUUCCCAACAACCCGAUCUGCUUUUCAUCGGGUUAGUGAAUCAACAUGGCUGCUGAUGGGGUUCCGGGCUCCUCUGGACUCAGCGACAUGGAGAAGAUGAUGAUGGAACUAGGCCUCCGGGAAGAGGACCUGGAUGACGUCGUCUUUGAUGAGAAGGAUGUGCCGCCAGAAACUCCGUGGUGGGUAGCCCUGGUCAAGGUCAACACCAACAAGAGCUAUAGCCAGACGUGGUUCUUCCGGAACAUGCGCUCAGCUUGGGACAUAGCGCAGGAAGCGAAAUUCAAGCCUCUAGAGGAACAUCUGUACUCUGUUCAGUUUACUUGUUUGGGAGAUUGGGAACGAGUCAUGCAAGAUGGGCCAUGGAAUUUCAGGGGGGAUGCAGUGCUCAUGGCACCGUAUGAUGGAAUCUCAAAACCAUUGUAACACCCCGGAUGUAACUUUCCAUCUUUGUAACUCCAACUCUUGCCAUUUUUGGCUAUGUGAUAUGAUAUUCCCUCCGUGGUUGGGUUUUGUCUUUUGUUUUGCAUUUUAUUCAUGUCAUGCAUAUCAUAUCAUGUCAUCAUGUGCAUUUCAUUUGCAUACGUGUUCGUCUCAUGCAUCCGAGCAUUUUCCCCGUUGUUUGUUUCGCAAUCCGACACUCCCACAUGCACCGGCGCACCCCUUUUGUCUCUUUUCGUGUGUGGGUGUUGAACGUUCUCGGAGUGGAUCGAGCCUUGCCAAGUGGCCCUGGUAUAGCACCGGUAGACCGCCUGUCAAGUUUCGUGCCAUUUGGAGGUCGUUUGAUACUCCAACGGUUAACCGCAUAACCGCAAAGGCCUGUUUUGAGUUGCAGCCCAACACCCCUUCAAAAGAGCCCAAUAACCCAUCUAAGUCACUUCCAUGCUCUCCGUCGUCGGAUCACGAUCGUGUGGGCGAAAACUGCACCUCAUUUGGACACCCCUAGCUCCCUCUACCUACAAAUAUGUGCCCAUCCCCGAAUUUUUCGAGCAAACCCUAGUCUUCCCCUUCCUUCGCGCACCAGACACGUCCGAACCGCGCCGGACGCGUCCGCCCGCCGCCGCUGACGAACCACGCGCCGCCACGUGUCGCCCGUCCGCGUCCCGCCGCCGCUGGNNNNNNNNNNNNNNNNNNNNNNNNNNNNNNNNNNNNNNNNNNNNNNNNNNNNNNNNNNNNNNNNNNNNNNNNNNNNNNNNNNNNNNNNNNNNNNNNNNNNNNNNNNNNNNNNNNNNNNNNNNNNNNNNNNNNNNNNNNNNNNNNNNNNNNNNNNNNNNNNNNNNNNNNNNNNNNNNNNNNNNNNNNNNNNNNNNNNNNNNNNNNNNNNNNNNNNNNNNNNNNNNNNNNNNNNNNNNNNNNNNNNNNNNNNNNNNNNNNNNNNNNNNNNNNNNNNNGUCGCCGCACCGCCCGGCGUCGCCCUCGGCCGCCGCCGCCCCGUCUCUGGCCCUCCCCGUCCUCCUCCGACCGUCCUCUUCUCCGGCGAGUCUCCGGCGUGCCUCGGCCUCCAUGCGAGCCAGAUCGGAUCUGGACCCCUAGGGUUGACUUCUUCUCCCCCGAAAUCCACUAUCUUUUUCUGUUAGUAAUUUUGUUGCAUGUUCGUCGCACCACAACUUUGCACCCGUGGCUCCGUUUUGGGCGUGUAGCAUGCCGGUUUGUUCGCCCCGACAAGUAAAUCAUUUCAUCUCAUUGCAGCAUUUUCAUUUGAUCUCAUAUUGAUACCCGAAAUGCUAUUGGAAGAGUGCUUCAUAAUGUUAGUUUCAGAUUCUUAUCAGAACAUGCACUUUUGUCAUUUUUGCCAUGAUUGAUGUGUGCAUCUUAUGUACUUGAGACCUACAUGUGUUUUGAACUAUGCCAUGCCAUAUUUACAUAGGUGCUUACCAUGUAUUUUUGUGAUCAAUGUGGUGACUAGCACAAGCAUGCAAACUAGGCUUCAUGAUAUUGCUGAUUCUAGUCCCUGUGCUGCUGAUAUUUUGAUGCCAUGUAAACAUGAUGCUACAGAGAGAUCCAUGCAUAUUUUGAGAUACUUCAGUAAGGGUGUUUUGAACAUAUGGUUAUGCUCUAUCCAUUCAUGCCCUGGUUGAAAUUAUGGAGUAGUCUAGCAUGUCAUUUUCGUGCUCUACUUUUGCUACAAAAUGUUUCCUGGCAGAUUGUUUACAUGUUAUUCAAUUUUGCCAAGGUUGUUGAAGUUGAUCCGUGUAUGCUAUGAUGUUGUUCUUGCCAUGUAUAGCUUCUACGCCAUGUCUUAUUGAUGGAUGUAUGCUUAGUUUAUCAUGAAAUUCUCUAUAGUGAGUGCAUCGAGCUCGCGAAGAUGCCUUCGUAAUUCUGUCAAUGCCAUGCUUUGUUUGCUGAAUCUGUUAACAAAACUUGCUAUGUUUACAUGGAUGCCAUCAUAUCUUCUGGUCCUUUUUGGCUCAAGGUCACUAAGGGACUUUUGAUCUAUGCUCUGAGUAGAAUCAUGCCAUGUCUUGUUUUGCUAUUAUAAGUUCCUGUAGCAUGUCGAUAACUUGCUCUGAACAUUGCUUCGUGAUGUUGUUUAUGCCAUGUCCUACCUGAUAUUUUUUGCUCUUUUGCCAUGCUUGUUUGAACCUGUUAUGGUGUGAUUUAGCUGUAGCUCAGUGUUCCUCUUUUGUUAAGCAUCUCCUGUAGAUCACUGCCAUAUGCUUUGUUUGUAUGUUGGGGUUCUGUAGCAUAGUUUCUUGUUGCAUGCUAAGUAGCAUCGUGCUGUUAAUCGCAGCUUUGUGCCAUUCUUGUCUUGCUUGCCAUUUGCAAACCGUGCAUCCGUUUCUGGCGAUCUUUAUAUCGAUUUCAUCCGAAAUCAUCUCAUCUUUCCAGCGGCAUACUUGGUUUGCCAAGUUGAUGCCUUGUUCAUCCUUUUUCCUCCCGGAGCACGCAUACGCAUUGCAUAUCACAUCUCGCAUAUCAUGACAUGUAUUGCAUCAUGUUGCUUGAGCAUUGCACCGUGAUUUAUUGUGUUCCAUUGCUUGUGUUCUUGCUUUGGGUAGAGCCGGGAGACGAGUACAUGCACGAGGAACCUGUUGAGUACGCUAAAGAGGAUCAAGCCUUCGACAACUCUGAGAACCUUGCAGGCAAGAUGACCAUACCUUCGAUAUCACUUCUAUCUUUGCUUUGCUAGAACUCGCUCUAUCGCUAUGUUAGCUCUACCUGCCUUUGUUUAUCAUGCCUCCAUAUUUCCAUGUCAAACCUCUAACCAUCCUGUCCUAGCAAACCGUUGUUUGGCUAUGUCACCGCUUUUGCUCAGCCCCUCUUAUAGCGUUGCUAGUUGCAGGUGAAGAUGAAGUUUGUUCCUGGUCGGAACAUGGAUAUUUUGGGAUAUCACAUUAUCUCCUGUUUAAUUAAUGCACCUUAUAUACUUGGUAAAGGGUGGAAGGCUCGGCCUUAUGCCUGGUGACUUGUUCCACUCUUGCCGCCCUAGUUUCCAUCAUACCGGUGUUAUGUUCCUUGAUUUUGCGUUCCUUACACGGUUGGGUGAUUUAUGGGACCCCCUUGAUAGUUCGCUUUGCAUAAAACUCCUGUAGCAAGGCCCAAACUUUGUUUUACCAUUUGCCACCUAAUCCUUUUUCCCUUGGGUUUUCGCGAGCCCAAGGGUCAUCUUUAUUUUAAGCCCCCCCGGUGCUCCUUCGAGUGUUGGCCCAAACUGAGCUGCCUGCGGCGCCACCUCGGGGAAACUCGAAGUCUGGUUUUACUCGUAGCUAGUCUCAUCCGGUGUUGCCCUGAGAACGAGAUAUGUGCAGCUCCUAUCAGGAUUUGUCGGUGCAUCGGGCGGUCUUGCUGGUCUUGUUUUACCAUUGUCAAAAUGUCUUGCGAACCGGGAUUCCGAGGCUGAUCAGGUCUUCCCUAGAGAAGGUAUAUCCUUCGUUGACCGUGAGAGCUUGUGAUGGGCUAAGUUGGGACACCCCUGCAGGGUAUAUUAUCUUUCGAAAGCCGUGCCCACGGUUAUGAGGCAGAUGGGAAUUUGUUAAUGUCCGGUUGUAGAUAACUUGACACUUGACUUCAUUAAAAUGCAUCAACAGCGUGUGUAGCCGUGAUGGUCUCUUCUCGGCGGAGUCCGGGAAGUGAACACGGUUUGAGUUAUGCUUGACGUAAGUAGUUUCAGGAUCACUUCUUGAUCGCUUCUAGCUUCUCGACUGAUGCGUUGCUUCUCUUCUCACUCUCACUUGCGUAUGUUAGCCACCAUAUAUGCUUAGUGCUUGCCGCAGCUCCACCAUAUUACCCCUUUUCCUACCUAUGAGCUUAAAUAGUCUUGAUCUCGCGGGUGUGAGAUUGCUGAGUCCCCGUGGCUCACAGAUUCUACCAAAACAGAUGCAGGUGCCGAGGAUACCAGCGCAGAUGGCGCGACCGAGCUCAAGUGGGAGUUUGAUGAGGCCCUUGGUCAUUACUAUGUAUCGUUUCCAGAUGAUCAGUAGUGGAGCCCAGUCGGGACGAUCGGGGAUCUAGCAUUUGGGGUUGUCUUCUUUUCAUUUGGAUUUGACCAUAGCCGGUCUAUGAGUGUAUUUUCAAUGAUGUAUGAUCUUAAUUAUGUAUUGUGUGAAGUGGCGAUUGUAAGCCAACUCUCUUUAUCCCAUUCUUGUUCAUUACAUGGGAUUGUGUGAAGAUGACCCUUCUUGCGACAAAACCACCAUGCAGUUAUGCCUCUAAGUCGUGCUUCGACACGUGGGAGAUAUAGCCGCAUCGUGGGUGUUACAAGUUUGUAAUCAGAGCCAUCCCCGACUUAGGAUCCCCCUGCUUGAUUGUUUGCUGGCGAUGUUGAGUCUAGAACAAAAAUGUUUUGAGUCUUAGGAUUAUAUAUAUCGGAGAGUAGGAUUCUUUUUACUCCUCAGUCCCUUCGUCGCUCUGGUGAGGUCUCUUGACGUAGAUGUUUUGACUUUCCUCUCCUCAAAUUUCACUAAAAAAAAUUUAGGAUCACGCGGGUAUCUUGGAAUCGUUCUGAUGGUUUUGUGACGAGAACAUUGUUCUUGGUGCCUCCUGUCUAUUAUGUGGCUUUGACCCAGGGAGUUGAGCUCCGAGGUGUUGUCGUCACAAUUUUAUCGUUGCAGUUCUGGAAUACCUGAGUUUUGCCAACAUCGAAAAUCUCUUUUAUGCAGUUGUUGGUGAGAUAACCUCGACGCCACCCAGUACUGGGGCGGGAGUUUGGGAGUAUUGCCAUAACUCGUAUAACAGAUGCUUUUCGAAGGUUGAGGUACAUGAUUUCCGAAGGUUUCUUGGUUAUGUGUUGACGGAUGGAUACAGCUGGAUGUAGGGAUUGUUAGUUUGGGUGAGAUAUAUUGCUUCCCCUGUAUCCCCAACACCUGAUUGCAUAACCAGAAAAUUUCGGGAUUUUAUAGGUGGGAUUCAAGUAGCUCUAGCAUUUCUUCCCGAAGAUAUUUGGUUUGUGAUUGGGUAAUCCUUACCACUUAUUUGUUCAAGUUGUACCUUGUUUAUUUCAUUCAUCAAUCUCUUAUCAAGUGGCUUCUCACCUUAAUGGACGUGUGAUGUUUGCUUUGGAAUUCAUUCGUUCAUCCUUGUUCGAAUGUUUAUUGUGAAGACUAUAUGUUGCAAUUUCUAUCCGUUGAUUCAACUUGUCUAUCUGUCUAUCAAGAUGCUAACGGAUGUCACCCUCUUUAGGAUGGCUCCGCCAACGCGUCAGAAUCCGGAAGCAAUGAUGGGAGUCAAGCGAACCCUCCACCUCCACCUCCGCCUCCGGAGGCAUGUCAAUCUUUGAUGACAGCCACAAACGCCAAUGCUCAGAUGAUGAUUCAGCUCAUGCAAGAGCGCAACCAAGGUCAAGGCAACCAAGGGAAUCAAGGUCAAGGGCAGUUCAAUCAUCAGCCUCAAUUUCCUACCCUCAACCAAUUCCUUGCAAAUCAGCCGAAGUCUUUCAGCUACUGUGUCGAGGCCACAGACGCCGAUGAUUGGCUCAUGGAUAUCAACAAGCAUUUUGAAUGCAGCAAUGUCAGGCCUGAGGACUAUGUCAAGUUCGCUUCUUUUCAGCUCAAGGAUCAAGCAGCUGAUUGGUUCCAGCAAUACAAGGAUUCCAGAGGAGGUCGAGUGAUUACUUGGACUGACUUCUGUCGGGACUUUAAAGCUCACCACAUUCCUACCAGUGUUGUUGAGAGAAAGCGUGAGGAGUUCCGCAAUCUCAAGCAAGGCAACAUGUCAGUGUACAAAUACAACAAGCAGUUUCAGAAACUUGCUCGCUUUGCUAAGCAAGAUGUUCCUAAUGAGAAGAGUAUGAUCUAUCAAUUCAGAGGUGGCCUAAGAGAGGAUCUGCAGUUAGCUCUCGUUCUUGUUGAGCCUACUCAGUUUGAUCAAUUCUACAGUAUGGCCCUCAAGCAAGAAGGUGCUCAGCUCAAGUGUGAGGCUUCUAAGAAGAGAAUCAGGGAUGCAGCGCAAUCUUCUUCUUCCUCACAAGUGGCAGCUAAGCAGCAGAAGUUCUACCUUCCUCCUCCUCCGUUUCGUCAGCCUUACCAACAGAAGAACUCAGGUGGUCGUGGAUCUUCCCACCCACCCAACCCAGGCUAUCAGAACAAGUCUCAGCCUCAAGCUCCAAGGUCAAAUGGUCCUUAUCAUCGUCUGCUCUCAGAAGUGACUUGCAACAAGUGCCAGCAGAAAGGUCACUAUGCGAACAAAUGCUUCAAUCAAAGGCGCCUUCCUCCUCCUCCUCCUGUGAGAUCUUCAAGCAAUGCAGUGGUCAAGCAUAAUCCNNNNNNNNNNNNNNNNNNNNNNNNNNNNNNNNNNNNNNNNNNNNNNNNNNNNNNNNNNNNNNNNNNNNNNNNNNNNNNNNNNNNNNNNNNNNNNNNNNNNNNNNNNNNNNUCCUCCUCCGUUUCGUCAGCCUUACCAACAGAAGAACUCAGGUGGUCGUGGAUCUUCCCACCCACCCAACCCAGGCUAUCAGAAUAAGUCUCAGUCUCAAGCUCCAAGGUCAAAUGCUCCUUAUCAUCGUCCGCUCUCAGAAGUGACUUGCAACAAGUGCCAGCAGAAAGGUCACUAUGCGAACAAAUGCUUCAAUCAAAGGCGCCUUCCUCCUCCUCCUCCUGUGAGAUCUUCAAGCAAUGCAGUGGUCAAGCAUAAUCCAAAGUCUGCAAAGGUGAACAUGAUGAAUGCAGCGCAAGCAGAGGAUUCUUCUGAUGUGAUAAUGGGUAAUCUUCCUGUUAAUGAUAUUCCUGCAAAAGUCUUAUUUGAUACUGGUGCAUCGCAUUCUUUCAUGUCAUAUCCUUUUGCAUCGAAGCACAAUUUUGACAUAGAGGAAUUAUCUAAAGCUAUGCAAGUUAUUUCUCCGGCUAAGCGUUUGAGCUCUAGCAUGAUGGUUCUGAAUGUCGGUAUCAAGAUGGGCGACUAUAAAUUUCUGACUUCUCCAAUUGUUCUUGGCGACUCCGAUAUUGAUCUAACUCUCGGGAUGGACUGGCUUUCUAAGCACAAGGCUCAGCUUGAUUGUGCUGCCAGGCAAAUUCAAUUGACACACCCUUCUGAGGAUGUUAUCAUCUAUGACGCUCGCGAUGACACCAUUCGGUUGUUUUCUCUCAAUGAGAAGGGCGAGUUGGAUGCUAUUUCUCAAAUUCCAGUCGUUUGUGAGUACCAAGAUGUCUUUCCAGAAGAGCUUCCGGGUAUGCCUCCUCAUCGGCCAGCCGAGUUCAUUAUUGAUCUUGAGCCUGGAAUUGAGCCCGUUUGCAAGCGUCCAUACAAGCUUGGACCCAAGGAGCUGAAGGAAUUGAAGAAACAGCUCGAUGAACAAGAGCGUCUGGGUUUGAUCAGACCGAGUUCAUCUCCAUGGGGUUGUGGAGUUCUUUUUCUCCAGAAGAAGGAUGGCACGGACCGACUUUGCGUCGAUUACCGUCCAUUGAACAAGAAGACAAUCAAGAACAAGUAUCCACUUCCCAACAUCAAUGAGCUUUUCGAGCAACUCAAAGGUGCUAAAGUAUUCUCCAAGCUUGACCUCCGUAUGGGUUAUCACCAGAUUUGCAUUCGUGAACAAGAUAUUCCCAAGACAGCAUUCAGAACAAGCUAUGGUUCUUAUGAAUAUACUGUCAUGUCUUUCGGCCUUGUCAAUGCUCCUCCAACGUUCUCUUGCAUGAUGAACUUUAUCUUCAACCCCUACACCAAUGAGUUCGUUCUGGUGUAUCUCGAUGAUAUCUUGGUCUUCUCCAAGAAUAAGCAGGAUCAUGCCAAACAUUUGCGAUUGGUGCUCGACAGGCUCAGAGAGCAUCAAUUCUAUGCGAAGUUUUCCAAAUGUGAGUUCUGGCUUGAUGAAGUUCUUUAUCUUGGUCACAUCAUCUCCGCCAAGGGCAUUGCUGUUAAUCCCGUGAAGGUGUGUGCAGUUGUGAAUUGGGAACCUCCUCAGAAUGUCAAGCAGCUCCGCAGUUUUCUUGGUCUUGCAAGCUAUUGUCGAAGAUUCGUUGAGAACUUCUCUAAGAUUGCAAAGCCUCUUUCCAACCUCCUCCAGAAGCAUGUCAAGUAUGUCUGGACGCCUGAGUGUGACGUCGCUUUCAACACCCUCAAAGAGAAGCUAGUCACAGCUCCUGUCUUGACUCCUCCUGAUGAAUCCAAGCCAUUCGAAGUGUUCUGUGAUGCUUCUCUUCAAGGUCUCGGUGCUGUGUUGAUGCAAGAGAAAAAAUUUGUGGCCUAUACCUCUCGUCAGUUGAAGCCCAAUGAAAAGAACUACCCCACUCACGAUCUUGAGUUGGCGGCAGUUGUCCAUGCAUUGAUAACAUGGAGACAUCUCUUAUUGGGAAGGCAAGUGGACAUUUUCACAGAUCACAAGAGCCUCAAGUAUAUCCUCACUCAACCCAACCUCAACCUCAGACAAACUCGAUGGGUCGAAAUGAUUCAAGAGUACAAUCCGAGUAUUGAAUAUACUCCUGGCAAGGCGAAUGUGAUUGCAGAUGCUCUGAGCAGAAAGGCUUAUUGCAACAGUCUAAUUCUCAAGCCAUUUCAACCGGAUCUUUGUGAAGCUUUCCGCAAGCUGAAUCUUCAAGUUGUUCCUCAAGGCUUUCUUGCCAACCUCAUAGUCUCUCCUACUUUGGAAGAUCAAAUUCGUGAGGCACAACUCCUGGAUACCAUGGUGAAGAAGGUGAAACGUGGUAUUGACAAGGGCAUUCCCAAAUACAAGUGCUAUCGCUUGGAUGACAAAGAUACUCUUUUCUUCGAGGAUCGAAUUGUGGUUCCCAAAGGCGAUCUGAGAAAAGUCAUCAUGAACGAGGCACACACUUCCCUCCUAUCCAUUCAUCCUGGAAGUACAAAGAUGUACCAUGACCUCAAGCAGUCAUAUUGGUGGACUCGAAUGAAGCGAGAAAUUGCUCAAUUCAUGAAUGAAUGUGAUGUCUGCAGAAGGGUGAAAGCAGAACACCAAUGACCAGCUGGUCUCCUCCAACCUCUUGCUAUUCCGGAAUGGAAGUUUGACCAUAUCGAGAUGGACUUCGUGACUAGUUUUCCUAAGUCCAAGCGUGGAAAUGACACUAUCUUUGUUGUCAUUGACAAGCUUACUAAAGUGGCUCAUUUUCUUCCUAUCAAAGAAUCUAUCACAGUAGCUCAGCUGGCAGAGCUAUACACCUCUAGAAUUGUCUCCUUGCACGGUAUUCCACAAUUGAUAUCUUCAGAUCGUGGAAGCAUCUUCACUUCUAAGUUCUAGGACUCCUUUCAGAAGGCCAUGGGCACCAACAUUCGUUUCAGCACAGCUUUCCAUCCUCAAACAAGUGGCCAACUCGAGCGAGUCAAUCAAAUCCUUGAAGAUAUGCUCAGGGCUUGUGUCAUCUCUUUCGGUAUGAAGUGGGAAGAUGGUCUUCCAUAUGCCAAGUUCUCCUACAACAACAGCUUCCAAGCGAGUUUGGGCAAGGCCCCAUUCGAAAUUCUCUAUGGCAGAAAGUGACGUACUCCUCUCAAUUGGUCCGAGACAGGUGAACGCCAACUUCUUGGCAAUGACUUGAUCACAGAAGCCGAAGAAAUGUGCAAAGUCAUUCGUGAGAAUCUCAAAGACGCGCAAUCGCGCCAAAAGAGUUACUACGAUAGCAAGCACCGUGACUUGGCUUUUGAAAUGGGAGACCAUGUCUACCUCCGCGUCUCUCCAAUGAAAGGCACUCAUCGCUUCGGUAUCAAAGGGAAGCUUGCCCCUAGAUACAUGGGUCCUUUCAAGAUCAUUGGCAAAAGAGGCGACCUCGCCUAUCAACUUGAGCUUCCGUCCAACUUUGCAAACGUGCACGAUGUGUUUCACGUGUCACAGCUUCGCAAGUGCUUCAAGACUCCUGAGCGCACUAUCAACUUCGAAGAGAUUGACCUCCAGGAAGAUCUCUCUUAUCAUGAGCACCCCGUUGCUAUUCUUGAAGAAACCGAGCGCAAGACUCGCAACAAGUCAAUCAAAUUCCUGAAAGUGAAGUGGUCACACCAUUCCGACCAAGAAGCCACCUGGGAGCGCGAGGAUCACCUCCGUUCCGAAUAUCCGGAGUUCUUUCAGUCCUAGAUCUUGGGACGAGAUCCUCUUGUCGUGGUGGAGUGUUGUAACACCCCGGAUGUAACUUUCCAUCUUUGUAACUCCAACUCUUUCCAUUUUCGGCUAUGUGAUAUGAUAUUCCCUCCGUGGUUGGUUUUGUCUUUUGUUUUGCAUUUUAUUCAUGUCAUGCAUAUCAUAUCAUGUCAUCAUGUGCAUUUCAUUUGCAUACGUGUUCGUCUCAUGCAUCCGAGCAUUUUCCCUGUUGUCCGUUUCGCAAUCCGACACUCCCACAUGCACCGGCGCACCCCUUUUGUCUCUUUUCGUGUGCGGGUGUUGAACGUUCUCGGAAUGGACCGAGCCUUGCCAAGUGGCCCUGGUAUAGCACCGGUAGACCGCCUGUCAAGUUUCGUGCCAUUUGGAGGUCGUUUGAUACUCCAACGGUUAACCGCAUAACCGCAAAGGCCUCUUUUGAGUUGCAGCCCAACACCCCUCCAAAACAGCCCAAUAACCCAUAUAAGCCACUUCCAUGCUCUCUGUCGUCGGAUCACGAUCGUGUGGGCGAAAACUACACCUCAUUUGGACACUCCUAGCUCCCUCUACCUACAAAUAUGUGCCCAUCCCCGAAUUUUUCGGGCAAACCCUAGUCUUCCCCUUCCUCCGCGCACCUCCCGCCGCCGCCGACGAACCACGCGCCGCCACGUGUCGCCCGUCCGCGUCCCGCCGCCGCCGGCCCGCGAGCCAGCGGGAGGCCCUCCGGGCCCAGAUCGGCGCCGUNNNNNNNNNNNNNNNNNNNNNNNNNNNNNNNNNNNNNNNNNNNNNNNNNNNNNNNNNNNNNNNNNNNNNNNNNNNNNNNNNNNNNNNNNNNNNNNNNNNNNNNNNNNNNNNNNNNNNNNNNNNNNNNNNNNNNNNNNNNNNNNNNNNNNNNNNNNNNNNNNNNNNNNNNNNNNNNNNNNNNNNNNNNNNNNNNNNNNNNNNNNNNNNNNNNNNNNNNNNNNNNNNNNNNNNNNNNNNNNNNNNNNNNNCGCCCGGCCGCCUCCGCCCGAAGCCCGCUGCCGCCGGCCCCGCCUCCAUCGUCGUCGCGCCGCCCGGCGUCGCCCUCGGCCGCCGCCGCCCCGUCUCUGGCCCUCCCCGUCCUCCUCCGGCCGUCCUCUUCUCCGGCGAGUCUCCGGCGUGCCUCGGCCUCCGUGCGAGCCAGGUCGGAUCUGGACCCCUAGGGUUGACUUCUUCUCCCCCGAAAUCCACUAAGUCUUUUUCUGUCAGUAAUUUUGUUGCAUGUUCGUCGCACCACAACUUUGCACCCGCGGCUCCGUUUUGGGCGUGUAGCAUACCGAUUUGUUCAUCUCGACGAGUAAAUCAUUUCAUCUCAUUGCAUCAUUUUCAUUUGAGCUCAUAUUGGUGCCCGAAAUGCUGUUGGAAGAGUGCUUCAUAAUGUUAGUUUCAGAUUCUUAUCAGAACAUGCACUUUUGUCAUUUUUGCCAUGAUUGAUGUGUGCAUCUUAUGUACUUGAGACCUACAUGUGUUUUGAACUAUGCCAUGCCAUAUUUACAGAGGUGCUUACCAUGUAUUUUUGUGAUCAAUGUGGUGACUAGCACAAGCAUGCAAACUAGGCUUCGUGAUAUUGCUGAUUCUAGUCCCUGUUCUGCUGAUAUUUUGAUGCCAUGUAAACAUGAUGCUACAGAGAGAUCCAUGCAUAUUUUGAGAUAUUUCAGUAAGGGUGUUUUGAACAUAUGGUUAUGCUCUAUCCAUUCAUGCCCCUGGUUGCAAUUAUGGAGUAGUCUAGCAUGUCAUUUUCGUGCUCUACUUUUGCUACAAAAUGUUUCCUGGCAGAUUGUUUACAUGUUAUUCAAUUUUGCCAAGGUUGUUGAAGUUGAUCCGUGUAUGCUAUGAUGUUGUUCUUGCCAUGUAUAGCUUCUAUGCCAUGUCUUCUUGAUGGAUGUAUGCUUAGUUUAUCAUGAAAUGCUCUGUAGUGAGUGCAUCGAGCUCGCGAAGAUGCCUUCGUAAUUCUGUCAAUGCCAUGCUUUGUUUGCUGAAUCUGUUAACGAAACUUGCUAUGUUUACAUGGGUGCUAUCAUAUCUUCUGGUCCUUUUUGGCUCAAGGUCACUAAGGGACUUUUGAUCUAUGCUCUGAGUAGAAUCAUGCCAUGUCUUGUUUUGCUAUUAUAAGUUCCUGUAGCAUGUUGAUAACUUGCUCUGAACAUUGCUUCGUGAUGCUAUUUAUGCCAUGUCCUACCUGAUAUUUUUUGCUCUUUUGCCAUGCUUGUUUGAACCUGUUAUGGUGUGAUUUAGCCGUAGCUCAGUGUUCCUCUUUUGUUAAGCAUCUCCUGUAGAUCACUUCCAUAUGCUUUGUUUGUAUGUUGGGGUGCUGUAGCAUAGUUGUUGCAUGCUAAGUAGCAUCGUGCUGUUAAUCGCAGCUUUGUGCCAUUCUUGUCUUGCUUGCCAUUUGCAAACCGUGCAUCCGUUUCCGGUGAUCUUUAUAUCGAUUUCAUCCGAAAUCAUCUCAUCUUUCCAGCCGCAUACUUGGUUUGCCAAGUUGAUGCCUUGUUCAUCCUUUUUCCUCCCGGAGCACGCAUACACAUUGCAUAUCACAUCUCGCAUAUCAUGACAUGUAUUGCAUCAUGUUGCUUGAGCAUUGCACCGUGAUUUAUUGUGUUCCAUUGCUUGUGUUAUUGCUUUGGGUAGAUCCGGGAGACGAGUACGUGCAUGAGGAACCUGUUGAGUACGCUAACGAGGAUCAAGCCUUCGACAACUCUGAGAACCUUGCAGGCAAGAUGACCAUACCUUCGAUAUCACUUCUAUCUUUGCUUUGCUAGAACUCGCUCUAUCGCUAUGUUGGCUCUAUCUGCCUUUGUUUAUCAUGCCUCCCUAUUGCCAUGUCAAACCUCUAACCAUCCUGUCCUAGCAAACCGUUUUUUGGCUAUGUCACCGCUUUUGCUCAGCCCCUCCUAUAGCGUUGCUAGUUGCAGGUGAAGAUGAAGUUUGCUCCUGGUCGGAACAUGGAUAUUUUGGGAUAUCACAUUAUCUCCUAUUUAAUUAAUGCACCUUAUAUACUUGGUAAAGGGUGGAAGGCUCGGCCUUAUGCCUAGUGACUUGUUCCACUCUUGCAGCCCUAGUUUCCGUCAUACCGGUGUUAUGUUCCUUGAUUUUGCGUUCCUUACACGGUUGGGUGAUUUAUGGGACCCCCUUGACAGUUCGCUUUGAAUAAAACUCCUCCAGCAAGGCCCAAACUUGGUUUUACCAUUUGCCACCUAAGCCUUUUUCCCUUGGGUUUUCGCGAGCCCAAGGGUCAUCUUUAUUUUAACCCCCCCCCCCAGACCAGUUCUCCUUCGAGUGUUGGCCCGAAUUGAGCUGCCUGCGGGGCCACCUCGGGGAAACUCGAAGUCUGGUUUUACUCGUAGCUAGUCUCAUCCGGUGUUGCCCUGAGAAUGAGAUAUGUGCAGCUCCUAUCGGGAUUUGUCGGCGCAUCGAGCGGUCUUGCUGGUCUUAUUUUACCAUUGUCGAAAUGUCUUGCGAACCGGGAUUCCGAAGCUGAUCGGGUCUUCCCAGGAGAAGGUAUAUCUUUCGUUGACCGUGAGAGCUUGUGAUGGGCUAAGUUGGGACACCCCUGCAGGGUAUAUUAUCUUUCAAAAGCCGUGCCCGCGGUUAUGAGGCAGAUGGGAAUUUGUUAAUGUUUGGUUGUAGAUAACUUGACACUUGACUUCAUUAAAAUGCAUCAACAGCGUGUGUAGCCGUGAUGGUCUCUUCUCGGUGGAGUCCGGGAAGUGAACACGGUUUGAGUUAUGCUUGACGUAAGUAGUUUCAGGAUCACUUCUUGAUCGCUUCUAGCUUCUCGACCGAUGCGUUGCUUCUCUUCGCGCUCUCACUUGCGUAUGUUAGCCACCAUAUAUGCUCAGUGCUUGCCGCAGCUCCACCAUAUUACCCCUUUUCCUACCUGUGAGCUUAAAUAGUCUUGAUCUCGCGGGUGUGAGAUUGCUGAGUCCCCGUGGCUCACAGAUUCUACCAAAACAGAUGCAGGUGCCGAGGAUACCAGCGCAGAUGGCGCGACCGAGCUCAAGUGGGAGUUUGAUGAGGCCCUUGGUCGUUACUAUGUAUCGUUUCCAGAUGAUCAGUAGUGGAGCCCAGUCGGGACGAUCGGGGAUCUAGCAUUUGGGGUUGUCUUCUUUUCAUUUGGAUUUGACCUUAGCCGGUCUAUGAGUGUAUUUUGAAUUAUGUAUGAUCUUAAUUAUGUAUUGUGUGAAGUGGCGAUUGUAAGCCAACUCUCUUCAUCCCAUUCUUGUUCAUUACAUGGGAUUGUGUGAAGAUGACCCUUCUUGCGACAAAACCACCAUGUGGUUAUGCCUCUAAGUCGUGCUUCGACACGUGGGAGAUAUAGCCGCAUCAUGGGUGUUACAACCAUCUACGAUUAAACUGGAGACUAUUGACAUAUGGAUCCAAAUUCAUGAUGUGCCAGACUUAUAUGCUCAUCUAGUCGGUCCUCUAGCAGCCAAGGUGGGUGAAGUCCUAUUUGCGGAAGCUCCGUCCCAUGAUUUCAAAGGGAAUUUCUACCGUGUGUGGGUGCACAUCAAUGUCCACUAACCCCUCAGAAACACGGUAUCAAUGAUCAGAGACGGGCAGAGACAGAUCUACAAAGUAAAAUAUGAGAGGUUACCGGACUGGUGUGCGGUAUGUGGGAUGCUGGGACACCUCUAUAAAGAGCAUGAUAAUGGAGUUCACCCUCCCUCUGCUCUAGUCUUCAAAGAACUCUGGGCUGAGUGGUUCAUGAACAACCAAAGGGGCCUUGGUGAGGGAGGAGGCCGUCGUGGUGGUCGCCGUGGAGGCCGCUCUAGUGGCAGAUCAAGAAGUGUGCCGGAGAGAGAGCCGGAUAGCAGUUAUGAAGAAACAGCAGGCCAGGUAGAGAAGACAGAUGUGGACAUGUAUGAUCCCAGUAGGAAAAGGACGAACACUGCUGUCAUUAAUGAAACCAAUAAAUCGGUUGGGCAAGUGGUGGGGGCGCUGACUAAUAACAGCAUGACAGUGACCGGGCUGGAGCUCGCUGUUGUGCACCAGAAUUCUACUCCGAUGAGCCCUCCACCGAAGAGGGAGGCAAAGCGAAACAAGACCGAAGAAGAUGGCAAGACUGACAAUCCAAUGGCAAAGAAGAACUUGGUGGGCUCCCUGGAGGAGCGCCGCCGGGCCCAAUGAGUGUGUUAAGCUGGAACUGUCGUGGCGUGGGCAACGCUGCGACAGUUCGCGAACUCCGCACUUUCGCGGAGACUUUUGCCCCUACCCUUCUAUGUAUUGUAGAAACACAAAUUGAUAGAGUAAGGGUAGAGAAUCUAGCUGCUACUCUUGGUUAUGACAAUGGCUACGCUGUAAGUAGUCAAGGUAGAAGUGGAGGAUUAGGGAUUUUUUGGAAUAAUACAAUAAAUGUUGAGAUUUUGGGCUACUCUCCGUAUCAUAUUGACUGCUCUAUUCUUGAGGAGAACAUGGAUCCGUGGAGGAUGACUUUAGUAUAUGGGGAGGCACGGACCCACCUACGGCAUCAAACAUGGGAUAUCAUGAAAGGGAUCAACAGUUUGAGCAGCGAUCCAUGGUUGUGCAUAGGAGAUUUUAACGAAGUUCUACGUCCGGAUGAACAAGAAGGAAUAGGAGAAAGAAGUAAUGCUCAAAUCCAGGGAUUCCGGGAUGCCGUGGACGUUUGCAUGCUCAUGGAUAUGGGAUACCAGGGACACUUUUGGACAUAUGAGAAAAAAGUGGCUGGAGGAAGCUAUACUAGGGUAAGGCUUGAUCGAGCUAUGGCAACAACUGAAUGGAAUGAGAGGUUUCUGAUGGCCUUCUUAAAACAUCUGACGGCUGCCUCCUCUGACCACUGCCCUAUAUUGCUUAACAUGCUUGAUGCGCCGGUCCUGAAGAUACCGAGAACUUUUAGGUAUGAGGUCAUGUGGGAGGCGCAUGAAGACCUGGGCGACACCUUGCUGCAAAGCUGGGCAGCGGGCGGGGCGACAGCAAGAAUGCAAGAGCUCCGUGAUAAGCUGGGCGUGGUUGCAGCUGAUCUUGGGCGGUGGAAUAGGAAUACUUUUGGCUCCGUGCGCAAGGAAAUCAAAGGCCUUAAAACCAAGAUUGAAUGGUUGAGGGCUAACCCAGCAAGGACGGGGCCGUCUCACGUCGAGUUGAAGAUCAACGAGAGAUUAAUCAAACUUUAUCAUAGGGAGGAACUCAUGUGGAGGCAGCGGUCUAGACUGGAAUGGUUAUCGGCGGGGGACAGAAACACUCGCUUUUUUCAUCUUCGGGCAAGCCAGAGACGUAAAAGGAAUAUGAUUAAAGCGCUUGCGAAUUCUUUGGGUGUAAUCAUUGAUGAUCCAGGAGCAUUGAGAACGAUGGUGUCAGAUUUCUAUAAGAGUCUAUAUACCUCCGAAGGUGCAAAUGUAUUGGACCAAGUCAUCUCGAAGGUGCCCGCAAAGGUAACGCAGCACAUGAAUGAUAUUUUGUUGGCCCCAUACAGUAAUGAGGAGAUUAAGACUGCCCUUUUCCAGAUGUUCCCGAUGAAGGCACCGGGGCCCGAUGGUUUCCUGGCUCAUUUCUAUCAACGACACUGGGAUAUCUGUGGUGAAGAGGUCACCCAUGCUGUGCUCAGGAUAGUCAGAGGUGAGGAAAGUGCUGAGUGUGUGAAUGACACUAUUUUGGUGCUCAUCCCGAAGGUUUUGAACCCAACUCAGCUUGCACAGUUUCGUCCAAUAAGCUUAUGCAAUGUCAUAUACAAAAUUGCUUCAAAGGUAGUUGCCAAUAGACUCAAACAGAUACUACCAGAUAUAAUAUCUCAUGAGCAGUCAACUUUUGUUCCAGGCAAGCUAAUAACUGACAACAUAAUAUGUGCUUACGAGUGUCUUCACUUUAUGAAACGGAACAAAUCCAAGUCCAACAACUUUUGCGCUUUGAAGUUGGAUAUGAUGAAAGCCUAUGAUAGGCUUGAGUGGGACUACCUGCAGGCCAUGAUGGAGAAGUUGGGCUUUGCACAACCUUGGGUUGACACAGUUAUGAGCAUGGUCCGGUCCGUCUCUUUUUCAGUUAUGUUUAAUGGUGAGAAGCUAGAGCAAUUUGUUCCAUCAAGAGGAAUUCCGCAGGGAGAUCCCAUCUCUCCUUAUCUUUUCUUAAUCGCAGCAGAGGGCCUUUCGUGCCUUUUAAAAUCCAGUUUUGAGUCGUCGGGUCUUGAGGGAAUCAAGGUGGCUCCUACAACUCCAAUUGUGAACCACCUCCUUUUUGCUGAUGACAGCCUGUUGCUAUUUAAGUCAAGCUCUGAGGGCGUGACAGCGGUAUCAAACCUGUUGGAGACAUAUUGUAGUGCAUCUGGCCAAAGGAUCAAUCAUGACAAAUCAUCUAUCUUUUUCAGCAAGGGAUGCCCACAGCAGAGACGAGAUAGUGUCAAGAACAUUCUGCAUGUGCACAAUGAGUCAUUAAGCGACAGAUAUUUGGGGAUGCCCACAGAUGUUGGCCAAGCCAAGAUGGGGAAAUUUAAGUAUCUCAGAGACAGGAUAUGGGAGAAGGUAAGAGGAUGGAUGGAGAAACUUUUAUCAACUGCAGGAAAGGAAGUUCUAAUAAAAUCCGUGGCCCAAGCUAUACCGGUAUACGCCAUGGCAUGCUUCCGGUUGCCAAGAGGACUUUGUGAUAAUAUAACGUCGGUCAUUCGACAAUUCUGGUGGGGGAGCAAGCAGGGCAAACGGAAACCAGCUUGGGUGUCUUGGGAUGUGAUGAUACACCCCAAAUACUUGGGAGGCUUGGGAUUUCGAGACAUGGAGAUCUUUAAUCUGGCAUUGUUGGCCAGACAAUCGUGGAGGCUUUUGCAUGAUCCAUCGGCCCUAAGCGCACGCAUCCUAAAAGUUGUUUACUACCCGCAAGGCUCUAUUCUUGAUGCUGAGUUGGGCAGCCACCCAUCACAAAUAUGGCGGGCUAUCAUCGAUGGGAGGGAUGUUCUGAAGCAAGGUCUUAUUCGAAGAAUAGGCAAUGGUGCGACCACUGACAUAUGGGAAAGCAACUGGCUCCCCAGAUCGGGUCCGAUGAGGCCCAUCACGGCGCUAGUAGCCAGCCCUCCCAGGCUCGUCCCGGAACUGAUUGACGCCACCACGGCUACUUGGAGAGAGGACCUCGUCCGCUCGGUGUUCAUACCGUUUGACGCAGAUGCUAUCUUGGCUAUCCCAUUAUGCACACGCAAUAUUGAUGAUUUUUGGGCUUGGAGUGCGGAACGCCGAGGUAUCUUUUCAGUUCGAUCGGCUUAUCAGAUGGUGUUAAACACCAAAUUUCAGAGGGAGGAUUGGAUAGAUGAAAAUGCAGGGAUCUCAGAUUUGUCUUCAGAAGGACAUGCAUGGAAUUCGUUAUGGCAUACUAAGGUACCUUCGAAGCAGAAAAUCUUUGCAUGGCGGCUAGCCCAGCACUCGAUGCCUUCCGCUGAUGUUUUACAUCACCGCAACAUGUCACAGACUCCCCAUUGCGCUCUCUGUGGAGCUCAAGACUCAUGGAGACAUGCUUUGCUGGAUUGCACUAUGUCAGAGAUGCAUUUGGGCUUUGUUAGAUGAGCGCUUGGUGGAACAGAUUAGUCUAAACGACGAUGCAAACGCGAAGAACUGGUUGUUCGCUCUGCAUGAGGCUCUAACUCCAACAGGAUUUGUGAGACUAAUCAUAUCCCUCUGGGCGGUGUGGAGAGCGAGGAGAAAGGCGAUUUAUGAGGAUAUAUUUACCAGCCCAAUGUCAACACAUCAGUUCAUCGAAUCUUAUGUGAAUGAUCUCAAGGUAAUUGAAACACCUCGACGAGUGGUGAGUGCCCAGCCUCAGCCUAAGCCUACACAGUGGCUACAUCCACCGGCGACUUUGGCAAAAGUAAAUGUGGAUGCAGCGACAAGAAGAAAUCAGAAGAGGGGAGUGGUAACCGCAGUAUGCAGGGAUCAGAACGGAGUAUUCUUGGGUGCCUCGGCGAUCAGUUUCAGGGGAGUUGAUGACCCUACAACACUUGAAGCGAUGGCAGUCCGGGAGGCUCUUGCCCUAGCUCAAGAUCUCAAUGAACCUAUACAUGUAGCUACUGAUUGCAAGGUGGUGGUGGACGACAUCAAGCAACAGUGUCUGGCAAGUUACGGUGCGAUUAUACAUGAAAUAUUAGAGGCAAGUAGAUCUUUUACUAUCUGUAAUUUUGUCCACGAGUUUAGGAGCUCGAAUUUCGAGUCUCACAAUCUAGCGAAGCAUGCUCUUACAUUAGGGGUGGGCCGCCAUGUUUGGUGAGGACACCCCGGAAAUCUUUUGUUCGUCCCUGUAAACGUUGUGACGUCUUAAUAAAGCUUCGUGGGAUUGCCUCAAAAAAAAAAACUUGGUGGUGGCGUAGAAGAAAAGGAUUGCUGUGUUGGUCAGUGGCAGCGGGGCUAGCACUGCCUAGUUUUGCACAUACUCUGUUGCUUGCACCUGGAAAUAACAUAAACUGGCAUCGAGCGGUCUGCUGUUUGGAGUGACCACGGCGACAAAUUUCUUGACAGGGAGUCCAAUAUCUCCAGCGGCACAUACCCAAUUCGUCCUUCUGCAUUGGCAACCAUCAUAGUCUGUGUUCUGUCCGGUGACAAUGUCACCCUGAUUUUUUAGGAAGGCAAACUCCGCAAACACGAACUAGUUAGAAGCAUCAGAUGCUAUUUUAUUAAAUGUGUUGUCACCUUAUUACAAUCUCUAGGACCUCUCCAGUAGAUAACUUGCAAAAUUCAGAAUAAGGAAAAAUUGGUGCAUCUCAGAAUAAAACUCCUCCCAGCGUGAGGUCCAGUCUUGUAAGUUGUAACUGAAGCUCUAGGUUCAGGGUAUCAUCAAUUAGACUAGCAUAGCAAAAUUAACAUAGAACCCCAAUGUAUAUACUCGAAGGAACUCUUAUCUGGUCAGGCCAACAGCUGGGUAGUGUAACCUUCCUUCCAGCUGGCCAAGCUUUCAGUUCCAAAGUGAGCUACUGGCUUAGACACGUACACAUAUACGGUACCAUGUUGUACAAAUCUGAAGCACCCACCCAUUGCUUUGACAGACACAUUGGCACAACUCAUCUUGCGGCGGUGUUCAUACAAGUCAGCACAAAGAUUUGACCAUGGAUGAACUUCAGAUGAGAGACGCACUAGUUUGUGCACAACAAGAUUAUUACACCCUCUCGUACAUAACUACUAGUACUACUCCAUAGUUUGAAAAACAUCAAAAAUUAACCAGAGAGGAGAGAAGUGAAUAUGUCUUCAAAGACUGUGCACAUUUCCCUCUGUCAGUUUGGAUCAUAAUCAGUCCAUGGCUUCAGGUAACUCAUAUCAGCAAGAAAACACAUACUCUUACCUUGUUCUUCCCUUCUUGGUUCCUCGGGGCUCUCCGGGUGUUCCUCCCGGCCAUGGCAGGACAGUCCACAUCUUAUUUACCCGUGGACGUCCACCAAGAUGAUUUUUUUUAGGGUUUCCACGGAGACGAUUUGUGGUGGGCUUGGAUGCGGGCUUGGAUUUUACGUCUACCUGCAGCUUUCUUGGAGACAGCCCAUUUGAUGAAAUAGACGUUCUGUGCCAGAGAGAUCGUUUUUCUAAUGAACUGGGCCUGAGCACCGAAAGCCCAUCGGAAUCAGGCCCACGACCUUGCACCAGCUGCACCACGCCGCUGCGCUCUUAGUUAGUUUGUUUAGUUCCCUCAAAAAAAAAGUUAGUUUGUUUAGUACCACCUCGCCAACAAGAGGAGGCAGUGGAGGGGGAGCCUGCUAUAUAACGAUCCUUCGGUGCACCCUUGCAACAUACUUACCUGGAUGGGGUCGAUGGCUGAUCAAGAAGAGUCGUACUUUAAAUUUUUUCCUUCCUACUUUAGUGGUUCUUUGUGCUGAAUUCACGUUCAGUUUCAGUUACUUUAUCCUGGCCUUGCAGAGUCAGCUUAUAUGGUGUUUCAAAUUGCUGACAGGUCACUCAAUCCAGUGUGACAGUAUAGAAAUAGACUGUGAUGAGACGCACAUGCAGCAUUACGUGAAGUUGAUGUUCAAGUGGCCUUUACAGUCUACGCUUUUAACAAAAUUAGCAAACCUUGCACUUUACAGGCUCCAAAAUGGUACAGACUAUGGCUUCAGUGUCAGGAUUUCUUUGAAGCUCAGACAGUCACUGUAGCGACACCGCAGUGCUGAAGCACCAACAAUUUUACAAGCACAGCUACAUCUGAAUGUACAACGUAACGAUGACUAGAAUAUCUAUGUGUAGUUUAAACUGCUAAGCAUCUCUUGGUAAGGUAUCCCACCAUGCAUUUGGGAUUCAGUGUUAAUUAGCAUUCUCGCAUCAACGACCAGUUCUGCGAAUCCGAAUUCCAACCGGGUUACAGUCUCCUCAAUGCACCAUCAAAAAAACAGUCUCCUCAAUGCAGCAAAGAAGACUAAAGUUCUGCUUGGAAUCGGUGUAUUUUUAUACACCUGUAUUUGUUUUACAAGUGUAUCUUACCGUCCGUGUGCAAAUUCCACCUGAGAAUCAAAACGACGGAUUGUGGUCUGUAUAUUUUACAGGGGUAAAAGCGCUGUAUAUUUUACAGGGGUAAAAGCGCUGGAAACGACAAUCCAAUCAAGGCCUAACUUGGUAGCAGAGCUAGAGAAUCAGUGGCCGUUCUGGAUAGAACAUUAUACCUGAUAUAGUCUUGGAAGAUAGUACUGAGCAAGAAGUAUAAGCAACAAGAAUGUUAUACCUGAUAUUGUGGCCACAUGAUUUAUGCGGGACAAGUGGGUUUAGCGGGAUGUCCACAUAUUUUGGUUGUAUUUGGUCCUGUAAGAUUUAAACACUUAGCGUCACACAGCGAUGAACGUAAGUUUCAGAGUACUCGUUUCUGUCUUCAGAGUUCAUGUGGAUAUCCUUUCUGUCUACAGAGCAAAACAAAAUUUUAGAACACCAACUGUAUACGUGCAUGACUGUCGAUUGCUAACAUCCAUGCUCCAAGAGUGCAUGAACUAAUUAAAAGCAUCAGAUGCUAGUUUAUUCAACGUGUGGUCAUCUUAUUACAGUCUCUAGGACAAUAGAUAGCUUGCAAAAUUCAGAAAAAGAAAAUUAGGAGCUUCUCAGAUUAAAACUCCUCCCGGCGUGAGGUCCUACUUGUGACUGAAGCUUCAGGUUCAGGGUAUCAUCAAUUACACUAGCAUAGCAAAAUUAACAGAGAACCCCAACGUAUAUACCCAAAGGAGCUCUUAUCUGGUCGGUCCAACAGCUGACUGGUGUAACCUUUCUUCCAGCUGACCAAGCUUUCUGUUUCAAAGUGAGCUAUACUAGCUUAGGCACAUAUACAUAUACGGUACGUAUUAUGCAAGUGUGAAGCACCCACCCAUUGCUUUGACAAACACAUUAGCGCAACUCAUCUUGCAGCGGUGUUCCUACAAGUUAGUACAAACAGUUGACAAUGGAUGAACGCAAUGCACAACAAGAUUACAUUCUCUCGUACUACAUAAACAUAACCUGAAAAACAUCAAAAUUAACCAGAGAGGAGAUAACUGAAUAUAUCUUCUAAGACUGCGCAUAUCUCCCUCUGUCAGUUGGCCAUGGCCGGGGCGGGGGCUCUCCGUUUUCCUUUUUUUUGAGGGGAGGGGGCUCUCCGGGAGCUCCUCUCGGCCAUGGCAGGACAGUCCACAUCGUUUCAGCACCUUUUUUUUUUGAGAAACACGAAGAUGAUUUAUGUGGGCUUGGAUGUGAGAGAUCGUUUUUCUAGUGCCAGAGAGAUCGGUUUUGUAGUGAACUGGGCCUGAGCACCAAAAGUCCCAUCAGAAUCAGGUCCACGACCUUGCACCAGCCGCACCACGGUGCUGCGCUCUUAGCCAGUUUGUUUAGUACCACCUCGCCAGCAAGAGGAGGCAGGAGAGGGAGAGACUGCUACAUAAUGAUCCCUGGGUGCACCCUUCAACAUACUUACCUGGACGGGGUGACUGAUCAAGAAGAGUCGUGGCCUAGGCUAGUGGUUCACAUUGCACUUGGUGGAUGUGCUGGCUUACCAUCUCCCCAAGUGAGAGAGUGGACGUCAUAAUUUGUGAUAGAGGGGGUACGCGUCCGCGCGGCCCCUGCCAAUUUUUAAAUAAGAUUUGGCUUUUAUAAUUGUGAGGAUUUAUGUGUUUGUUUGGCCCCUGCCAAUUCUCUAAAUUAAACAUUGGGCCUUUAUUAUUGAAAUAGUACUAGCAUUGCAGCUGCUGAAGACAUAAGUUGUACUAGCAGAUGUCUUAUUUGGCGUAAUAUCACAGUCGAGGUACCUAAUAUUACACCCAGUUUCAUUCUUGCAACUCAUUUUCCAGCAGGCUGUUUGGUCAUCAACAGAUACUCCUAGCAAGCACCAUACUGCACCUAGUACCUGAAUGAAGAGGAGCAGGGGAUCCUAAGAAAAUUGCAAUACAUAUCAAACCAUGAAAGGUUGCCUAUAAAAGCAUAUAUAUACCGUACAUGACUAGCUAACAAGUAAAGUAGCAGGUUGUAUUGUAUACAGGCCCUCCACAGGCAGCCUUUGCAACAACUCCAGUAGCUUUGACAAAUUCAUAAGUUAGAGGGAAUAUGAGAUAUAGUCUUGGAAGAUGCUGAGCAAGAACUAUAACCACUAGAAUGUUACUGUUAUGCCCAGCAGUAGAGUACUUGAUGCCUUGAUAGCUGGUAUCACAUCUGCACAUCUGCACAUUAAGUAAAGAUACAUAAGCAGAAUAAAUACAUGAGAAAUUGAGAUGAAAUGCUUCUAGGCCGCACGGAACAAUACAUAUGCACUAGAUAUAUAGCUAUGUGUGCAUGGAGAGGCCAGAGUGGCAGAUCAAAACCUAUGGAUUAUAAUUAAUUACUGCCGGUCUAGUACGGCAGGAAAUUGUGGUAAUUUAUAUUGUGCCCGCACGUGCCCACAUAUGUUUUAUGCGGGACAAGUGGGUCUAGCGUGAUGUCCACAUAUUUUGGUUAUAUUUGGUCCUGUAAGAUUUAAACACUUAGCGUCACAGAGCGAUGAACGUAGUGUUAGAUCCGUCGGAAUCGGUUAGGCUAGAUAUUCCGGUAGUUCUUACCUUCUGCUUGUGGCUCAAGGAGGUCCCGGUUCCGGCCAUGGUGGAGUGGCCGGUGAUGGCAGAGAGUGGUGGCGUUGGUGGGCUUCCCAUCGCUUCAGCGCCUCCCUUUGGAUCAGAUAGGGUUAGGAGUGGGGAACAGUGGCGGUGACGAACCUCGUACCCUAUGCCCCUGGUCCCCACCUCCUCUUUAUAGCACUGCGCGACAGGGGCCCACCAGCCUUGCUUGGGCUGGACGCCCCCGAUCAGGGCGUGGGUCAAGGGCCCAAUGAGCCGUUGGGCCCAUUGGUGGAGAGAUCAAUCUAACAUUCUCCCCCUUGAUCUCAUCAUAUACUUUUAACUUUAUACUUUGAAAUAACUCUUUUCAAAGUACUCGUUCCAUCACAGAUUUGCAUGUAGAGCAUGUCUCAUCAUCACGGUCUAUCCCGAUAGAAUCAACACCUACAACACACACCUCUGUUUUGAAAUAGUUUCUUUAACCUUGGGCCCUUUUAUUGUCCGGAAGUGUUAGACUAUACCAUAAAACCCAUGUAGACUGCGUGUUCUCCGAACACACUGGGCGGUAAGCCUUUAAUAAGCAGAUCUGCAAAACACUUGUCUGUUGCUUAUGCUUCAAGCAUUUCUACAUAAUUCCGGACUUUCUCCUUUACAACGCAUAACUCUGUGUUAGUGUGUUUGGCAUCAACACUUGACUCGUUGUCAUAGGAGCACAAACUUUAAAAUGGUUAUCGUUGUUGCAACCAUUAUCAACUCCGGGUACAGGUCUCCUUAACCAUUUUGCCUGUCCCUCAGCCUCAUAUCAAGCUAUAAAGUAUCUUUGCAUCACAUUUAUGAUAAUUGUUUCAUUCUUUGGAGCUUUUCCACACAAAAAUCUCCAAGUAUGAAAGUUAGCGACAAUUGUGGAUUUCGCUAUACAUUUCACAAGUCCUGUCUUUGUACUCACAAUCUUUUGAGAUGACUUAUUUCUUUCAGCAUGAGGCCAAUAUCCUUGACUCCAUUCCAGUGAUCUAUAUCUGGACUGGACAUUACCAAAACAACCCGGUUACGUGAACUGUGUCACGGUAAUGUUAUACUUUUGCAUUCAUUAAGCUUCCAACAGCUGAAGCAUAUGGUACCAUAUUCAUUUGGUCUAUUUCGUAUUGACUUUUGGAACACUAAAGUUCCCAAAAUCAUUACCCUUUACUAUAAGAACAGGUGUAGGUUUUCUCGCAUGCAUACUUUAGAAACUUUCCUUAGCAUGCCCAUGCGACACUCCUAAUACCCCUUUUAUUCUUUUCUCGGUGAAUCUCGAUCCUUAUAACGAGAGACAUUCUUUUGAACUUUGAGGACAAAAACUUCUUUUCCUCCUGCAGUCGAAUUAACAUCACUACUAACAAGCAGAAUGUUAUCCGCAUGUACAAGAUAUAGGAAAUGAAAUUCCCAUUCUAUAACUUUAUACAAACACAAUUGUCCUCUCAUUUUCUUUAACCCAAAACAACAUUUGAUUACUUUAGUCCAUAAAGACUUCUUCAGGCAGUAUCCCCUAUGUUCUUUACUUUCAUCUGAAGUAACUCAGAUCAUAAUAUCUUUCAUCUGAUGUAACUCAGAUCAUAAUGUGCUACCAACACUCAUUGUAAUCUAUUAGUGUAAAAUGCGCAAAAACCUUUCGAUCUUAGUCGUGUUUUACACCUUUACAUAUUUCCUUUGGAGUCACAUUGACCUUGUAGACUCUUUACAGCCUACUGUUUUGGCUCCAUUGGAAAUUACUCAUGAGUCCCGAACAUCGUCAGAAUUCAUCAAUUUCAUUUCAUCUCAUAGUCUCUUAUCAUUUAGAUAAGCAGACACUUCUCAAAAACUCGAUUGAGCGCUCUAGAUGAGGUGGGAUCAACCUCCAUUUGAAUUUCACUAACAUAGACUUUAUAGUAAUCAGAAGUAUCUGAUUUUCUCAUUCCUUGAGACCAUCUGUGUCUCAGGUACUAGCACUUCUUUCAUAUGGGUCUGUUGUUGCUCUGUCAUUGCCAAAAGGCAAAUUAUUGUAUAGUCUUUCAUUUCCAAGAGGCAAUAGGUUUUACAGGAACCUUUAUCAUAAGAUCCAUGUUAAAUCAUUCCUCCUUUAUAGAGCUAACAAUGGGUGUUGUAUAGGUCAUACAACGUGCUCCCCCAGAUACAAUCUAUUUGAGUCUUAGGUAUCUUCAUACCAUGCUCCCUCAGAUUACUCCAUCUUCACUAAGAAUGGUGUAUCUUUAAACUUUAUUAUUUGGGUUUAUUCUGUUAAAACUUUUUUCUUUAUGGCACUUUAAGCACCGUCUUAGUAUUCCUUAGUCUUCUUUUCUUUAGGGGUAUUAUUAUAAUCAUCGUACUCCCCCGGACGAUCACAUUCUUCAUUAAUGGGUAUCUCAUAUUUCUUUCUCUCCCUCGAAAUGUGGCAAGAACUUUUCUGCCACAAUUUCGAAAAACCAUUCACAACUCUUGUGAAUUGAGGAAACUUUGAGUAUCUACUUCAUUUAUCUGAUUACUUCAUAUGUAAUGAAGUUAUCAGUUAACUGGUAUGGGAGUACUUUUUCCUUAUUCCAUUUCAGAAACUCAAUAGAAUUCUUUAUCAUUAGUACUUUUGCAAGUCACACUUGCAUAUCAUUCUUAUCUUUAGGUUCGUUUGUAACUUUUAUUCUCUUCGGAUUUAUUGAGUGCUUAAUGACCGUUACACAUAAGAUGUACGGUCGAUACGAGGAAGGCAUAAUAGCUACUCCAUACUUUUCUCCCAGAGUGGGACACAUUAAAAGCACAUGAGUCAUCAUGUUUUUCUCCUGUCAUACAUGAUAAGUCUGAGAAAAUUUCUGCCGCCAUACGGGUUACGCAAGGAUUUUCCCAGACUUUUCCUGCCAUGCUGGUUUUAUCAUAAUCAUCUUUCCCCGCCAUGCGGGUAAUUCCCUGUAAGGGACAUAAAGGCCAGAAUUGGCUCUUUUUCUGCAUAUUCAAUCAUCAAAUUUAGGAAUAAAUCCGAAUAUUCUUUAAUACACAUGCUUAAUCCGACGUUGGUCAAAUUAAUCACGCAUAUCACUUAUUGCAUCUCAUAGAAGAUGAGAAUUCUUUUCCAUGGAGAGUACAUGAAGACAUUCGUCGAGCAAGACUCUCAAUUAUAUAUCUCUUUUCUUUUGAAGUCAUUCUUUAGAGAGAACAUACUCCCUUACGUUGACCUUUCUUUGUCAUCUCUCGGGUCACAAGUACCCAGCCGUUUGCUUUCACGAAUGAAGGCAUGGAAAACUUUUAGUGUGAGAAAACUUAACCAAUAAUCAACAAUAAUGAGCAUAAAAAUAACCCCAUGUUUAUCUAGUUAAAAAAAUAUGCACAUUAAACUUUUAUAACUUUAUUUUAUAUUCUAAAUCACCGUUGGGCAGAAUUAGAACAAAACAUCAUUCUUCUACAUUAAUUCCAUAUCACCGUUGGGCGGAAAUGAAAAUAAUGCAUAUAACUCAUAAACAAUGUGAUGAUAGUAUAAACUUUUUUUUCAUAGUAUGUCUAUUAAACAACUUUGUUAAGAAAUAACCAUCAUCACCAACUUUAUUACAGCGGAAACAAGAAAUAUACAUUUCUCUUGUUCAAGAGCAUUUCUUGAUCUUUUAUCGGUUCUCUGAAAAUUUUGAUACAACUUUUAUCAGAGAUUUAAGCUUUGAACAUAAGACUCAUAGAAUUAUAAUAUCGUCAUCAUCAACAUUGGUCAGAAAAUAACAAUACCAUAAUUAAACUUUAAUCAAAUGUCUUUCUACUGUUAUAGCAGAAGCUAUCUGCAUCUUAUUUCACCCACAGGGGAAAAACAUUGCUAAGAACAGUUCUUCCAAUUAAUUUUUUCCGUUGGUUCCAAUUUAAUUGGAGGAUACAACUUUUAUUUUGCAGCGGAAAACUUUACAAUAUUCUAUUCAGAAACAAUUCUAUACUCUUUUACUCUCUAAGCAAUUUUAACCGGUUGGUUCAAAAAUGCAUUAGAAUAUAAUCUUUUUCUUUAGUUCUAUUCACUUUUUCAAAAAAAACAAACUUUUAUUUUUAUUUGCAGCAGAUAAACAUGAAUAGAAAAAUCAUGGACUUUUUUAUUCUUUACAAAAACUUUUCUUUGACCAAAUAAAAAUUCAUGAACUUUAUUAUUUUCUUUGUAAAAUUCAUGAACAUUUCCUUUUCUGAAAAUUUUCUAUUUUAAUUUUCAGAAACUUUUUCUGUUUACUUUUUUUUUCUAAAACAAAAUUUUCGUUGGAAAAUAUUUGCAUAGAAAAACUAUUUAAAAUAUGCCCAAAAUCUGGAGAAAUAACAACAACAAAAAAUGCAGCUGGCCCCGCGCGCUGCCACGGCUUCGGCCCAGCGCCCCGCGCGUGCGCCCGCGGCGGCUGGCCUGGUCCGACUCAACUUUUGGCCCAAAAAGCCCGGGGCGAGGCUAGGGUUUCGAUCUCAGCCGUUCGAUUGCAUCUAACGAUCCAGCGAACUUUUCUCUCGAACAAAACCGAGGAGAGCCCCCGAUCCGAAAACCUAGCCCCCAUUCUCUCGAUGCUUCUUUCCCUCUUCGUCUCUGUAGUCGCCCGCGACAUCGAUGGCCCAGCCGCCGGCGACGGCGCCGAGGGCCACCGCGCCGCGCCCGGCCGCCGGCGACGGCCACCCUGCCGCGCCUCUUUUUCCCUUCCUUUCCUCCCUCCAUAUCUCUAGUGACAGAGAAAGAGAGCAGCGGGGUCGAGCCCUCUCUGAUCCCCAUCGCCGCGGACCUCUCUAGCUGCCGGCGGCUGGCCGGUGGCUAGCGAGGCUCCCCGGCGCGGUGAGGCUCCACCUUUUCCCUUUCCCCUUCUGUUUUCUUCUUUUCUUUUAUCCUUAACACACCGUGGCAGAGAGAGAGAGAGAGAGCGAGAACCUGCUGCCUCCUUUGCUCCCAUUCGAGUUCAACGAUGGCAGAGCGAACGACAGCGGCGCCGUGGCCUUCCCCCUCGCUGGUUGCGCGUCCACCUUGCGGUGAGCGCGCCGCCGUCGAGCGGAUUGGUCGCAGUGCCCUUUGCCCCUUGCGGGGUUGUUCUUCGACCGGACGGCUCGGCUUGCCGAUGCCCGUUCGGAUCGAGAGGGGCUGGCGCGGCCGGAGUGGCGGCGCACUUUGCCGGCGGGGGCCGAGGCCCUCUGCCGGUAAACUUUCUGCUUUUUUGUUGUUGUUUGUCUCUGCCCUGCUAGGGUUCUUUGGGAAGGGGUGGGGAGGGAGGGAUUUUUUUUUUCUGUGUAUGCACUUUGUACCGAAAUUCUUAGCCUAGAUGGCCUGAUACCAUUGUUAGAUCCGUCGGGAUCGGUUAGGCUAGAUAUUCCGGUAGUUCUUACCUUCUGCUUGUGGCUCAAGGAGGUCCCGGUUCCGGCCAUGGUGGGGUGGCCGGUGAUGGCAGAGAGUGGUGGCGUCGAUGGGCUUCCCAUCGCUUCAGCGCCUCCCUUUGGAUCGGAUAGAGUUAGGAGUGGGGAACAGUGGCGGUGACGAACCUCGUACCCUGUGCCCCUGGUCCCCACCUCCUCUUUAUAGCACUGCGCAACAGGGGCCCACCAGCCUUGCUUGGGCUGGACGCCCCCGAUCAGGGCGUGGGUCAAGGGCCCAAUGAGCCGUUGGGCCCAUUGGUGGAGAGAUAUCCGUUUCUGUCUUCAGAGUUCACGUGGAUAUCCUUUCUGCCUUCAGAGCAAACGAAAUUUUAGAACACCAACUGUAUACGUGCAUGACUCUGUCAAUUGCUAACAUCCAUGCUCCAAGAGUGCACGAACUAAUUAAAAGCAUCAGAUGCUAGUUUAUUCAAUGUGUGGUCACCUCAUUACAAUCUCUAGGACAGUAGAUAACCUGAAAAAUUCAGAAUAAGGAAAAUUGGUGCUUCUCAGAAUAAAAACUCCUCCCAGCGUGAGGUUCUACUUGUAACUGAAGCUUCAGGUAAGACUAAAUAUAUCUUCUAAGACUGUGCACAUCUCCCUCUGUCAGUUUGGAUCAUAAUCAGUCCAUGGCUUCAGAUAACUCAUGUCGGCAAUCAUGUAAAAAAAAAAAACUCUCGCAGACCUCGUCGAUAUCUCCAACCCCUGGGUGCAAUUGCUCCUUGUGCCACACCCGGUGCUUGCCGUCGAUGAGCAUCAGAAGCACCUGGCCUUCCGGCCCCAACACCCUGGUCUUACGUCUACCAUCCUUGAUUUCAGCUAGCUAUUUUCAGUGACAUGCUUACUCCUCUUGGAUUUUAUUCCAUGAUAAGUUUUUUUUUGAGUAACAUUCCAUGAUAAGUAUGUAUUGGAAGUUGAAAUGCCAGCUUUCGUGGAGACAGCCCAUUUGAUUUUAUUUUUUGAGGGGUGGAGACAGCCCAUUUGAUGAAAUAGACAUUCUGUGCCAGAGAGAUCAUUUUUCUAAUGAAGUGGGCCUGAGCACCGGAAUCAAGCCCACGACCUUGCACCAGCUGCACCAGGGCGCUCUUGGUUAGUUUGUUUAGUACCACCUCGCCAGCGAGAGGAGGCAGGGGAGGGGGAGCCUGCUAUAUAAUGACCCCUCGGUGCAACCUUGCAACAUACUUACCUGGACGGGGUCGACGGCUGAUCAAGAAGAGUCGUGGCCUAGGCUAGUGGUCCAUAUUGCACCUGGUGGAUGCGUUGGCCUACCAUCUCCCCAAGUGGGAGAGUGGACGUCGUAAUUUGUGGUAGAGGGGGUACGCGUUCGCGCGGCCCCUGCCAAUUCUCUGAAUUAAAUUUUGUCCUUCCUACUUUAGUGAUUCUUUGUGCUGAAUUCACGUUCAGUUUCAGUUACUUUAUCCUGGCCUUGCAGAGUCAGCUUAUAUGGUUUCAAAUUGCUGACAGGUCACUCAAUCCAGUGUGGCAUUUUAGAAAUAGACAGUGUGAUGAGACGCAUAUGCAGCAUUACCUGAAGUUGAUGUUCAAGUGGCCUUUACAGUCUAUACUUUCAACAAAAUAGCGAACCUUGUACGGACAGACAGUUUAUAGGCUCCAAAAUGAUACAGACUAUGGCAUCAAUGUCAGGAUUUCUUUGAAACUCAGACAGCCAGUGUAGCGGCACCCUGUGCUGAGGCACCAAGAAUUUUACAAAUGUACAACGUACCGAUGACUAUUAUAUAUGUGUACUUUAAAUUGUUAUAAACAUCUCUUGGUAAGGUAUCCCACCAUGCAUUUGGGAUUCAGUGUUAAUUAGCAUUCUCGCAUCAACGACCAGUUCUGCGAAUCCGAAUUCCAACCGGGUUACAGUCUCCUCAAUGCACCGUCAAAAAAACAGUCUCCUGAAUGCAGCAAAGAAGACUAAAGUUCUGCUUGGAAUCGGUGUAUUUUUAUUGUUUUACAAGUGUAUCUUACCGUCCGUGUGCAAAUUCCACCUGAGAAUCAAAACGACGGAUUGUGCUCUGUAUAUUUUACAGGGGUAAAAGCGCUGUAUAUUUUACAGGGGUAAAAGCGCUGGAAACGACAAUCCAAUCAAGGCCUAACUUGGUAGCAGAGCUAGAGAAUCAGUGGCCGUUCUGGAUAGACCAUUAUACCUUACUCGUAGGGUUCGACCAAGAAAUCUGGCUCGUCCGGCUUCUUUAGCGUCGGCAACUCUUUUAUGGCCUGAAGCCCUUUCCUGUUCCUAGCCAUGACUUUACCGGCCACCAUUCUUAUUUCUUAGAAAGAUAUUCCUCAUGGGUGGAGGAACAUCUUCACCAUCCGAGUCUUCUGAUCUCAUGGACGGGCUGCAGGGUUCAGGGUAUCAUAUCAUCAAUUAGACUAGCAUAGCAAAAUUAACAGAGAACCCCAACGUAUAUACUCAAAGGAACUCUUAUCUUGUCAGUCCAACAGCUGAGUAGUGUAACCUUCCUUCCAGCUGACCAAGCUUUCAUUUCCAAAGUGAGCUAUACUAGCUUAGGCACACACACAUAUACGCUACCUGUUAUGCAAGUCUGCUUUGAAAAGCACAUUGGCACAACUCAUCUUGCAGCAGUGUUCCUACAAGUUAGUACAAACAUUUGACCAUGGAUGAACUUCAUAUGAAAAACGCACUAGUUUGUGCACAGCAAGAUUGCAUUCUCUCGUACAUAACUACUACUACUACACAAUCUGAAAAACAUCAAAAUUAACCAGAGAGGAGAGAACUGAAUAUAUCUUCUAAGACCGCGCACAUCUCCCUCUGUCAGUUUGGAUCAUUAUCAGCACAUACCCUUACCUUGUUCUUCCCUUCUUGGGUCGUCGGGGCUCUUGCAGACCUCGCCGAUAUCGUCAAUCCCUGUGCCACACCAGGUGCUUGCCCGUCGAUGGGCAUCACAAGCACCUGGUCUUGUCAUCCGGCCCCAACACCCUCCGGUGGUGCUCCCCGUGCGGCCAUGCCGGCCUUUCACUCCCUUUGUUUCCACCACUGUUUUUUUUAGAAGAAUUUCCACCGCUGCUUUUUUUAGAUGAAUUUCCACCGCUGCUAUGAUGGCAGAAGUUGCAGCCUGAUCCAUCUAAGCCGCAGUGGAUGAUGGCAGAAGCUGCUAUGAUGGCAGAAGCUGCUAUGAUCUUACCAAUUUUUGAUGAAAUAGACAAACACUAUGCCAGAGCGCUUUUCUAAUGAACUGGGCCUGAGCACGAGAGCCCCAUCAGAAUCAGGCCCACGACCUUGCACAUGCAUAAUUGGUUUGCUACCAACAUUUGGUAUUGCCAAUAUUUGUCAAGCCAACAUUUGGUAAAAUCAAAAAUUGCCAAUAUUUGGCAACUUCUUAUAAGAUUGGCAAUGAAAAUUGGCAAGCAAUCAAUCUCUAACCAAAAUUUGGCAGUUAACAAAAUUUGGCAUGCUAACUUUUAGCAUCAAACCAAUUAUGCUCUAAGUUAGUUUGUUUAGUACCACCUCGCCUACGGGAGGAGGCUGGGGAGGAAGAAUCAGCUAUAUAAUGAGCCCUCGGUGCACCCUUGCAACAUACUUACCUGGACGGGGUCGACGGCUGAUCAAGAAAAGUCAUGGCCUAGGCUAGUGGUCCACAUUGCACUUGAUGGAUGCGCUGGCCUACCAUCUCCCUAAGUGGGAGAGUGGACGUCGUAAUUUAUGGUAGAGGGGGUACGCGUUCGCGCGGCCCCUGCCAAUUCUCUAAAUCAACUUUUGGUCCUUCAGUGAUCAAUAUUCAGUAGCUUUCUGCUAAAUUCAUGUAAAGUUUCAGCUACAUCAACCUGGCCUUGCAGAAUCAGCAUGUUCCAAAUUGCUAGCCGCCAAAAAAUAAUAUGAUGGCAGGUCACUCCUUCAAAUUGCUAGCCGCCAAAAAAUAAUUUGAUAGCAGGUCACUCCAUCUAGUGUGUGACAGUUUACUCCAGCCCAAACAAAUGGAAAUAGACAGUGUGAAGGGGGAUAUGCAACAAUUACAUGAUACUAGUAGGCGGAGGCGUGGCGCCAUGCCGCGCCUGUGUUUAAGUCCGUUGUCGAUUAUUUUGUGCCUUAGUCCACUGUUACUCGAUAUUGAGAUGAUAGGGUAGAUAAAUAUUGCAACAAAAUAUUUGGUAAGUUUCAUUGAGUAGAUCAAUGGAUAUGGUGGCAUACAUGGUCGAUGGGCAUCUUUUAUCCGUAUUAUUCUUUUGGGUACUGAUCCUUAAAUAUUUUCUACUUAUGACAAUAACCUUUUUUGUGUCUAGCUUGAACACAUUCUUCGUUACAAAGGAAGCAAAACGACAUACCUACAUACCAAGUCCAUGGCAUAGAAAUUCGGUUAAACUGAGCAUCAAAAUAUUCUUCUCCAUAUACCAAAGAGGACCCCCGCAAAAAAAAAUACCAAAGAGGAGUAAGUGGUCAUACAUAAUUGCCUUAUCUGCUUCAUUCAAACAGGAUUAUUUACAUGAUAGCAAUAUGUGUCAUGAAGAACAGCUAUACAUAAACUCAUUGAAGCUGGGCCAACUAAAAGAAGCCAAAAAGGAAACGACCAUGGCGAGACCACUGGAUGCUCUUCUCUGACCAUUUCAUCAGCACAUCUAAUAGUUUUCCCCUAGCAUCAAGAAACAUGAAUAGCGUCAAUGAUUCAGACAUUAUUCAUGAAGAUAUUUUUUUUCGAAAAGGGGGGGCUCCCCGGCCUCUGUAUCAGAACGAUGCAUACGGCCACAUUUAUAAAUAAAAUAGGUUCAACAAGGUCUUAAAGUCUGGAAAUAAAAAGAAAAGCUAGCUCACAGAGAGCCUCAACGCCAAAGACAAAAAGGCCAUAGAGCCACAACCGGCUGGCAAAACAAAGAUAGGAAAACUAAUCGCCUAUCCUAUUACAUGACUGCCAUCCAAACCGGUUGAAGAUAUCCCGUGCUACCAUCUCCCACCGGACAGAUUCAGUAACCAAACGCUCCCUGGCCUCCGUCGGAGUGAGUAAGGACCACAUACGGAUCACCGCCGUAGCUCAGAAUAAAACCUGCAAAAAAUGAAUAGUUGUUGUUCUGUUAAAAGCCAAAUCAUUUCUGCAGUUCCAAAUUGCCCAUAAUAACGCACAUACUCCUACACGAAUGUGUCUAGUUGUAUCGGACUCUAUCUCAACAAGCCACGUUCCAAAUAACGUACCGACCGAAUUCGGAGGAGUAAUGUUAAAGGCAAUUUGCACGGUGCGCCACAAAACUCUCGCCAACAGGCACUCAAAGAAGAGGUGCUUAAUGGUCUCAUCCCAAUCACAGAAACUGCACCUAGUAGAUCAUGUCCAAUUGCGCUUAACCAAGUUGUCAUUUGUUAAAAUGACUUGUUUAUGUACAAACCACAUAAACACUUUAAUCUUCAAAGGAACUUUUACUUUCCAAACAUGUUUGGAACUAGGAAUGACACUAUAGUUAAUGACAUCGAUAUACAUCGACUUAACCAAAAAUUCUCCAGACCUAGUAAGUUUCCAACACAACUGAUCGGGCUGAUGAGCUAACUGAACCUCCAUCAGUCUACGCACCAAAUGCCCACCUAUCACCAACAAGCACCCUCCGAAACUGGAUAUUAAGGGGAAUGGACUGCAUAAUCGUUGAAACUAGCGCAUCACGUCGUUGAACAAUACGAUACAGGGACGGGUACUGGAGCGCCAAUGGCGUAUCACCAAGCCAAGUAUCCUCCCAGAAACGGGUAUUGUUGCCAUUACCGACUAUAAACUUUGUUCUAUUAAAGAAGGUUGUCUUAACUCUCAUAAGCCCCUUCCAAAACAGCGAAUCAGUUGGUCUCACUGUCACCUGUGACAAAGUCUUGGACUGCAGAUACUUGUUACGAAGAAUCGGCGCCCACGUUGCGUCAGUCUCAACUGAUAACUUAGACAACCACUUACUGAGAAGGCAUCUGUUCUUGACCUCAAGAUUCUCAAUACCCAGACCCCCUUGGUCCUUUGGUCUACAGAUGAUAUCCCAUUUGGCGAGUCAGUACUUUCUCUUUAGUUCAUCAUUCUGCCAAAAAAAUCUUGAUUGGUAGAAGUCCAGCCUUUUCCUAACCCCAAAUGGAACUUCGAAGAAAGAUAGUAGGAACAUCGGCAUACUCGUGAGCACCGAAUUGAUAAGAAUCAACCGGCCUCCAUAAGACAUGAGCUUGCCCUUCCAGCAACUAAGUUUCUUCUCAAACCGAUCUUCGAUGCAUUUCCACUCUCUGUUUGUUAGCUUACGAUGGUGAAUGGGUAUACCUAGGUAAGUAAAAGGUAAAGCCCCUAAUUCACUGAAGGAAAUAUGCCCUAGAGGCAAUAAUAAAGUUAUUAUUUAUUUCCUCAUAUCAUGAUAAAUGUUUAUUAUUCAUGCUAGAAUUGUAUUAACUGGAAACAUGAUACAUGUGGGAAUACAUAGACAAACUUAAUGUCACUAGUAUGCCUCUACUUGACUAGCUCAUUAAUCAAAGAUGGUUAUGUUUCCUAACCAUAGACAUGUGUUGUCAUUUGAUUAAAGAGAUCACAUCAUUAGGAGAAUGAUGUGAUUGACUUGACCCAUUCCGUUAGCCUAGCACUUGAUCGUUUAGUAUGUUGCUAUUGCUUUCUUCAUGACUUAUACAAAGUUCCUACAACUAUGAGAUUAUGCAACUCCCGUUUAUCGGAGGAACACUUUGUGUGCUACCAAACGUCACAACGUAACUGGGUGAUUAUAAAGGAGCUCUACAGGUGUCUCCAAAGGUAAAUGUUGAGUUGGCGUAUUUCGAGAUUAGGUUUUGUCACUCCGAUUGUCGGAGAGGUAUCUCUGGCCCCUCUCGAUAAUGCACAUCACUAUAAGCCUUGCAAGCAAUGUGACCAAUGAGUUGGUUACGGAAUGAUGCAUUAUGUAACGAGUAAAGAGACUUGCCGGUAACAAGAUUGAAUUAGGUAUUGGAUACCAACGAUCGAAUCUCAGGCAAGUAACAUACCAAUGACAAAGGGAACAACGUAUGUUGUUAUGCGGUUUGACCGAUAAAGAUCUUCGUAGAAUAUGUAGGAGCCAAUAUGAGCAUCCAGGUUCCGCUAUUGGUUAUUGACCAGAAACAGUUCUAGGUCAUGUCUACAUAGUUCUCGAACCCGUAGGGUCCGUACGCUUAACGUUACGAUGACAGUUUUAUUAUGAGUUUAUAAGUUUUGAUGUACCGAAGGUUGUUCGGAGUCCCGGAUGUGAUCACGGACAUGACGAGGAGUCUCGAAAUGGUCGAGACAUAAAGAUUGACAUAUUGGUGUUGGGGAACGUUGCAUGAAAUAAAAAAAAUUCCUACGUUCACCAAGAUCCAUCUAUGAGUUCAUCUAGCAACGAGAGAGAGAGACAUGCAUCUACAUACCCUUGUAGAUCGCGUGCGGAAGCGUUCAAGAGAACGGGGUUGAGGUAGUCGUUCUCGUCGUGAUCCUAUCACCGGAGAUCCUAGCGCCGAACGAACAGCACCUCCGCGUUCAACACACGUACGGUCAGCGUGACGUCUCCUCCAUCUUGAUCCAGCAAGGGGGAAGGAGAGGUUGAUGAAGAUCCAACAGCACGACGGCGUGGUGGUGGAUGCAGCAGGACUCCGGCAGGGCUUCACCAAGCAACUGCGGGAGGAGGAAGAGGUGUAGCAGGGGGAGGGAGGCGCCAAGACUCAGGGUGCGGCUGCCCUCCCUCCCCCUCCUUUAUAUAGGCCCCCUGGGGGGGCGCCGGCCCUGGAGAUGGGAAUCUCCCAAGGGGGCGGCGGCCAGGGGGGGUGGAGUGCCCCCCAAGGCAAGUGGUGCGCCCCCCACCCUAGGGUUUCCAACCCUAGGCACAGGGGGGCCCAAGGGGGCGCACCAGCCCACUAGGGGCUGGUUCCCCUCCCACUUCAGCCCACGGGGCCCUCCGGGAUAGGUGGCCCCACCUGGUGGACCCCCGGGACCCUUCCGGUGGUCCCGGUACAAUACCGGGUGACCCCGAAACUUUCCCGAUGGCCGAAAUAGCACUUCCUAUAUAUAACUAUUUACCUCCGGACCAUUCCGGAACUCCUCGUGACGUCUGGGAUCUCAUCUGGGACUCCGAAAACAUUCGGUUUGCUGCAUACUCAUAUUCAUACAACCCUAGUGUCACCGAACCUUAAGUGUGUAGACCCUACGGGUUCGGGAGACAUGCAGACAUGACCGAGACGGCUCUCCGGUCAAUAACCAACAGCAGGAUAUGGAUACCCAUGUUGGCUCCCACAUACUCCUCGAUGAUCUCAUCGGAUGAACCACGAUGUCUAGGAUUCAAGCAACCCCGUAUACUAUUCCCUUUGUCAGACGGUAUGUUACUUGCCCGAGAUUCGAUCGUCGGUAUCCCAAUACCUCGUUCAAUCUCGUUGCUGGCAAGUCACUUUACUCGUACCAUAAUGCAUGAUCCCGUGACCAGACACUUGGUCACUUUGAGCUCAUUAUGAUGAUGCACUACCCAGUGGGCCUAGUGAUUACCUCUCCGUUAUACGGAGUGACAAAUCCCAGUCUCGAUCCGUGUCAACCCAACAAACACUUUCGGAGAUACCUGUAGUGCACCUUUAUAGUCACCCAGUUACGUUAUGACGUUUGGUACACCCAAAGCACUCCUACGGUAUCCGGGAGUUACACGAUCCCAUGGUCUAAGGAAGAUAUACUUGACAUUGGAAAAGCUCUAGCAAAACGAACUACACGAUCUUGUGCUAUGCUUAGGAUUGGGUCUUGUCCAUCACAUCAUUCUCCCAAUGAUGUGAUCCCGUUAUCAACGACAUCCAAUGUCCAUAGUCAGGAAACCAUGACUAUCUGUUGACCAACGAGCUAGUCAACUAGAGGCUCACUAGGGACAUGUUGUGGUCUAAGUAUUCACACGUGUAUUACGAUUUCCGGAUAAUACAAUUAUAGCAUGAAUAAAAGACAACUAUUAUGAACAAAGAAAUAUAAUAAUAAUCCUUUUAUUAUUGCCUCUAGGGCAUAUUUCCAACAGUCUCCCACUUGCACUAGAGUCAAUAAUCUAGUUACAUUGUGAUGUAUCGAACACCCAUAGAGUUCUGGUGUUGAUUAUGUUUUGCUCGCAGAAGAGGUUUAGUCAACGGAUCUGCGACAUUCCGAUCCGUGUGUACUUUGCAAAUAUCUAUGUCUCCAUCUUGAACAUUUUCACGGAUCGAGUUGAAAUGACACUUGAUGUGCCUGGUCUUCUUGUGAAACCUGGGCUCCUUGGCAAGGGCAAUAGCUCCAGUGUUGUCACAGAAGAGAGUGAUUGGCCCUGACGCAUUGGGUAUGACUCCUAGGUCGGUGAUGAACUCCUUCAUCCAUAUUGCUUCAUGCGCUGCCUCCGAGGCUGCCAUGUACUUCGCUUCACAUGUAGAUCCCGCCACGACGCUCUGCUUGCAACUGCACCAGCUUACUGCUCCACGAUUCAACAUAUACACGUAUCCGGUUUGUGACUUAGAGUCAUCCAGAUCUGUGUCGAAGCUAGCGUCGACGUAACCCUUUACGACGAGCUCUUCGUCACCUCCAUAAACGAGAAACACGUCCUUUGUCCUUUUCAGGUACUUUAGGAUAUUCUUGACCGCUGUCCAGUGUUCCUUGCCAGGAUUACUUUGGUACCUACCUACCAAACUUACGGCAAGGUUUACAUCUGGUCUGGUACACAGCAUGGCAUACAUAAUAGAUCCUAUGGCCGAGGCAUAGGGGAUGACACUCAUCUCUUCUUUAUCUUUUGCCGUGGUCGGGCAUUGAGCCGAGCUCAAUCUCACACCUUGCAAUACAGGCAAGAACCCUUUCUUGGACUGAUCCAUUUUGAACUUCUUCAAAAUCUUAUCAAGGUAUGUGCUUUGUGAAAGACCUAUGAGGCGUCUCGAUCUAUCCCUAUAGAUCUUGAUGCCUAAUAUGUAAGCAGCUUCUCCAAGGUCCUUCAUUGAAAAACACUUAUUCAAGUAGGCCUUAAUGCUGUCCAAGAAUUCUAUAUCAUUUCCCAUCAAAAGUAUGUCAUCUACAUAUAAUAUGAGAAAUGCUACAGAGCUCCCACUCACUUUCUUGUAAACGCAGGCUUCUCCAUAAGUCUGCAUAAACCCAAACGCUUUGAUCAUCUCAUCAAAGCGAAUGUUCCAACUCCGAGAUGCUUGCACCAGCCCAUAAAUGGAUCACUAGAGCUUACGUACUUUGUUAGCAUUCUUAGGAUCGACAAAACCUUCCGGCUGCAUCAUAUACAGCUCUUCCUUAAGAUAACCGUUAAGGAAUGCGGUUUUGACGUCCAUCUGCCAUAUCUCAUAACCAUAGUAUGCGGCAAUUGCUAACAUGAUUCGGACGGACUUAAGCUUUGCUACGGGAGAGAAAGUCUCAUCGUAGUCAACCCCUUGAACUUGUCGAUAACCCUUAGCAACAAGUCGAGCUUUAUAGAUGGUGACAUUACCAUCCGCGUCCGUCUUCUUCUUAAAGAUCCAUUUGUUUUCUAUCGCUCGCCGAUCAUCGGGCAAGUCAGUUAAAGUCCAUACUUUGUUUUCAUACAUGGAUUCUAUCUCGGAUUGCAUGGCUUCUAGCCAUUUGUUGGAAUCUGGGCCCGCCAUCGCUUCUUCAUAGUUCGAAGGUUCACCGUUGUCUAACAACAUGAUUUCUAGGACAUGGUUGCCAUACUACUCUGGUGUGGAAUGUGUCCUCGUGGACCUACGAAGUUCAGUAGCAACUUGAUCCGAAGUACCUUGAUCAUCAUCAUUAAUUUCCUCUCCAGUCGGUGUAGGCACCACAUGAACAUUUUCCUGAGUUGCACUACUUUCCGGUUCAAGAGGUAGUACUUCAUUGAGUUCUACUUUCCUCCCACUUACUCCUUUCGAGAGAAACUCUUUUUCCAGAAAGGAUCCGUUCUUGGCAACAAAGAUCUUGCCUUCGGAUCUAAGGUAGAAGGUAUACCCAAUGGUUUCCUUAGAGUAUCCUAUGAAGACGCAUUUUUCCGACUUGGGUUCGAGCUUUUCAGGUUGAAGUUUCUUGACAUAAGCAUCGCAUCCCCAAACUUUUAGAAACGACAUCUUAGGUUUCUUCCCAAACCAUAAUUACUACGGUGUCGUCUCAACGGAUUUAGACGGUGCCCUAUUUAAAGUGAAUGUAGCUGUCUCUAGAGUGUAUCCCAAAAAUGAUAGCGGUAAAUCGGUAAGAGACAUCAUAGAUCACAUCAUAUCUAAUAGAGUGGGAUUACGAUGUUCGGACACACCAUUACGCUGAGGUGUUCCAGGCGGCGUGAGUUGUGAAACGAUUCCACAUUUCCUUAAGUGCGUACCAAAUUUGUAACUUAAAUAUUCUCCUCCACGAUCCGAUCGUAAGAAUUUUAUCUUUCGGUCACGUUGAUUCUCUACUUCAUUCUGAAAUUCCUUGAACUUUUCAAAGGUCUCAGACUUGUGUUUCAUCAAGUAGACAUACCCAUAUCUACUUAAGUCAUCAGUGAGAGUGAGAACAUAACGAUAUCCUCCGCGAGCCUCAACGCUCAUUGGACCACACACAUCAGUAUGCAUGAUUUCCAAUAAGUUGGUUACUCGCUCCAUUGUUUCGGAGAAUGGAGUCUUGGUCAUUUUGCCCAUGAGGCAUGGUUCGCAUGUGUCAAAUGAUUCAUAAUCGAGAGACUCUAAAAGUCCAUCAGCAUGGAGCUUCUUCAUGCGCUUGACACCAAUGUGACCAAGGCGGCAGUGCCACAAGUAUGUGGGACUAUCGUUAUCAACUUUACAUCUUUUGGUAUUCACACUAUGAAUAUGUGUAACAUUACGUUCGAGAUUCAUUAAGAAUAAACCAUUGACCAUCGGGGCAUGACCAUAAAACAUAUCUCUCAUAUAAAUAGAACAACCAUUAUUCUCGGAUUUAAAUGAGUAGCCAUCUCGUAUUAAACGAGAUCCAGAUACAAUGUUCAUGCUCAAACUUGGCACUAAAUAACAAUUAUUGAGGUUCAUAACUAAUCCCGUGGGUAAAUGUAGAGGUAGCGUGCCGACGGCGAUCACAUCAACCUUGGAACCAUUCCCGACGCGCAUCGUCACCUCGUCCUUCGCCAGUCUCCGCUUAUUCCGCAGCUCCUGCUGUGAGUUACAAAUGUGAGCAACGACACCGGUAUCAAAUACCCAUGAGUUACGACGAGUACUGGUAAGGUACACAUCAAUUACAUGUAUAUCACAUAUACCUUUAGUGUUGCCGGCCUUCUUGUCCGCUAAGUAUUUGGGGCAGUUCCGCUUCCAGUGACCCUUCCCUUUGCAAUAAAUGCACUCAGUCUCAGGCUUGGGUCCAUUCUUUGACUUCUUCCCGGUAACUGGCUUACCGGGUGCGGCAACAUCUUUGCUGUCCUUCUUGAAGUUCUUCUUACCCUUGCCCUUCUUGAACUUAGUGGUCUUAUUGACCAUCAACACUUGAUGUUCUUUCUUGAUUUCAACCUCUGCUGACUUCAGCAUUGAAAAUACUUUAGGAAUAGUCUUCACCAUCCCCUGCAUAUUGUAGUUCAUCACAAAGCUCUUGUAGCUCGGUGGGAGCGAUUGAAGGAUUCUGUCAAUGACCGCCUCGUCCGGGAGGUUGAUCUCUAGCUGGGACAGACGGUUGUGUAACCCAGACAUUUUGAGUAUGUGCUCACUGACAGAACUAUUUUCCUCCAUCUUACAACUAUAGAACUUGUCGGAGACUUCAUAUCUCUCGACCCGGGCAUGAGCUUGAAAAACCAUUUUCAGCUCCUCGAACAUCUCAUAUGCUCCGUGUUGCUCAAAACGCUUUUGGAGCCCCGGUUCUAAGCUGUAAAGCAUGUCGCACUGAACGAGGGAGUAAUCAUCAGCACGUGACUGCCAAGCGUUCAUAACGUCUUGGUUCUCUGGGAUGGGUGCUUCACCUAGCGGUCCUUCUAGGACAUAUGCUUUCUUGGCUGCUUUGAGGAUGAUCCUCAGGUUCUGGACCCAGUCCGAUUAGUUGCUGCCGUCAUCUUUCAGCUUGGUUUUCUCUAGGAACGCGUUGAAGUUCAUGUUGACAUGAGCGUUGGCCAUUUGAUCUACAAGACAUAUUUUGCAAAGAUUUUAGACUAAGUUCAUGAUAAUUAAGUUCAUCUAAUCAAAUUAUUUAAUGAACUCCCACUCAGAUUGACAUCCCUCUAGUCAUCUAAGUGUUACACGACCCGAGUCGACUAGGCCGUGUCCGAUCAUCACGUGAGAUGGACUAGUCAUCAUCGGUGAACAUCUCCAUGUUGAUCGUAUCUUCCAUACGACUCAUGUUCGACCUUUCGGUCUCUUGUGUUCCGAGGCCAUGUCUGUACAUGCUAGGCUCGUCAAGUUAACCCUAAGUGUUUUGCAUGUGUAAAACUGUCUUACACCCGUUGUAUGUGAAUGUAAGGAUCUAUCACACCCGAUCAUCACGUGAUGCUUCGAAAUGACGAACUUUAGCAACGGUGCACAGUUAGGGGGAACACUUUCUUGAAAUUAUUAUAAGGGAUCAUCUUAUUUACUACCGCCGUUCUAAGUAAACAAGAUGCAUAAAACAUAAUAAACAUCACAUGCAAUUAUAUAAAGUAGUGACAUGAUAUGGCCAAUAUCAUAUAGCUCCUUCGAUCUCCAUCUUCGGGGCUCCAUGAUCAUCUUCGUCACCGGCAUGACACCAUGAUCUCCAUCAUCAUGAUCUCCAUCAUCGUGCCUCCAUGAAGUUGCUCGCCAACUAUUACUUCUACUACUAUAGCUAACGGUUUAGCAAUAAUGUAAAGUAAUUACAUGGCGUUAAAUCAUUGACACGCAGGUCAUACAAUAAUUAAGACAACUCCUAUGGCUCCUGCCGGUUGUCAUACUCAUCGACAUGCAAGUCGUGAUUCCUAUUACAAGAACAUGAUCUCAUACAUCACAAUAUAUCAUUCAUCAUUCAUCACAACUUCUGGCCAUAUCACAUCACAUGACAAUUGCUGCAAAAACAAGUUAGACGUCCUCUAAUUGUUGUUGCAUCUUUUACGUGGCUGCAAUUGGGUUCUAGCAAGAACGUUUUCUUACCUACGAAUAACCACAACGUGAUUUUGCCAACUUCUAUUUACCCUUCAUAAGGACCCUUUUCAUCGAAUCCGCUCCAACUAAAGUAGGAGAGACAGACACCCGCUAGCCACCUUAUGCAACUAGUGCAUGUCAGUCGGUGGAACCUGUCUCACGUAAGCGUACGUGUAAGGUCGGUCCGGGCCGCUUCAUCCCACAAUACCGCUGAAGCAAAAAAAGACUAGUAGUGGCAAGCAAGUUGACAAGAUCUACGCCCACAACAAAUUUGUGUUCUACUCGUGCAAUAGAGAACUACGCAUAGACCUAGCUCAUGAUGCCACUGUUUGGGAAUGUUGCAUGAAAUAAAAACAUUUCCUACGUUCACCAAGAUCCAUCUAUGAGUUCAUCUAGCAACGAGAGAGAGAGGUGCAUCUACAUACCCUUGUAGAUCACGUGCGGAAGCGUUCAAGAGAACGGGGUUGAGGUAGUCAUUCUCGUCGUGAUCCUAUCACCGGAGAUCCUAGCACCGAACGAACGGCACCUCCGCGUUCACCACACGUACGGUCAGCGUGACGUCUCCUCCAUCUUGAUCCAGCAAGGGGGAAGGAGAGGUUGAUGAAGAUCCAGCAGCACGACGGCGUGGUGGUGGAUGCAGCAGGACUCCGGCAGGGCUUCGCCAAGCAACUGCAGGAGGAGGAAGAGGUGUAGCAGGGGGAGGGAGGCACCAAGACUUAGGGUGCGGCUGCCCUCCCUCCCCCUCCUUUAUAUAGGCCCCCUGGGGGGGCGGCCCUGGAGAUGGGAAUCUCCCAAGGGGGCGGCGGUUAGGGGGGGUGGAGUGCCCCCCAAGGCAAGUGGCGCGCUCCCACCCUAGGCGCAGGAGGGCCCAAGGGGGGGCGCACCAGCCCACUAGGGGCUAGUUCCCCUCCCACUUCAGCCCACGGGGCCCUCCGGGAUAGGUGGCCCCACCCGGUGGACCCCCGGGACCCUUCCAGUGGUCCCGGUACAAUACCGGGUGACCCCGAAACUUUCCCGAUGGCCGAAACAGCACUUCCUAUAUAUAAUUCUUUACCUCCGGACCAUUUUGGAACUCCUCGUGACGUCCGAGAUCUCACCCGGGACUCCGAACAACAUUUGUUUUGCUGCAUACUCAUAUUCAUACAACCCUAGCGUCACCGAACCUUAAGUGUGUAGACCCUACGGGUUCGGGAGACAUGCAGACAUGACCGAGACGGCUCUCCGGUCAAUAACCAACAGCGGGAUCUGGAUACCCAUGUUGGCUCCCACAUACUCCUCGAUGAUUUCAUCGGAUGAACCACGAUGUCGAGGAUUCAAGCAACACCGUAUACUAUUCCCUUUGUCAGACAGUAUGUUACUUGCCCGAGAUUCGAUCAUCAGUAUCCCAAUACCUCGUUCAAUCUCGUUGCCGGCAAGUCACUUUACUCGUACCGUAAUGCAUGAUCCCGUGACCAGACACUUGGUCACUUUGAGCUCAUUAUGAUGAUGCACUACCGAGUGGGCCCAGUGAUUACCUCUCCGUUAUACGGAGUGACAAAUCCCAGUCUCGAUCCGUGUCAACCCAACAGACACUUUUGGAGAUACCUGUAGUGCACCUUUAUAGUCACCCAGUUACGUUGUGACGUUUGGUACACCCAAAGCACUCCUACGGUAUCCGGGAGUUACACGAUCUCAUGGUCUAAGGAAGAUAUACUUGACAUUGGAAAAGCUCUAGCAAAAUGAACUACACGAUCUUGUGCUAUGCUUACGAUUGGGUCUUGUCCAUCACAUCAUUCUCCCAAUGAUGUGAUCCCGUUAUCAACGACAUCCAAUGUCCAUAGUCAGGAAACCAUGACUAUCUGUUGAUCAACGAGCUAGUCAACUAGAGGCUCACUAGGGACAUGUUGUGGUCUAAGUAUUCACACGUGUAUUGCGAUUUCCGGAUAAUACAAUUAUAGCAUGAAUAAAAGACAACUAUCAUGAACAAAGAAAUAUAAUAAUAAUCCUUUUAUUAUUGCCUCUAGGGCAUAUUUCCAACAAUUGUAAGCCUAUAUUUAGAUAUCGGAAUCGUUCCGGGUGAAAUCGAGAUUUUACCGGAGUACCGGGGGGUUACCGGAACCCCCCCCCCCGGGGGUUAAUGGGCCUACAUGGGCCAUAAGGGAGAAGAGGAGGGCCGGCCAGGGCAGGCCGCUCCCCCCUCCCCCCUAGUCCGAAUAGGACAAGGAAGGGGGGGCGGCGCCCCCCUUUCCUCUUUCCCCCUUCCCCCUUCCUUCUCCAACAAGGCAAGAGGGAGGAGUCCUACUCCCGAUGGGAGUAGGACUACUCCAGGCGCACCCCUAGGGGGGCGGUCGCACCUCCCCCGCCCUCAUUUAUAUACGAGGGCAGGGGAACACCCCUAGACACACAAGUUAAUCUUCGUGAUUGUUCCUUAGCCAUGUGCGGUGCCCCCCUCCACCAUAUUCCACCUCGGUCAUAUCGUUGCGGUGCUUAGGCGAAGCCCUACGUCGGUAGAACAUCAUCAUCGUCACCAUGCCGUCGUGCUGACGGAACUCAUCCCCGACACCCUGCUGGAUCGGAGUCCGGGGAUCGUCAUCGAGCUGAACGUGUGCUGAACUCGGAGGUGCCGUACGUUCGGUGCUUGAAUCAGUCGGAUCGUGAACGUACGACUACAUCAACCGUGUUGUCAUAACGCUUCCGCUUUCGGUCUACGAGGGUACGUGGACACACUCUCCUCUCCCGUUGCUAUGCAUCACCAUGAUCUUGCGUGUGCGUAGGAAAAUUUUGAAAUUACUACGUUCCCCAAUAGUGGUAUCAGAGCCUAGGAUUUAUGCGUUUAUGUUAUAUGCAUGAGUAGAACACAAGUGAGUUAUGGGCGAUACAAGUCAUACUGCUUACCAGUAUGUCAUACUUUGGUUCGGCGGUAUUGUUGGUGAAGGAAAUCUGCCCUAGAGGCAAUAAUAAAGUUAUUAUUUAUUUUCUUAUUUCAUGAUAAAUGUUUAUUAUUCAUGCUAGAAUUGUAUUAACCGGAAACAUAAUACAUGUGUGAAUACAUAGACAAACAUAGUGUCACUAGUAUGCCUCUACUUGACUAGCUCGUGAAUCAAAGAUGGUUAAGUUUCCUAGCCAUGGACAAAAGAGUUGUCAUUUGAUUAACGGGAUCACAUCAUUAGGAGAAUGAUGUGAUUGACAUGACCCAUUCCGUUAGCCUAGCACUUGAUCGUUUAGUAUGUUGCUAUUGCUUUCUUCAUGACUUAUACAUGUUCCUGUAACUAUGAGAUUAUGCAACUCCCGUUUACCGGAGGAACACUUUGGGUGCUACCAAACGUCACAACGUAUCUGGGUGAUUAUAAAGGAGUACUACAGGUGUCUCCAAAGGUACAUGUUGGGUUGGCGUAUUUCGAGAUUAGGUUUUGUCACUCCGAUUGUCGGAGAGGUAUUUCUGGGCCCUCUCGGUAAUGCACAUCACUAUAAGCCUUGCAAGCAAUGUAGCUAAUGAGUUAGUUACGGAAUGAUGCAUUACGUAAUGAGUAAAGAGACUUGCCGGUAACUAGAUUGAACUAGGUAUUGGAUACCGACGAUCGAAUCUCGGGCAAGUAACAUACCGAUGACAAAGGGAACAAAGUAUGUUGUUAUGCGGUUUGACCGAUAAAGAUCUUCGUAGAAUAUGUAGGAGCCAAUAUGGGCAUCCAGGUUCCGCUAUUGGUUAUUGACCAAGAAUAGUUCUAGGUCAUGUCUACAUAGUUCUCGAACCCGUAGGGUCCGCACGCUUAAGGUUUUGAUGACAGUUAUAUUAUGAGUUUAUGAGUUUUGAUGUACCAAAGGAGUUCGGAGUCCCGGAUGAGAUCGGGGACAUGACGAGGAGUCUCGAAAUGGUCGAGACGUAAAAAUCGAUAUAUUGGACGACUAUAUUCGGAGUUCGGAAAGGUUCCGAGUGAUUCGGGUAUUUUUCGGAGUACCGGGGAGUUACGGGAAUACGGGGAAGAGUAUUGGGCCAUAAUGGGCCUUAGUGGGAAGGAGCCAGGAGGUGGCGCGCGCCCCUCCCAAGCCCAGUCCGAAUUGGACAAAGGGUUUGGGGCGCGGCCCCCCUCUCCCUUCCUUCUCCACUUCCCUCCUUUCCCCCCUUCUCCUAGUUGGACUAGGAAAGAAGGAGUCCUACUCCCGGUGGGAGUAGGACUCCCCUUGGCGCGCCCUCCUCCUAGGGCCGGCCUCCUCCUCCCUUGCUCCUUUAUAUACGGGGGCAGGGGGCACCCCAUGACACACAAGUUGAUCUACGGAUCGUUCCUUAGCCGUGUGCGGUGCCCCCCUCCACCAUAUUCCACCUCGGUCAUAUCGUCGCGGAGUUUAGGCGAAGCCCUGCGUCGGUAGAACAUCAUCAUCGUCACCACGCCGUCGUGCUGACGGAACUCAUCCUUGAAGCUUUGCUGGAUCGGAGCCCGGGGAUCGUCAUCGAGCUGAACGUGUGCUGAACUCGAAGGUGCCGUACGUUCGGUGCUUGGAUCGGUCGGAUCGUGAAGACGUACGACUACAUCAACCGCGUUGUGCUAAUGCUUCCGCUUACGCUCUACGAGGGUACGUGGACAACACUCUCCCCUCUCGUUGCCAUGCCAUCACCAUGAUCUUGUGUGUGCGUAGGAAUUUUUUUGAAAUUACUAUGUUCCCCUACAGUUGGAUGAUGCGGCCCAGACCGACAUUACGCGUACGCUUACGCGAGACUGGUUUUACCGUCGUGCUUCCCACACAGGUGACUAGCGGGUGUCUGUUUCUCCAACUUUAGUUGAACCGAGUGUGACUACGCCCGGUCCUUGCGAAGGUUAAAACAGCACCAACUUGACGAACUAUCGUUGUGGUUUUGAUGCGUAGGUAAGAAUGGUUCUUGCUCAGCCCGUAGCAGCCACAUAAAAUUUGCAACAACAAAGUAGAGGACGUCUAACUUGUUUUUGCAGGACAUGUUGUGAUGUGAUAUGGUCAAGACGUGAUGCUAUAUUUUAUUGUAUGAGAUGAUCAUGUUUUGUAAUCGAAGUUAUCGACAACUGGCAGGAGCCAUAUGGUUGUCGCUUUAUUGUAUGAAAUGCAAACGCCCUGUAAUUGUUUUACUUUAUCACUAAGCGGUAGCGAUAGUCAUAGAAGCAAUAGAUGGCGUAACGACAACGAUGCUACGAUGGAGAUCAAGGUGUCGCGCCGGUGACGAUGGUGAUCAUGACGGUGCUUCGGAGAUGGAGAUCACAAGCACAAGAUGAUGAUGGCCAUAUCAUAUCACUUAUAUUGAUUGCAUGUGAUGUUUAUCCUUUAUGCAUCUUAUCUUGCUUUGAUUGACGGUAGCAUUUUAAGAUGAUCUCUCACUAAAUUAUCAAGAAGUGUUCUCCCUGAGUAUGCACCAUUGCGAAAGUUCUUCGUGCUGAGACACCACGUGAUGAUCGGGUGUGAUAGGCUCUACGUUCAAAUACAACGGGUGCAAAACCAUUGCACACGUGGAAUACUCAGGUUAAACUUGAGGAGCCUAGCAUAUACAGAUAUGGCCUCGAAACAUGGAGACCGAAAGGUCGAACGUGAAUCAUAUAGUAGAUAUGAUCAACGUAGUGAUGUUCACCAUUGAAACUACUCCAUCUCACGUGAUGAUCGGACAUGGUUUAGUUGAUUUGGAUCACGUGAUCACUUAGAUGACUAGAGAGAUGUCUGUCUAAGUGGGAGUUCUUAAGUAAUAUGAUUAAUUGAACUUAAAUUUAUCAUGAACUUAGUACCUGAUAGUAUUUUGCUUGUCUAUCUUUGUUGUAAAUAGAUGGCUCGUGCUGUUGUUUCAUUGAAUUUUAAUGCGUUCCUUGAGAAAGCUAAGUUGAAAGAUGAUGCUAGCAAUUACACGGACUAGGUCCGUAACCUGAGUAUUAUCCUCAUUGCUGCACAGAAGAAUUACAUCCUGGAAGCACCACUGGGUGCCAGGCCUGCUGCAGAUGCAACUGACGAUGUUAAGAACGUCUGGCAGAGCAAAGUUGAUGACUACUCAAUAGUUCAGUGUGCCAUGCUUUACGGCUUGGAACCGGGUCUUCAACGACGUUUUGAACGUCAUGGAGCAUAUGAGAUGUUCCAGGAGUUGAAGCUAAUAUUUCAAGCAAAUGCCCGGAUUGAGAGAUAUGAAGUCUCCAAUAAGUUCUAUAGCUGUAAGAUGGAGGAGAAUAGUUCUGUCAGUGAACACAUACUCAAAAUGUCUGGGUAUAAUAAUCACUUGAUUCAACUGGGAGUUAAUCUUCCUGAUGAUAGUGUCAUUGACAGAAUUCUUCAAUCACUGCCACCAAGCUACAAGAGCUUCGUGAUGAACUAUAAUAUGCAAGGGAUGGACAAGACUAUUCCCGAGCUCUUUGCAAUGCUAAAGGCUGCGGAUGUAGAAAUCAAGAAGGAGCAUCAAGUGUUGAUGGUCAAUAAGACCACCAGUUUUAAGAAAAAGGGCAAAGGGAAGAAGAAGGGGAACUUCAAGAAGAACAGCAAACAAGUUGUUGCUCAAGAGAAGAAACCCAAGUCUGGACCUAAGCCUGAGACUGAGUGCUUCUACUGCAAGUAGACUGGACACUGGAAGCGGAACUGCCCCAAGUAUUUGGCGGAUAACAAGGAUGGCAAAGUGAACAAAGGUAUAUGUGAUAUACAUGUUAUUGAUGUGUACCUUACUAAUGCUCGCAGUAGUACCUAGGUAUUUGAUACUGGUUUUGUUGCUAAUAUUUGCAACUCAAAACAGGGACUACGGAUUAGGCGAAGAUUGGCUAAGGACGAGGUGACGAUGCGCGUGGGAAAUGGUUCCAAAGUCGAUAUGAUUGCGGUCGGCACGCUACCUCUACAUCUACCAUCAGGAUUAGUUUUAGACCUAAAUAAUUGUUAUUUGGUGCCAGCGUUGAGCAUGAACAUUAUAUCUGGAUCUUGUUUGAUGCAAGACGGUUAUUCAUUUAAAUCAGAGAAUAAUGGUUGUUCUAUUUAUAUGAGUAAUAUCUUUUAUGGUCAUGCACACUUACAGUGUGGUCUAUUUUUUUUAAAUCUCGAUAGUAGUGAUACACAUAUUCAUAAUGUUGAAACCAAAAGAUGCAGAGUUGAUAAUGAUAGUGCGACUUAUUUGUGGCACUGCCGUUUAGGUCAUAUCGGUGUAAAGCGCAUGAAGAAACUCCAUACUGAUGGACUUUUGGAAUCACUUGAUUAUGAAUCACUUGGUACUUGCGAACCGUGCCUCAUGGGCAAGAUGACUAAAACGUUCUCCGGAACUAUGGAGCGAGCAACUGAUUUGUUGGAAAUCAUACAUACUGAUGUAUGUGGUCCAAUGAAUAUUGAGGCUCGCGGCGGGUAUCGUUAUUUUCUCACCUUCACAGAUGAUUUGAGCAUAUAUGGCUAUAUCUACUUGAUGAAAUACAGGUCUGAAACAUUUGAAAAGUUCAAAGAAUUUCAGAGUGAAGUGGAAAAUCAUCGUAACAAGAAAAUAAAAUUUCUACGAUCUGAUCAUGGAGGAGAAUAUUUGAGUUACAGUUUGGUUUACAUUUGAAACAAUGCGGAAUAGUUUCGCAACUCACUCCACCCGGAACACCACAACGAAAUGGUGUGUCCGAACAUUGUAAUCGUACUUUACUAGAUAUGGUAUGAUCUAUGAUGUCUCUUACUGAUUUACCGCUAUCGUUUUGGGGUUAUGCUUUAGAGAUGGCCGUAUUCACGUUAAAUAGGACACCAUCAAAAUCCGUUGAGACGACGCCUUAUGAACUGUGGUUUGGCAAGAAACCAAAGUUGUCGUUUCUUAAAGUUUGGGGCUGCGAUGUGAAGAAACUUCAACCAGAUAAGCUCGAACCCAAAUCAGAGAAAUGUGUCUUCAUUGGAUACCCAAAAGAGACUAUUGGGUACACCUUCUAUCACAGAUCUGAGGGCAAGAUUUUCGUUGCUAAAUUCGGAUCCUUUUUAGAGAAGGAGUUUCUCUUGAAAGAAGUGAGUGGGAGGAAAGUAGAACUUGAUGAGAUAACUAUACCUGCUCCCUUAUUGGAAAGUAGUUCAUCACAAGAACCGGUUCCUGUGACAACUACACCAAUUAGUGAAGAAGCUAAUGAUAUUGAUCAUGAAACUUCAGAUCAAGUUUCUACUGAACCUCGUAGGUCUACCAGAGUAAGAUUCGCACCAGAGUGGUACGGUAAUCCUAUUCUGGAAGUCAUGUUACUUGACCAUGGCGAACCUACGAACUAUGAGGAAGCGAUGAUGAGCCCAGAUUCCACAAAAUGGCUUGAAGCCAUGAAAUCAGAGAUAUGAUCCAUGUAUGAGAACAAAAUAUGGACUUUUGUUGACUUGCCCGAUGAUCGGCAAGCCAUUGAGAAUAAAUGGAUCUUCAAGAAGAAGACUGAUGCUGAUGGUAAUAUAACUAUCUACAAAGCUCGACUUGUUGCAAAAGGUUUUCGACAAGUUCAAGGGGUUGACUACGAUGAGACUUUCUCACCCAUAGCGAUGCUUAAGUCUGUCCGAAUAAUGUUAGCAAUUGCCGCAUUUUAUGAUUAUGAAAUUUGGCAAAUGGAUGUAAAAACUGCAUUCCUGAAUGGUUUUCUGGAAGAAGAGUUGUAUAUGAUGCAACCGGAAGGUUUUAUCGAUCCAAAAGGUGCUAACAAAGUGUGCAAGCUCCAGCGAUCCAUUUAUGGACUGGUGCAAGCAUCUCGGAGUUGGAAUAUACGCUUUGAUAGUGUGAUCAAAGCAUAUGGUUUUAUACAGACUUUUGGAGAAGCCUGUAUUUACAAGAAAGUGAGUGGGAGCUCGGUAGCAUUUCUGAUAUUAUAUGUAGAUGACAUAUUGUUAAUUGGAAAUGAUAUAGAAUUUCUGGAUAGCAUAAAGGGAUACUUGAAUAAAAGUUUUUCAAUGAAAGACCUCGGUGAAGCUGCUUACAUAUUAGGCAUCAAGAUCUAUAGAGAUAGAUCAAGACGCUUAAUUGGACUUUCACAAAGCACAUACCUUGAUAAAGUUUUGAAAAAGUUCAAAAUGGAUCAGGCUAAGAAAGGGUUCUUUCCUGUAUUGCAAGGUGUGAAGUUGAGUCAGACUCAAUGCCCGACCAUAGCAGAAGAUAGAGAGAAAAUGAAAGAUGUUCCCUAUGCUUCAGCCAUAGGCUCUAUCAUGUAUGCAACGCUGUGUACCAGACCUGAUGUAUGCUUAGCAAUAAGUUUAGCAGGGAGGUACCAAAGUAAUCCAGGAGUGGAUCACUGGACAGCGGUCAAGAACAUCCUGAAAUACCUGAAAAGGACUAAGGAUAUGUUUCUCGUUUAUGGAGGUGACAAAGAGCUAGUCGUAAAUGGUUACGUCGAUGCAAGCUUUGACACUGAUCCGGACGAUUCUAAAUCGCAAACCAGAUACGUGUUUUUAUUAAAUGGUGGAGCUGUAAGUUGGUGCAGUUCUAAACAAAGCGUCGUGGCAGGAUCUACAUGUGAAGCGAAAUACAUAGCUGCUUCGGAAGUAGCAAAUGAAGGAGUCUGGAUGAAGGAGUUCAUUUCCGAUCUAGGUGUCAUACCUAGUGCAUCAGGACCAAUGAAGAUCUUUUGUGACAAUACUGGUGCAAUUGCCUUGGCAAAGGAAUCCAGAUUUCACAAGAGGACCAAGCACAUCAAGAGACGCUUCAAUUCCAUCCGGGACCAAGUCCAGGUGGGAGACAUAGAGAUUUGCAAGAUACAUACGGAUCUGAAUGUAGCAUACCAGUUGACAACACCAAGACUCCAUCGGUGUUAGAAUCAUUACUGUGUAAUCUAGAUUAUUGACUCUAGUGCAAGUGGGACACUGAAGGAAGUAUGCCCUAGAGGCAAUAAUAAAGUUAUUAUUUAUUUCUUCAUAUCAUGAUAAAUGUUUAUUAUUCAUGCUAGAAUUGUAUUAACCAGAAACAUGAUACAUGUGUGAAUACAUAGACAAACUUAAUGUCACUAGUAUGCCUCUACUUGACUGGCUCAUUAAUCAAAGAUGGUUAUGUUUCCUAACCAUAGACAUGUGUUGUCAUUUGAUUAAAGAGAUCACAUCAUUAGGAGAAUGAUGUGAUUGACUUGACCGAUUCUGUUAGCCUAGCACUUGAUCGUUUAGUAUGUUGCUAUUGCUUUCUUCAUGACUUAUACAAAGUUCCUACAACUAUGAGAUUAUGAAACUCCCAUUUACCGGAGGAACACUUUGUGUGCUACCAAAUGUCACAACGUAACUGGGUGAUUAUAAAGGAGCUCUACAAGUGUCUCCAAAGGUAGAUGUUGAGUUGGCGUAUUUCGAGAUUAGGUUUUGUCACUCCGAUUGUCGGAGAGGUAUCUCUGGGCCCUCUCGGUAAUGCACAUCACUAUAAGCCUUGCAAGUAAUGUGACCAAUGAGUUGGUUACGGAAUGAUGCAUUACAUAACAAGUAAAGAGACUUGCCGGUAACGAUAUUGAACUAGGUAUUGGAUACUGACAAUUGAAUCUCGGGCAAGUAACAUACCGAUGACAAAGGGAACAACAUAUGUUGUUAUGCGGUUUGACCGAUAAAGAUCUUCGUAGAAUAUGUAGGAGCCAAUAUGAGCAUCUAGGUUCCGCUAUUGGUUAUUGAUCAGAAAAAGUUCUAGGUCAUGUCUACAUAGUUCUCGAACCCGUAGGGUCCGCACGCUUAACGUUACGAUGAUAGUUUUAUUAUGAGUUUAUAAGUUUUGAUGUACCGAAGGUUGUUCGGAGUCCCGGAUGUGAUCACGGACAUGACGAGGAGUCUCGAAAUUGUGAAGACAUAGAGAUUGAUAUGUUGGAAGCCUAUAUUUGGAUAUCGGAAUCGUUCCGGGUGAAAUUGGGAUUUUACCGGAGUACCCGGGGUUACCGGAACCCCCCCGGGGGUUAAUGGGCCUACAUGGGCCAUAAGGGAGAAGAGGAGGGCCGGCCAGGGCAGGCCGCGCGCCCCCUCCCCAUAGUACGAAUAGGACAAGGAGGGGGGGGGGCGCCCCCCUUUCCUCUUUCCCCCUUCCCCAUUCCUUCUCCAACAAGGCAAGAGGGGGGGAGUCCUACUCCCGGUGGGAGUAGGACUCCUCCAGGCGCACCCCUAGGGGGCCGGCCGCACCUCCCCCUUCCUCCUUUAUAUACGGGGGCAGGGGGCACCUCUAGACACACAAGUUGAUCUUCGUGAUCGUUCCUUAGCCAUGUGCGGUGCCCCCCUCCACCAUAUUCCACCUCGGUCAUAUUGUUGUGGUGCUUAGGCGAAGCCCUGCGUCGGUAGAACAUCGUCAUCGUCACCACGCCGCCGUGCUGACGGAACUCAUCCCCGACACCCUGCUGGAUCGGAGUCCGGGGAUCGUCAUCGAGCUGAACAUGUGCUGAACUCGGAGGUGACGUACGUUCGGUGCUUGGAUUGGUCGGAUCGUGAAGACGUACGACUACAUCAACCGCGUCGUCAUAACGCUUCCGCUUUCGGUCUACGAGGGUACGUGGACACACUCUCCCCUCUCGUUGCUAUGCAUCACCAUGAUCUUGCGUGUGCAUAGGAAAAUUUUGAAAUUACUAUGUUCCCCAACAUUCACAUCCAAACAAUUGCUUAUAAGCCUCUUGUUCCUCCUUGGCUCUACCAAAGCAGAACAACUCGCUUUUAUGAAAGUUAAUCUUUAAUCCGGUCAAUUGUUCAAAUAAGCAUAACACCAGCUUCAUAUUUCUUGCUUUUGCCAAGUCAUGCUCCAUAAAGAUGAUUGUAUCAUCAGCGUACUGCAGAAUGGACACACCCCCAUCAACUAGAUGAGGCACCAAGCCACCCACCUGACCGGCCUCCUUUGCCCUUCCUAUGAGAAUUGCCAACAUGUCAACCACAAUGUUGUACACAAUAGGAGACAUUGGAUCACCUUGCCUUAGGCCUUUGUGUGUCUGGAAAUAAUGACCUAUAUCGUCAUUCACUUUAAUUCCAACACUCCCUUUUUUGCGUGAAGGAUUCUACCUGGCGUCGCCAAGCUUCAUCAAAACCCUUCAUGCGAAAGGCCUGUUGAAGGAAGGGCCAUUUGACUUUGUAGUAUGCUUUCUCGAAAUCCACUUUGAAAACAACCCCAUCUAGCUUUUUCGUGUGGAUCUCAUGGAGCGUUUCAUGAAGGACCACAACCCCUUCAAGGAUGUUCAUGUCCGACAUGAAAGUAGUUUGGGUAGGCUGCACCACAGCAUGCGCGAUCUGUGUGAGCCUAUUAGUCCCGACCUUGGUAAAGAUUUUGAAACUUACAUUAAGAAGAUAAAUGGGCCUGAAUUGCUCAAUUCUCACAGCCUCUGUUUUCUUAGGAAGAAGGGUUAUCGUUCCAAAAUUCAGCUGAAAAAGCUGAAGCUGCCCAGAGAAGAGAUCAUUGAACAAAGGCAACAAAUUCCCUUUAAUAAUAUGCCAACACUUUUUAUAAAACUCCGCUAGAAAUCCAUCGGGGCUCGGUGCCUUGUUAUUUUUCAUUUGCGAUAUGGCCUCAAACACCUCUUUCUCAGAAAAAGGAGCCGCUAGAAUGUCAUUCUCCACCGCUGUGAGUUGAGGAACAUCCUCAACCCUAGACUCAUCCAGAGACACACAGUUAUCCUCUGGAGGACCAAACAGCUGCUUGUAAUACUUUGUAAUGUACAGUUUUAGGUUUUCCUGCCCUAAAAUUGUUCCUUCAUCUUGCUCAAGCUGAAAGAUCCUCUUCUUUCUAUGUUUACCAUUAGUGAUCAUGUGAAAGAAUUGAGUGUUCGCAUCCCCCUGGACUACUCGCCGGACCUUGGCCCGCAACGCCCACUUCAAUUCCUCUUCUCGAAGAAGUUCUUUCAGCCUCAUCUCCGCGUCAAGCUUGGCAUAAAGCUCCGCGGCCGGCAGCACCAUGGUUUCUGCUUUUACAUCUAGGGACUGAAUAAGGGAAAGGAUCCUUUCCUUUUUGGCCUUAUAAAUCCCGCUAAGAUGCUUAGCCCACCCACGCAGGAAACUUCUCAAAUGCCUAAUCUUAUUCUGCCAGCGCUGAAGCGCAGUCUUCCCUCCUGAAUCCUUAGCCCACUCUCUGGCUACAAGAUCAAAGAAACCUUCUCAUUCAAACCAAGCCAGCUCAAAGGAGAACGAGUUUUUGUUUCCCAGGUGGGUGGCCUCACCAGAGUCCACAAAUAACGGCGUGUGAUCAGAAAUUCCACGGGACAAAGCCUGAACUGUUACUAACGGAAACUCCUGUUCCCAAUUGACACUAGCCAACACUCGAUCCAACUUCUCAUACAUCGGAUUUGGCAGCGCGUUAGCCUAGGUGAAAUUUCUACCCGAGAGCUCAAUCUCUCUCAGGUCAAGACUUUCAAUGAUAGUAUUAAACAUGAACGACCAUCUGCCAUCAAAGUUAUCAUUGUUCUUAUCUCACGCUGUCUAAUGAUAUUGAAAUCACCCCCCACCAGGAUAGGAAGCUACUCGGAGCCGCAAAUCCUAACGAGAUCAGCCAAGAACUCGGGCUUGAGUUCGGGCUGAGCGGCACCAUAUACCGCAACCAAAGCCCAAUUAAACCCAUCGUCCUUCAAAUGUACCCGAAACUUGACUGCAAAGUCACCCAUUACCACACUUCGAACCUCGAGCGCUUCACAUCGAACGCCGAGUAAGAUCCCACCCGAUCUCCUUCUCGGUGGUAGGCAAUGCCAAUCAAAAUCAAUACCUCCCGAUAAAGUAUUUAGAAAUUGUUGCGCAAAAUUAUCUCUACCGGUCUCUGAUAGAGCGAUAAAAUCUAAACGAUGCUCGACAGACGCCUCAGCAAGAAACCUUCUUGUAGCCAAGUCCUUUAGACCUCUGCUAUUCCAAAAGAUUCCUUUCAUAGUUCAUCAUGGAAUUUUUUAGCCGUACGAAUCCUAGCACUCCUACGCACUGCAGACACCGGGUACACCUUCCGUUUCCACUUGCGUUUAGAGACAAUUUGACCCUGUAACCGGUCCUCACAAUCAGUCUCAGAAGGUCUAGCCAUAACCAUCUCAGAAGUAUCAUCCUCCUCUUUCGCCUCGGGUAUGGGAGGAAUAAGAUCCGCACAAAAAUUAUCGAGCACCCUGACCCCCAAAGCAUCAACCUCAGAAUCACUCAUGGGCUUAACCGCCGCUAUAUUACGAAUCAUCUCUAAGGCCCGCUCAGCCUCUAGAUCCAGAAGAUCAUUAACAUAAUUAGAGAUUUCAGUAACAUUAUUACCUAGUGAAACUCCUAAUUGAUUUGCAUUUUCAACAAUCUCAUCAUUAGAAAAAUGCAGAAUGGAAUUAGAAGUAUUAACCGGCAUACCAGUAGUGACCUCAAUGUCACGGAGCUUGGCCGCCCUCAUGGCGCACCAUUGCUGAAUGUCGUCCACAUCUGGCUGAGUCUGGAGACGGCCACUCACCCGUCGCCCCUCAGACAUCGGAUCCUGAAUCCCUCCAAACACUAUAACCUCCUCCCGAGAGAUCCUGGUCGGGGUAGGGCCUCCUGCCUCACCCCAUCUGCUAGGUCGGUCCGCCUGCACGGACUCCCCAGCAGACUCGCCAGGAAGUGGAAAGGCACUCACCAUGGCCUCAGACGUCUGGGCGCCCCACAGGGCGGAGCCGGUGGUGAACGGGGGGAAGGGAGUGCAUGGGCCACCUGCCCGAACUCCCCACCUAGCACCGGAGAGGCCACCACCAUAGGCGCCUCAGGAGAAGAGGGCUCCGAGGCCACCUGCCCCGAGCCUCCUCCCGAUGGCACAGUCGCCACCAGCAGAGAGGUAGACGCGACGGGAGAGGAGGUGUCCGAGGCCACCUGCCCCAGACCCCCUCCCAACGUAGAGAAGGACACGGGUGCCACCUGCCCCGAAUCUCCUACCUCAGCAGGAGAAGAGCAACUCAAGGCCGCCUGCCCCGGGACCCCUCCCGACAAACCGACCACAAACACCGGCGCCACGUCCUGAGGAGGGACAGCGUGCUGAGCACGAGAGGGAGUGGCCACCUACCGACUCACCUCCUCCUCUCCCUAGACCGAGACCGACGAAGCCCCAGGAACCCCAGGAAUAGUACACACCGUAUCCUCAAAAACCAAAGCAGGCAACGCGAGCUCAAAAGUCUCCUCGGACUCCACCCGAUCACUCCACAGUCUCGGGGAUGCAGAAGCGGGUUUGAAGGACCCAAAUCUCAGAGUUGUCGUAGGCACCGAGGAGAGUGGAGCCGCCCCAUCCCCGGUCGUCGCAGACUCGGACCCCGGUCCUUUGGACAGCUGUCGUCCAAAGUCAUCGACCGGCGGCUCCUUUGCUCCCACGCUGCCAUCACCCUCGUGCAUAUCCACAUCAGACCCGUGAGCCGCCGCAGCCAAAAGGCUCUCAUCCUCAAACUCAAUAACCAGAUUAUAAAUCCUGCCUCGAUAAGCCCACUUAACAACUUUAUAUCCAGGUGUACGAGGUCGAUGUCGGAAAAAAUUCAGGUGUUGUGACAUCUUUAUAUCCAAGAAAGUACGUAGCAAAUACUGUGCCUCGUUUGUCUUUGAGCUGGCUGUUGUUCGUACCGAACAUGAACGACUGAUAGGGGGAUCACUUCUUGGUGGCGUCGAAGAAAAGGAUUGCUGUGUUGGUCAGUGGCAGCGGGGCUAGCAAUGCCCAGUUUUGCACAUACUCUGUUGCUUGCACCUGGAAAUAACAUAAACUGGCAUCGAGCGAUCUGCUGUUUGGAGUGACCACGGCGACAAAUUUCUUGACAGGGAGUCCAAUAUCUCCAGCGGCACAUACCCAAUUCGUCCUUCUGCAUUGGCAACCAUCAUAGUCUGUGUUCUGUCCGGUGACAAUGUCACCCUGAUUUUUUAGGAAAGCAAACUCCGCAAACACGAACUAAAUAGAAGCAUCAGAUGCUAGUUUAUUAAAUGUGUUGUCACCUUAUUACAAUCUCUAGGACCUCUCCAGUAUAUAACUUGCAAAAUUCAGAAUAAGGAAAGUUGGUGCAUCUCAGAAUAAAACUCCUCCCAGCGUGAGGUCCAGUCUUGUAAGUUGUAACUGAAGCUCUAGGUUCAGGGUAUCAUCAAUUAGACUAGCAUAGCAAAAUUAACAUAGAACCCCAAUGUAUAUACUCGAAGGAACUCUUAUCUGGUCAGUCCAACAGCUGAGUAAUGUAACCUUCUUUUUUUUUGCAUGGUAAUACGUGUCUCAUUUAUAGCAUAAGGAUCAUAGUACAAGCCACGUUUCCUUUCAGCUGGCCAAGCUUUCAGUUCCAAAGUGAGCUACUGGCUUAGACACGUACACAUAUACGGUACCAUGUUGUACAAAUCUGAAGCACCCACCCAUUGCUUUGACAGACACAUUGGCACAACUCAUCUUGCGGCGGUGUUCCUACAAGUCAGCACAAAGAUUUGACCAUGGAUGAACUUCAUAUGAAAAACACACUAGUUUUUUCUCUUCUUUUUUUUGCGGGUAAAAACGCACUAGUUUGUGGACAACAAGAUUGCAUUCUCUCAUACAUAACUACUCUCUCCGUCCCAUAAUGUAAGACGUUUUUGAAACUUGUCAAAAACGUCUUACAUUAUGGGAAGGAGGGAGUACUACUACUACAUAAUCUGAAAAACAUCAAAAUUAACCAGAGAGGAGAGAACUGAAUAUAUCUUCUAAGACUGCGCACAUCUCCCUCUGUCAGUUUGGAUCAUUAUCAGCACAUACUCUUGCCUUGUUCUUCCCUUCUUGGGUCCUCGGGGCUCUUGCAGACCUAGUCGAUAUCGCCGAUCCCUUGAUGCAAUUGCUCCUUGUGCCACACCUGGCGCUUACCGUCGAUGGGCAUCACAAAGCACGUCGUCUUCCGGCCCCAAUACACUCCGGUGGUGCUCCCCCGCACGGCCAUGCAGAUGAGUUUGGUCCUUUCACUGCCUUCGUUUCCGCAGCUGCUAUGACUGCAGAGUUGCCGCAGUGGAUCAGAAGAACCCGUGAUGCGGGGCAGUGGGUGGCCACAAGCUUGUGUUUUUAGAAGUCUCCACAUGCAAUUUAAUUAGAACUCUCCCGUCCUCCUCCCAUGUAUAUAUUCCUAGACUAAAAAAAUUAUAUAUUCCUUAAUUAAUUCUAAAAAAGUAUAUAAUCCUUAAUUAAAGCUACUCGGUUGUUCUGAAAGAAGUACUCACUCAUUUCGAAAAUAUAAGGCAGGUUGACUUUUUUUGUUUUGCUCUUUGACAUAAUUUUUUUUGCAGGGACUGUUUGACAUAAUUUUAACUAUGAUUUUCACUUGUAGCAUGUCUACAUAAUUAGUAUAAAGAUAUAUAAAAUAAAACUAUUUUGCACGACAAAUAUGUGAUACUAUUUAUACAUGCUAGAUUCAUAUAAUUUUGUAUAUAUAUUAGUGGUCAAAGUUAUGCAUUAAAGAUGGUGGAAAGUCAAGCGUUUUAUAUUUUGGGAAGUAAGGAGUAUUCGCUAGUAUGCAUCCACAGUAAUUUUUUAACUGCAUGUGUACCCGUGAAAAAAAAAUCUUUCAGCUGCAUGUGAUUAUCAUUGGCUCCAACUCGUUAAUUAUGGGAUCAUCAUCUCGUACUCUCUUCUCCGCAAAAAAAAAUCAUCUCGUACUCUUCUUUCCAUAUUUUUUUUGCGGGAACUCUUUAUAUUUACAAGUAGAAUGCCCGUGCAUUGCCACGGGCUUCUCAAAUAUUUUGCUGAAGUUAUAUAAAGGUAAAUAUUUUGAUAACAAGGCAUCUCCAAUGUCCACGAAUUUGGUUUUUUUGGGGGCAGACAUGAUUGAUUCGAUGACUAUAAUAUCUCUACGGGGACAAACAUAGUCUGCCGGCAUGAUAGAAAAAUGAGCCAAUUAGUAUAAAAAUGCCUAAUUAAGUGAACACGGAAGGCAAUAUGACGAAGGAAAGAUCGAUGAUAACAUUGAAAAAAAAUACCUUGUGCGAUAAACAUUAAAUUGACAUCUUUUUUAUGAGAUAUCACUGCUUCCAUAUCAUUAUGUUGUAAAAACACGAUGAAUUGUCGGUCCCUUGCGGUGAUGUCGCUUCGGAGCCCCUGGAAAUGGAUUCUUUUUGUGCAUCUCCACUUAAUAUCCAUAUUUGUGUCUCCUACAUUCUGAAAUUUUUUAUAAAAUAAUGCACCCUUUGUAUUAGCAUGCAUAACAUACAUAGAUCUCAUCGUAUUUCAGUCCGAUCUGCCAUCGUUACGUCAGUGCAUAUGUCAGUUGAUUUCUUGAAACAUCAUCCGAGUCCAUCAUUCUUUAUCUAUGUUGAACAAAGGUGGAACAUAUAAAAUAUAAUAAUAUUUUAUACUGCAUUAUACUCCCUCCGUUCCUAAAUAUAAGUCUUUCUAGAGAUUCCACUAUAAACCACAUACGGAUGUAUAUAGAUGCAUUUUAGAGUUUAGAUUCAUUCAUUUUGCUCCGUAUGUGGUCCAUAAUGAAAUCUCUUCAAAGACUUACAUUUAGGAACGGAGGGAGUAUAAACUUGUAUAAUAUAUAAUAAAACCAAAAGUGGGACUAACACAGAUAUUUUUAUUUGCAGUUUUUUUUCACCCUACAACCUUAUCCAGAUCUCUCCCCAUCACAGACAGACCUAGCCAAAUGGGCCGGCCCGCCACGGCACGGUCCGGCUGAGUUAAACGGGCCACCCCUCCCCAGUCGAUGCUCAGAAAAAAAAACAUCUCCCCACCCACUCUCUCCCCCUCGCAGCCGCUCACUCUCUCCCCCUCCUCUCCCCGGCGAUGGUGUCCGUCGAUCUCCCCUUCCUCUCCCCACCGUGCCGACCGCCUCCUCCUCUUCUCCUCCCUAAACACGCGCCACCAGCAGAUCAACAUCGCACGCCGCCGGCCCUAUCCCAUUCCACCCUCCGCUGCCACCUUCCCCACCCCGAGCUCGAAUCUAGGCCACCCACCGUCUUCCCUGUACCCAGCUGCCCUCAUCAGCUCCGGUCUCGUCCACGACGUGCUGCUCCAACCAUUGGUACGCGGCAGUGGGGGUUCGGUCCAGGAGGCGGCUGCUGCAGUCCUGAUGGCGUCGCCUCUGCAGUGGCUCCAUUCCGGCGGCAUCAGGGGAGCACACGAGUGUCCACGAGCAGCAAGCAGAGCCGGCCAAGGAAGCAAGGACGCGGGCAAAUGAUGCAGCAGCGCCGUCCUUGAGGAGAUGCCGCCCGUGGAUACAACAGCCGUGGGCGUGGAAGAUGAUUUUGGAUCCUGUGAGCCGCCGCCGCUGCCGCACAGGUAGUCAACGAUGGCGUGUUGCUGUUCCAUGUCCAAGAAGUCGCCCACGAGGCGUCGUCGUGGCAUUGCCAGCUCCAGCUUGCCCCUGCCAUCGUCUCUGCCGUCGGCACUUGCACGCACGCUCCUUGGUGAGGCUCUUCAUGUUAACUUUGUUCUGUUUGUAACAUGGCCCGUAACAUAUUUCUAUACCCACAAUGUUUUGCAUCAUCCGAACAAACGAUGGUAAAUUGAUUCCUAUGUAUUGUAACAUCCUGAUUACAAGUUCUGUUAGAUUAGUUUUUCUGUUGGAAUAAAAUUGUUCUGUUGUAGCAGAACAAUGACAUCACUAUGAUUCAGUUUUUAGGGGAUGGUCGAAUGGGAGUAUAUAACAUGCAGGAGUACUGUAUUUUUUAUUACUUAAACAUGGAGUAUAUAUCAUCAAGGUAGUACAGCAAAGAUAGAGUAUAAACAUGAUUAAAUGCUAUACAGUAGGUAAGUGAAUUUACAUGAUUAAACAGAAUCCAAGUGACUGGUUUUCCCUGAGUAUGGCCACUAACUUUCUGACGACAUCCUGGUCUAAUUGCUUGGUGGCAGCCUUGCGAUGGGUUAGGCCUGGGUCGUCGUCGUAGAAGUACAACUGUAGAUGCUCUGGACGGGAUGUUGGCCCGAAGGAAUGAACGUUGUGGUAGAUGGUGCCAUGUGCCCGGAAUUUGUACACCCCAGACUUCAUGUUUGUGUAGCUUUCAUCGAGGCUGACGCCGAGGGUUGUGAAGGAGAAGUGGCCGUUGAAGAAUCGUAUGUUCUCCCGAAAAUGCCUAGAGUCCGCAUCAGUGCUAGACCAAAGCCUCAUGAGCUCCGGGAUGGGUUCCGGUUGCUUCAGCUGGAUCUGCCCACUGCGACAGCAGAAUCCCGGGGCCUCGGACUCAAAUUUCUUGGCCUUGCAGUGGGCGCAGUUCGCGGCGUGCUUCAGGAUGUGUGUGUUGUCUGGCAGGUUUGAGUACACAUAGUCUAGUGGAUCAUGGUCGACAUAGUUAUUGUGACUUGAGUCUUCCAAUUCGCCGUGCUCCAUGCCAUCAGCAUCUGAGCCUGCAAACAAUGUUUAUAAUAAGGGUGAUACCCCCAACAUGUGGAUCACGCUCAAGCGGGUGUACAUACCUUCACCAGCAAACAGGUAAUAUUCAUCGUCAAAGAGGUCAUCAAGAUUGGCAUUAUCAUUCAUGAGACCAUUGAGGUAAGCGUCCAUGUCGUCUGCCCAGGUGCCAAACAACACAAAUGAGGGUUCAGUCUCAAGGGACGAUCGAAGAGUAAGGAUGGGGGUGUUACCUUCACUUCUGAUUGUGUACUCCGGCAUGCUAGAUGAUGUUGAGGCAUUGUUUGCUUCAACUAUGGUAGGUUGUCCCGUUGAGUUAAUCUCCGAUGUGGAGAUGGUCUUAACGGUUCGGGUAUUCGCCCUACCUGCAAAGCUUGCAUUACGACGAUCUAGCAGAGCCUUCCUCUCACCAUGUGGCACCUGCAAACAUGAUUUUCGCUUGCCAAUUUUGUCCUGAUGCUUAUUCACCGCCAUACUUCCCUUGCAAGCUCGCUCUCUCGUCCUACGCUGAGCUCUGGACCCAUGACUCUGCUCGGGGGAGCCAUAAUCCGCUUUUGUUACUGGAUCACUGGUUUGCUGGUCGGCAUUUGGUAGGUGCUCAUUGAUUUUGUCAAGGUUGCCAUCUACGUCACCAUCACCUAGGGUUCUGCUUAGGUAUGCACCUAUAACAUUAUCGAAUCAUUAUAAAUAACCGAUGAAUGACUACAAAAUGAAAGAUGAUCAUUGAUGGGAUAACUACCAUCGGUUUCGGUGUUGCGAAUGUAUGUGGGGGCCGACUUGUCGGUUGUGGCACGAUCUAUCUGUUCAAUGUCGGAUUGUUGUGCGAUGGUUGGAAGUGUGAGAGUCGGACAAUGUGCGUGAGGGUUGAAAGUGUGAGAGUUGGACAAUGCGCUAGCUAGAUCUGGACAUGGCAUUGCAAUCGAUUCAGCACAAAGGGUGUUUUUCCUCCUAGCAUAGUCUGCCUUUCUCUUCGCACUUGACUUCCCCUGCUCAUUAGGGGUCCUGCAGUUUCGUUGUUCCUUUCGUCGCUCACGCUGCACUUGAUUAUUUUUUUGGAGGUUGAUCAUACCCUCUUCCUUUUUCUUCUGAUAAGAUGCUCGUCUCCGUGUGUUUCUCUGCUCCCUUUGUUCUUCUUUCUCACGUUGCCACCCAGCUAGUACAUUGUCACCAAUGAACCCAUCAAUGGGAGUACUCGAAGCAGGCAACGUUGCAUCAGCAUGUGACAAGGAUGUAUAGCUGGAGCUAGUUGGGUUGGCUGGUUGAACAAUAAAAUUGGAACAUAACCAUAUCAUCCAUGUUCAGCAAGCACGAAGCUGCAAAAUGAAGUCAUUCUAUCCAACGAUUACUUAAUUUAUGAACUGAAAAAUUAAAAACAUGUACCUGAUAUGCUAUGGGAAGAUUGAUCAGCACUUGUUAUAUCACCAAGAGGGGGUCGGGAAACACACUGAAAUUCUGCUUGGAGGUUGGUCAUGUCCUCAUAUUUUUUCUUUGGAUAAGAUGCUCGCCUCCGCGUGUUGUUCUGCUUCUUUUUAUCUCCUGUGAAGUUAUUGUUGCUUUCUUUAUCGCAUUGCACCGUAGCUACCAUUACCUAAUUUACGCUACAAUUAUACCAAGAAUAAAUUCUAGAUCCGUACAUGGUAUCUCAUGCGAAGGCUAAUGAACAUUAGUGAUAUCGCCAAGAGGGGGUCGAGAAACAUUCUGGUUUUCACCUUGAAGCUUGAUCGUAUUCUCUUCCUUUUUCUUUUGAUAAUUUUCUCGCCUUCGCGCGUUUCUCCACUCCCUUUGGUCUUCUGUCAAGUUAUUACUGCAUUCUUUAUGAUGCUUUCUGGUAGACCGCUUGUCAUCAUUCAGGAGUAGAGAUGUUAUCUGGGAAGCAGUUGGGGUAGACGCUGGUGCAAAAUCUAAACCAUCAUGACCAUGGGCAUUUGGGCAGUCAUUGUUUUGCCUACAUUUUGGACCUACAGGAACAGAACAAAAGCUAGUGGUUAGGCUCAUAGAAGAAUAUGAACACCCAUAAGCACAAGAAGGGAAGGUGUGUCCCAUUGCGACAGUGUCCAUUGGAUGUUUUUGUUUAAUAUGGAUGUUUAUUUGGUUUCUUUUAGUGGCAAUGAACAUCACAUAUAUUUUCUUGUCUUCUGAUUGAGCUCUUUGCAAUUAUUCCUCCCUAUAUCCUUUUAUAUUACCAUGUAAACCAGCUUAUAUCAUUUUGUCCCUCUGUUUUUGGUAAUGUUAUGUUUUUCCAUGAUUGCUGUCAUUAUUGUUGUCCUACAUGUGUCUGUGCGUUGGGAUUAUAUGAAGAAAAGUUGCAGCUGAAUCAUUAUUAUGGCAGAAGGGAAAUCUACUGAAUCACAGUCACAUUUCCUAAUACCCAAUGACUCCAGUUCAUCGUCUGUCAAACUUUCAUCACUACAAAAAGAAACAUAACCACUCAAUAGCAAAAAAUAUCAUGGAUAUAAUAAGUUACAACAUAUAGGGCGAUUAUUAUAGCACUUUUAGGAAAACUACCAUCCAAAAGUAUACUAUUGAUACUCUUAAUAUGAGUGUGGCAUGGUUUAGUUUUUUUGUCAGGCAUGGCUACCCAAACAUUUCUGAUAUUGGAGAAGAAAAUAUUAGUCACACCUUGAACAAUAAUAACAACAAAAUUGUACUAAAGAACAUCAUGUGUGCCCAUAAAAGAACGUGUUCUGAGAAAUUUGAUAACACAUGCAUUAUGUUUAUAUAUGACCCCAGCCACAAGCUUUAAUUUUACUUUACUACUACUUUUCAACUACAAUUGAUGCUCUUUAUUACUGGAAUUCAGUUUACACCCUGAUGCUUAUUCCCAUUAGUAAUCUGCUUGAUAAUUGUCACUUCAGCCAUGCAUUUUCUCCAUAUGACUGCAGGAGCCAUGCUCAGAUUUGUGUUCCCAGGUUUAUGACUCGCAUUUUCUCCAUAUGACUUGCAUUCCCAGGUUUAUGGAGAUUUGCGAUGCUCAGAGGGACUAAUAUUGCUAAUGAAAAAAAACCACUUGAUAAUGCAUGUUAUUUACAAAAGGUACAUACCUGGAGUCAUUGGGUAAUACUCAUAAAUGUUGUGACUCGGUGCGGGAACGAUUUCUGGUAUGGAUUCAUCGAUAUUUUUACCCUCAUUAUGGAAUGUAACACGGUAGUUAUAUGAAAUGUCUUGUUUGUACCAGAAUGAAGGUCAACAAGACGGGGUACAGGUAUACCUGGACUUCCUUGGGGAUGUAGAUCAACAAGACGGGGUAGAGGUACAUCCUAUGCCUUUAUUUGUUCCAGUGCCUUGCUAUUUGAAGUUACCAUACUUACUUUUUGUUAUGAUGAGUGACCUAUCACAAUUGUAGGUCAACAUGAGAAGAUGAAAUAAAAACCAUUUUAUAAUGCAAGUUAUUUACAAAAGCCCCAAACAUGGAGUCAUUGGGUCGUACUCAUCAAUGUUGUGACUUGGUGCGGGAACGAUUUCUGGGAUGGAUUCAUCGACGGAAUUACCCUCAAUAUGGCCUGCAAAAUGAUUUCUCAUGUUGUGUUUACAUCAGAAUAAAGGUCAACAAGACAGGGCAGAGGUAUACUUGAACUUCGUUGGGGAUGUAGAUCAACGAGGGGGUAGAGGUACAUCCGAUGCCUUUCUCUGUUCCGGUGCCUUGCUAUUACAAUUUCCCAUACUUCGUUGGGGAUGUAGAUCAACAAGAGGGGGUAGAGGUCAAUUUCAAUGUCAACGUACAGGAGGACAAAACCGGAUGAUAAUUAGUAUAUGUUUGGUAAAUAUUUAUCCAUGUGCUUCCUUUGAACCUGCUGAUUUUCGUGCUUCCUUUCGUAAAGCUUCCUUUGGUACGUGCUUAUAGGAAAAACUGAAACCUGGUCGAGCUGGGAACAUUUAUAAAGAAAAGGUGUAAAUCAGCUUCGUGUAUAAUUCAGAGAAGCAUCAACUUGUAUGUAUGUGUUGUAUGUGCUGCCGGCGGAAGCAUCAAAUUGUAUGUAUGUGCUGCCGGUGGAUCUGUAAAAUUCUGAAACCUUCAAGUGUCUUAUUGUAUGUAUGUGUUGUAUUAUUGAAUCGGGCCUUGUUGAAUGGACGAAGGGUUUAGGGUUUAGGGGAACCUGAUUUAGGCGGACCUGAUCCGGCGCAGCCUUCGUGAGAUCGGCGGCACCCUCACUGGCAGAUGCAUGUGUGGGGUUGUGCGGCGGGCUCCACGGAUUGGCUGCGGCGGAGGCGUCAGUGGGAUUGUGCGGCGACGAUGAGACACGGCACUGUCAUCUAUGUGCAUGAUCUGCGCCGGCCUCCAUGGGAUCGACGACAGAAGGGAUCGAUGGUGGCGGCGAAGGGAUCGAUGGCAGCUGGGGUGGUUCACGUCGUUGUAGGAAAAUUUCGAGGGCAGCCUAAUUGUGGGAGGGGGCCGGCCUCCUGGUCCGUUUUUUUUUGUGUGGGAUAGGAGGAGUCGGAAAAACCAUACGAGGUGGGAGGAGGACGAAAACAAACCUGCGAAGGUGGGAGGUGGGACGAAAAUAAACCGUACCAGGCUACCAACUCGUCCAUUAGGAGUCCAUUAGGAGUAGAGAUUAUUUGCAACAUCCUCCACCUGAGCCCACGAGGCCUGACCACCGUGGAUGCAUGCAUCUACCCAACUCGUCCAUUAUUCUGCGAGAGGAAGAUAGCCCGGAGGUAAUUAAUGAAACAAUCCUUGUUUUAAUUCCAAAGGUGAAAGAUCCAACUAACUUAUCCCAGUUCAGGCCAAUUAGCUUGUGCAACGUCUUAUACAAGAUUGCUUCCAAAGUGUUAUCUAACAGAUUGAAACAGAUCUUACCUGACAUUAUCUCAGAGGAGCAGUCUGCCUUCGUUCCGGGACGGCUUAUCACAGAUAACAUUAUAACAGCCUAUGAGUGCUUACAUUUUAUGAAGCGAAAUAAAGCCCAAAAGAACAGAUAUUGUGCAGUCAAGUUGGACAUGAUGAAAGCAUACGACCGAGUCGAGUGGACUUACCUUGACCAAGAUGGGUUUUGCCCCUUCUUGGGUGGCUACAAUCAUGCGCAUGGUAUCAUCGGUAAAGUUUUCAGUUCUUUUCAAUGGUACUAAGCUUGAGGAGUUUCUCCCAUCUAGGGGAAUCCGUCAGGGAGAUCCUAUUUCUCCAUACUUGUUUUUGCUGGCAGCGGAGGGACUUUCGUGCCUCUUAAAACCCAAGAUGAAUCAUCGAGCCUCAGUGGAAUUCGAGUUGCUCUGUCGGCACCGCCGGUGAGCCACUUGCUUUUUGCAGAUGAUAGCCUGCUGUUUGUCAAAGCCAGUUUUUAUGGAGCAAAUCAGUUGUCUUCCUUGAUGGAAAGUUAUUGCAAUGCCUCGGGCCAAAGGAUCAAUUAUGCAAAGUCCUCUGUGUUCUUUAGUAAAGGCUGCCCCUCCACUCUUAAGGCCGAAGUUCAGAGUGCUCUAAAUAUUUCAAAGGAGUCACUAUCAGAUCGAUACCUUGGGAUGCCAACAGAUGUGGGUACUUGCAAGAAUGGAGCCUUCAAAUUCCUGAAAGAUAGAGUUUGGAAUAAAGUUAAGGGGUGGAUGGAAAAACUUUUGUCAGCAGGUGGCAAAGAGGUGUUGAUAAAAUCAGUGGCGCAGUCCGUCCCGGUUUAUUCCAUGUCAUGCUUCAAACUGCCGCGCGGACUGUGUGAACAUAUCAACUCACUAGUCCGAAAAUUUUGGUGGGGGAGUAAAGAGGGAAAAAGGAAGCCAAGUUGGGUCUCGUGGAGCACGAUGACCAAGCCAAAGUAUUGUGGAGGUCUUGGAUUCAGGGAUAUCGAGCUUUUUAACUUAGCUCUCCUUGCAAGGCAAGCAUGGAGAUUAUUAAUGGAUCCAGACUCGCUUAGUGCACGUGUACUGAGGGCCAAAUACCAUCCAGGGGCUCAUAUUUUGAAUGCUGAGCUUGGAUCGGCUCCCUCACAAAUCUGGCGGGCUAUAAUCGAGGGUCGCGAUGUUCUCAAACAGGGCAUCAUAAAACGUAUUGGAGAAGGACUCACGACACAUAUAUGGGAUCAUAAUUGGCUCCCGAGACCAGCAAAUAUGAGACCUAUAACUAGCCUCCUCGCCAACCCGCCACAAUGGGUUAGUGACCUUAUUUUGCCCGGCGCUGAAUGGGACCGAGCGGCAGUUUCACAGAUCUUCUUACCCACAGAUGCACAAGCGAUCAUGUCUAUACCCCUGUGUACCAGACAAAUCGAGGAUUUCUGGGCUUGGGUACACGAGAAGAAUGGGGUUUUUACGGUUCGCUCGGCUUAACGAAUGCUGGUUGAAACUAAGAUGCGAAGAGAAGCCUGGCUCGACGGGAGAGGACAUUCGUCAGAUACCUCCAGAGACGCUAAAUCUUGGGAUAGAAUAUGGAAAGUUGAUAUUCCAUCAAAAGUCAAAAUUUUUCUGUGGCGGCUAGCUCAACAGUCUGUUCCCACAGCUGAUGUUUUACAUCAUCGGGACAUGUCAACCUCGACGAGAUGCGGUCUGUGUGGAUCUGAAGAUUCAUGGCAACACUCAUUACUUCAUUGCACGGUAGCUCGGUGUGUUUGGGCGCUACAAGAUCAUGAUCUGGUGGAGACCUUAAAUAGCACCCGGGAGCCUGACGCACGUCGAUGGCUAUUCUCCCUGUUGGAUACACUUUCUUCUGCAGAAUUCAUCCAGGUUGCAGUUACCCUAUGGGCUCUGUGGUAUGCACGUCGGCAGGCUCUCCAUGAGAAUAUCUUCCAAAGUCCACUAUCCACGCACAACUUUAUCAUGAGAUAUAUCAGAGAGUUGGAAGACUGCAAACCCAAGAAGAUUGGUUCGAUUACUGCUAGAAGCACCGAACAAUUAAGGCAAAACUGGAUUCCACCACCGCCGGGUCUCUCCAAGAUCAGGGUAGAUGGUGCGGUCUCCAGAGAUAAUCUGUAUGGUUCCUUCAGCGCAGUCUGCAGAGAUUCGUCGGGUCAGUUCCUGGGAGCUUCAGCAAUCAAAAUACAUGGCAUCACUAAGCCUGCAACCCUAGAAGCGCUAGCUUGCCGGGAGGCGCUUGCGCUAGCCUUAGACUUGGCUUUGACCGAUUUCAUAGUUGCUUCUGACUGCCAAGGUGUGGUAAAUGAUAUCAAGCAUGGCACGGGAGGGACUUAUGCAAGCACAGUCAAGGAGAUUGUUGACACAUCAAGAGAUUUUCAUCAAUGUACCUUUAUCUUCGAAGGUAGAACAUGUUGGGGAACGUAGUAAUUUCAAAAAAAUUCCUACGCACACGCAAGAUCAUGGUGAUGGCAUAGCAACGAGAGGGGAGAGUGUUGUCCACGUACCCUCGUAGACCGUAAGCGGAAGUGUUAGCACAACGCGGUUGAUGUAGUCGUACGUCUUCACGAUCCGACCGAUCCAAGCACCGAACGUACGACACCUCCGAAUUCAGCACACGUUCAGCUCGAUGACGAUCCCCGGACUUCGAUCCAGCAAAGUGUCCGGGAUGAGUUCCGUCAGCACGACGGUGUGGUGACGAUGAUGAUGUUCUACCGGCGCAGGGCUUCGCCUAAGCUUCGCGAUGAUAUGACCGAGGUGGAAUAUGGUGGAGGGGGGCACCGCACACGGCUAAGGAACGAUCCGUAGAUCAACUUGUGUGUCUAUGGGUGCCCCCCCGCCCCCGUAUAUAAAGGAGCCAGGGGGGAGGAGGCGGCCGGCCAAGGAGGGCGCGCCAAGGGGGGGAGUCCUACUCCCACCGGGAGUAGGACUCCCUUCUUUCCUAGUUGGAAUAGGAGAAGGGGGGAAAGAGGAGGAAGAGGGGAAGGAAAGGGGGGGCGCCGCCCCCCUUCCCUUGUCCUAUUCGGACUAGGAAGGGGAGGGGCGCGUGGCCCCCUCCUGCCUCCUUCCCUCUUCUCCCUCGAGGCCCAUGUAGGCCCAAUAACCCCACGGGGGGUUCCGGUAACCUCCCGGUGCUCCGGUAAAAUGCCGAUUUCACCCGGAACGAUUCCGAUGUCCAAAUAUAGGCUUCCAAUAUAUCAAUCUUUAUGUCUUGACCAUUUCAAGACUCCUCGUUAUGUCCGUGAUCACAUCCGGGACACCGAACAAACUUCGGUACAUCAAAACUUAUAAACUCAUAAUAAAACUGUCAUUGUAACGUUAAGCGUGCGGACCCUACGGGUUCGAGAACUAUGUAGACAUGACCUAUAACUAUUCUCGGUCAAUAACCAAUAGCGGAACCUGGAUGCUCAUAUUGGUUCCUACAUAUUCUACGAAGAUCUUUAUCGGUCAAACCGCAUAACAACAUACGUUGCUCCCUUUGUCAUCGGUAUGUUACUUGCCCGAGAUUUGAUCGUCGGUAUCCAAUACCUAGUUCAAUCUCGUUACCGGCAAGUCUCUUUACUCGUUCUAUAAUGCAUCAUCCCGUAACCAACUCAUUUGAUCACAUUGCUUGCAAGGCUUAUAGUGAUGUGCAUUACCUAGAGGGCCCGGAGAUACCUCUCCGACAAUCGGAGUGACAAAACCUUCUCGAAAUACGCCAACUCAAUAUGUACCUUCGGAGACACCUGUAGUACUCCUUUAUAAUCACCCAGUUACGUUGUGAUGUUUGAUAGUACCCAAAGUGUUCCUCCGGUAAAGGGAGUUGCAUAAUUCUCAUAGUUACAGGAACAUGUAUAAGUCAUGAAGAAAGCAAUAGCAAUAUACUAAACGAUCAAGUGCUAGGCUAACGGAAUGGGUCAUGUCAAUCACAUCAUUCUCCUAAUGAUGUGAUCCCAUUAAUCAAAUGACAACACAUGUCUAUGGUUAGGAAACAUAACCAUCUUUGAUUAACGAGAUAGUCUAGUAGAGGCAUACUAGUGACUAUAUGUUUGUCUAUGUAUUCACACAUGUAUCAUGUUUCCGGUAAUACAAUUCUAGCAUGAAUAAUAAACAUUUAUCAUGAUAUGAGGAAAUAAAUAAUAACUUUAUUAUUGCCUCUAGGGCAUAUUUCCUUCAGUCUCCCACUUGCUCUAGAGUCAAUAAUCUAGAUUACAUAGUAAUGAUUCUAACACCCAUGGAGUCUUGGUGCUGAUCAUGUUUUGCUCGUGAGAGUGGCUUAGUCAACGGGUCUGCAACAUUCAGAUCAGUAUGUAUCUUGCAAAUCUCUAUGUCUCCCACUUGGACUUGGUCCCGAAUGGAAUUGAAGCGUCUCUUGAUGUGCUUGGUCCUCUUGUGAAAUCUGGAUUCCUUUGCCAAGGCAAUUGCACCAGUAUUGUCACAAAAGAUUUUCAUUGGUCCCGAUGCACUAGGUAUGACACCUAGAUCGAAAAUGAACUCCUUCAUCCAGACUCCUUCAUUUGCUGCUUCCGAAGCAGCUAUGUACUCCGCUUCACAUGUAGAUCCCGCCACGACGCUUUGUUUAGAACUGCACCAACUUACAGCUCCACCGUUUAAUAAAAACACGUAUCCGGUUUGCGAUUUAGAAUCGUCCGGAUCAGUGUCAAAGCUUGCAUCGACGUAACCAUUUACGACUAGCUCUUUGUCACCUCCAUAUACGAGAAACAUAUCCUUAGUCCUUUUCAGGUAUUUCAGGAUGUUCUUGACCGUUGUCCAGUGAUCCACUCCUGGAUUACUUUGGUACCUUCCUGCCAAGCUUAUUGCUAAGCAUACGUCAGGUCUGGUACACAGCAUUGCAUACAUGAUAGAGCCUAUGGAUGAAGCAUAGGGAACAUCUUUCAUUUUCUCUCUAUCUUCUGAUGUGGUCGGGCAUUGAGUUUGACUUAACUUCACACCUUGUAGUACGGGCAAGAACCCUUUCUUUGCCUGAUCCAUUUUGAACUUUUUCAAAAUUUUAUCAAGGUAUGUGCUUUGUGAAAGUCCUAUUAAGCGUCUUGAUCUAUCUCUAUAGAUCUUGAUGCCCAAUAUAUAAGCAGCUUCACCGAGGUCUUUCAUUGAAAAACUUUUAUUCAAGUAUUCCUUUAUGCUAUCCAGAAAUUCUAUAUCAUUUCCAAUUAAUAAUGUGUCAUCUACAUAUAAUAUCAGAAAUGCUACAGAGCUCCCACUCACUUUCUUGUAAAUACAGGCUUCUCCAAAAGUCUGUAUAAAACCAUGUGCUUUGAUCACACUAUCAAAGCGUUUAUUCCAACUUCGAGAUGCUUGCACCAGUCCAUAAAUAGAACGCUGGAGCUUGCACACUUUGUUAGCACCUUUUGGAUCUACAAAACCUUCUGGCUGCAUCAUAUACAACUCUUCUUCCAGAAAUCCAUUCAAGAAUGCAGUUUUGACAUCCAUUUGCCAAAUUUCAUAAUUAUGAAAUGCAGCAAUAGCUAACAUGAUUCGGACAGACUUAAGCAUCGCUACGGGUGAGAAAGUCUCAUCAUAGUCAACCCCUUGAACUUGUCGAAAACCUUUUGCAACAAAUCGAGCUUUAUAGACAGUUAUAUUUCCAUCAGCGUCAGUCUUCUUCUUAAAAAUCAAUUUAUUCUCAAUGGCUUGCCGAUCAUCGGGCAAGUCAACCAAAGUCCAUACUUUGUUUUCAUACAUGGAUCCCAUCUCAGAUUUCAUGGCCUCUAGCCAUUUUGCGGAAUCUGGGCUCAUCAUCGCUUCCUCAUAGUUCGUAGGUUCAUCAUGGUCAAGCAACAUGACUUCUAGAAUUGGAUUACCGUACCACUCUGGUGCGGAUCUUAUUCUGGUAGACCUACGAGGUUCAGUAGAAACUUGAUCUGAAGUUUCAUGAUCAAUAUCAUUAGCUUCCUCACUAAUUGGAGUAGUUGUCACAGGAACCGGUUCUUGUGAUGAACUACUUUCCAAUAAGGGAGUGGAUACAGUUAUCUCAUCAAGCUCUACUUUCCUCCCACUCACUUCUUUCGAGAGAAACUCCUUCUCUAGAAAGGAUCCAAUUUUAGCAACGAAAAUCUUGCCCUCAGAUCUGUGAUAGAAGGUGUACCCAAUAGUCUCUUUUGGGUAUCCUAUGAAGACACAUUUCUCCGAUUUGGGUUCGAGCUUAUCUGGUUGAAGUUUCUUCACAUAAGCAUCGCAGCCCCAAACUUUAAGAAAUGACAACUUUGGCUUCUUGCCAAACCAUAGUUCAUAAGGCGUCGUCUUAACGGAUUUUGAUGGUGCCCUAUUUAACGUGAAUGCGGCCGUCUCUAAAGCAUAACCCCAAAACGAUAGCGGUAAAUCAGUAAGAGACAUCAUAGAUCGCACCAUAUCUAGUAAAGUACGAUUAUGACAUUCGGACACACCAUUUCGUUGUGGUGUUCCAGGUGGCGUGAGUUGCGAAACUAUUCCGUGUUGUUUCAAGUGUAGACCAAACUCGUAACUCAAAUAUUCUCCUCCACGAUCAGAUCGUAGAAAUUUUAUUUUCCUGUUACGAUGAUUUUCUACUUCACUCUGAAAUUCUUUGAACUUUUCAAAUGUUUCAGACUUGUGUUUCAUCAAGUAGAUAUACCCAUAUCUGCUCAAAUCAUCUGUGAAGGUGAGAAAAUAACGAUAUCUGCCGCGAGCCUCAACAUUCAUUGGACCACAAACAUCAGUAUAUAUGAUUUCCAACAAGUCAGUUGCUCGCUCCAUAGUUCCGGAGAACGGCGUUUUAGUCAUCUUGCCCAUGAGGCACGGUUCGCGAGUACCAAGUGAUUCAUAAUCAAGUGAUUCCAAAAUCCCAUCAGUAUGGAGUUUCUUCAUGCGCUUUACACGGAUAUGACCUAAACGGCAGUGCCACAAAUAAGUUGCACUAUCAUUAUUAACUCUGCAUCUUUUGGUUUCAACACUAUGAAUAUGUGUAUCACUGCUAUCGAGAUUUAAUAAAAAUAGACCACUCUUCAAGGGUGCAUGACCAUAAAAGAUAUUACUCAUAUAAAUAGAACAACCAUUAUUCUUUGAUUUAAAUGAAUAACCGUCUCGCAUCAAACAAGAUCCAGAUAUAAUGUUCAUGCUUAACGCUGGCACCAAAUAACAAUUAUUUAGGUCUAAAACUAAUCUCGAUGGUAGAUGUAGAGGUAGCGUGCCGACCGCGAUCACAUCGACUUUGGAACCAUUUCCCACACGCAUCGUCACCUCGUCCUUAGCUAAUCUUCGCUUAAUCCGUAGUCCCUGUUUCGAGUUGCAAAUAUUAGCAACAGAAACAGUAUGAAAUACCCAGGUGCUACUGCGAGCAUUAGUAAGGUACACAUCAAUAACAUGUAUAUCACAUAUACCUUUGUUCACUUUGCCAUCCUUCUUAUCCGCCAAAUACUUGGGGCAGUUCCGCUUCCAGUGUCCAGUCUGCUUGCAGUGGAAGCAGUCAGUUUCAGGCUUAGGUCCAGACUUGGGUUUCUUCUCUUGAGCAGCAACUUGCUUGUUGUUCUUUUUGAAGUUCCCCUUUUUCUUCCCUUUGCCCUUUUUCUUGAAACUGGUGGUUUUGUUAACCAUCAACACUUGAUGCUCCUUCUUGAUUUCUACCUCCGCGGCUUUUAGCAUUGCGAAGAGCUCGGGAAUAGUCUUGUUCAUCCCUUGCAUAUUAUAGUUCAUCACGAAGCUCUUGUAGCUUGGUGGCAGUGAUUGAAGAAUUCUGUCAAUGACACUAUCAUCAGGAAGAUUAACUCCCAGUUGAAUCAAGUGAUUAUUAUACCCAGACAUUUUGAGUAUGUGUUCACUGACAGAACUAUUCUCUUCCAUCUUGCAGCUGUAGAACUUAUUGGAGACUUCAUAUCUCUCAAUCCGGGCAUUUGCUUGAAAUAUUAACUUCAACUCCUGGAACAUCUCAUAUGCCCCAUGACGUUCAAAACAUCGUUGAAGACCCGGUUCUAAGCCGUAAAGCAUGGCACACUGAACUAUCGAGUAGUCAUCAGCUUUGCUCUGCUAGACGUUCUUAACGUCGUCAGUUGCAUCAGCAGCAGGCCUGGCACCCAGCGGUGCUUCCAGGACGUAACUUUUCUGUGCAGCAAUGAGGAUAAUCCUCAGGUUACGGACCCAGUCCGUGUAAUUGCUACCAUCAUCUUUCAACUUUGCUUUCUCAAGGAACGCAUUAAAAUUUAACGGAACAACAGCACGAGCCAUCUAUCUACAAGCAAACAUAGACAAGCAAAAUACUAUCAGAUACUAAGUUUCAUGAUAAAUUUAUGUUCAAUUAAUCAUAUUACUUUAGAACUCCCACUUAGACAGACAUCUCUCUAGUCAUCUAAGUGAUCACGUGAUCCAAAUCAACUAAACCAUGUCCGAUCAUCACGUGAGAUGAAGUAGUUUCAAUGGUGAACAUCACUAUGUUGAUCAUAUCUACUAUAUGAUUCAGGCUCGACCUUUCGGUCUCUGUGUUCCGAGGCCAUAUCUGUAUAUGCUAGGCUCGUCAAGUAUGACCUGAGUAUUCCGCGUGUUCAACUGUUUUGCACCCAUUGUAUUUGAACGUAGAGCCUAUCACACCCGAUCAUCACGUGGUGUCUCAGCACGAAGAACUUUCGCAACGGUGCAUACUCAGGGAGAACACUUCUUGAUUAUUAGUGAGAGAUCAUCUUAAAAUGCUACCGUCAAUCGAAGCAAGAUAAGAUGCAUAAAGGAUAAACAUCACAUGCAAUCAAUAUAAGUGAUAUGAUAUGGCCAUCAUCAUCUUGUGCUUGUGAUCUCCAUCUUCGAAGCACCGUCGUGGUCACCAUCGUCACCGGCGCGACACCUUGAUCUUCAUCGUAGCAUCGUUGUCGUUACACAUCUAUUGCUUCUACGACUAUCGCUACCGCUUAGAGAUAAAGUAAAGCAAUUACAGGGCGUUUUGCAUUUCAUACAAUAAAGCGACAACCAUAUGGCUCCUGCCAGUUGCCGAUAACUUCGGUUACAAAACAUGAUCAUCUCAUACAAUAAAAUAAAGCAUCACGUCUUGACCAUAUCACAUCACAACAUGCCCUGCAAAAACAAGUUAGACGUCCUCUACUUUGUUGUUGCAAAUUUUACGUGGCUGCUACGGGCUUUAGCAAGAACCGUUCUUACCUACGCAUAAAAACCACAACGAUAGUUCGUCAAGUUGGUGUUGUUUUAACCUUCACAAGGACCGGGCGUAGCCACACUCGAUUCAGCUAAAGUGAGAGAGACAGACACCUGCCAGCCACCUUUAAGCACGAGUGCUCGCAACGGUGAAACCAGUCUCGCGUAAGCGUACGCGUAAUGUCGGUCCGGGCCGCUUCAUCUCACAAUACCGCUGAACCAAAGUAUGACAUGCUGGUAAGCAGUAUGACUUGUAUCGCCCACAACUCACUUGUGUUCUACUCGUGCAUAUAACAUCAACGCAUAAAACCUAGGCUCGGAUGCCACUGUUGGGGAACGUAGUAAUUUCAAAAAAUUUCCUACGCACACGCAAGAUCAUGGUGAUGGCAUAGCAACGAGAGGGGAGAGUGUUGUCCACGUACCCUCGUAGACCGUAAGCGGAAGCGUUAGCACAACGCGGUUGAUGUAGUCGUACGUCUUCACGAUCCGACCGAUCCAAGCACCGAACGUACGGCACCUCCGAGUUCAGCACACGUUCAGCUCGAUGACGAUCCCCGGACUCCGAUCCAGCAAAGUGUCGGGGAUGAGUUCCGUCAGCACGACGGCGUGGCGACGAUGAUGAUGUUCUACCGACGCAGGGCUUCGCCUAAGCUUCGCGACGAUAUGACCGAGGUGGAAUAUGGUGGAGGGGGGCACCGCACACGGCUAAGGAACGAUCCGUAGAUCAACUUGUGUGUCUAUGGGUGCCCCCCCGCCCCCGUAUAUAAAGGAGCCAGGGGGGAGGAGGCGGCUGGCCAAGGAGGGCGCGCCAAGGGGGGAGUCCUACUCCCACCGGGAGUAGGACUCCCUUCUUUCCUAGUUGGAAUAGGAGAAGGGGGGAAAGAGGAGGAAGAGGGGAAGGAAAGGGGGGGGGGCGCCGCCCCCCUUCCCUUGUCCUAUUCGGACUAGGAAGGAGAGGGGCGCGCGCCCCCCUCCUGCCUCCUUCCCUCUUCUCCCUCGAGGCCCAUGUAGGCCCAAUAACCCCCCGGGGGGGGUUCCGGUAACCUCCCGGUGCUUCGGUAAAAUGCCGAUUUCACCCGGAACGAUUCCGAUGUCCAAAUAUAGGCUUCCAAUAUAUCAAUCUUUAUGUCUUGACCAUUUCAAGACUCCUCGUUACGUCCGUGAUCACAUCUGGGACACCGAACAAACUUCGGUACAUCAAAACUUAUAAACUCAUAAUAAAACUGUCAUCGUAACGUUAAGCGUGCGGACCCUACGGGUUCGAGAACUAUGUAGACAUGACCUAGAACUAUUCUCGGUCAAUAACCAAUAGCGGAACCUGGAUGCUCAUAUUGGUUCCUACAUAUUCUACGAAGAUCUUUAUCGGUCAAACCGCAUAACAACAUACGUUGUUCCCUUUGUCAUCGGUAUGUUACUUGCCCGAGAUUUGAUCGUCGGUAUCCAAUACCUAGUUCAAUCUCGUUACCGGCAAGUCUCUUUACUCGUUCUGUAAUGCAUCAUCCCGUAACCAACUCAUUUGGUCACAUUGCUUGCAAGGCUUAUAGUGAUGUGCAUUACCGAGAGGGCCCAGAGAUACCUCUCCGACAAUCGGAGUGACAAAACCUAAUCUCGAAAUACGCCAACUCAACAUGUACCUUCGGAGACACCUGUAUUACUCCUUUAUAAUCACCCAGUUACGUUGUGACGUUUGGUAGUACCCAAAGUGUUCCUCCGGUAAACGGGAGUUGCAUAAUUCUCAUAGUUACAGGAACAUGUAUAAGUCAUGAAGAAAGCAAUAGCAAUAUACUAAACGAUCAAGUGCUAGGCUAACGGAAUGGGUCAUGUCAAUCACAUCAUUCUCCUAAUGAUGUGAUCCCAUUAAUCAAAUGACAACACAUGUCUAUGGUUAGGAAACAUAACCAUCUUUGAUUAACGAGCUAGUCUAGUAGAGGCAUACUAGUGACUAUAUGUUUGUCUAUGUAUUCACACAUGUAUCAUGUUUCCGGUUAAUACAAUUCUAGCAUGAAUAAUAAACAUUUAUCAUGAUAUGAGGAAAUAAAUAAUAACUUUAUUAUUGCCUCUAGGGCAUAUUUCCUUCAGAACAACCAAUAUCGAGGCACACAGUCUCGCUAAACAUGCUUUCGAUCUGGAUCUAGGGCGCCACUUGUGGCUAAUAAACCCUCCAGACAUUCAUUGUAUCCCUAUGAACUUAUUUGAUUAGUAAAGUGUGUUUAGACUCAAAAAAAAUCUAACCAGCCCAGACAAUCCAUUUGAAAUCAACCUUCUAUUGUCCCAAAGAUCGUUUUCUAAUGAACUGGGCCUGAGCACCAAAGGUUCACCAGAAUCAGGCCCAUGAACUUGCACCGGCUGCACCUCAAAAAAUAAAAACAAACCUUUAUACUCUUGUUUGUUUAGUACCACCUCGCCAACGGGAGGAGGCAGGGGUGGGGGAGGAUGCUAUAUAAUGAUCCCUCGGUGCACCCUUGCAACAUACUACCACUAGUAGAAAAGGGGGCAUUGGUCCAGGUCGGGUGAGCCCAUUAGUCCCGGUUCAAUCUAGAAUCGGGACCAAUGGGGGCAUUGAACCCGGUUCGUGAGCCCCAGGGGCCGGCCGGGCCACGUGGGCCAUUGGUCCCGGUUCGUGAGCCCCGGGGGCCGGCCGGGCCACGUGGGCCAUUGGUCCCGGUUCGUCUGGACCUUUUGGUCCCGGUUGGUGGGACGAACCGGGACCAAUGUGCCUUGCUCCUGGCCCACCACCAUUGGUCCCGGUUGGAGGCAUGAACCGAGACCAAAGGACGCCCAUUAGGCCCGGUUCAUACCACCAACCGGGACUAAAGUGUUGGUCCUCGUUGCGGCCAGAGUUUAGUCCCACCUCGCCAACCGAAGGGGGCUCACACCGGUUUAUAAGCCCCUCCCUCUCUGCCUUGUUGAGCUCCUCUCAAAAUGAAAAUAGAUGCCCUUAUACAGGAAAUUUGACCUAAAUUCAUACUGAAUUUCUCUGAAGUUAGUAGAAAUUUAUUAUGAAUUUAGGUUUAAUUUUCUCUAUAAGCACAUCUAUGCUCAUUUUUUAGUAAAGUUAAUCACAACUAUUUUUUCUUCUAUUUAUUUCUGAGUAGUUUUUUAUAUAGUUUUUUCUUUUCUGCUAUAUUUAUUUUUUUUCUAUUUAUUUCUGAGUUGUAAUAAGUCAUUAAAAAUAAAAAAGAUUUUAGUAAAGUUAAUCACAACUAUUUUUUCUUCUAUUUAUUUCUGAGUAGUUUUUUAUAUAGUUUUUUUUCUUUUCUGCUAUAUUUAUUUUUUCUAUUUAUUUCUGUGUGGUAAUAAGUCAUUGAAAAUAAAAAAGAGGCGCAAUGCUAGUUAAUUCGCUUCAAGCCUUUUGGAAUAGUGUAAACUGCACUGCACAUAGCUCCGUGCAGUCUACCCUAUUCCUCAAGGCUUGAAGCGAACCAACGUGCAGGUGAGCAUUGAGCCUCUUCUUCAUCGUCUGUGCACUCAGGGCUUAUAAACAGCUGCGAGUGCCUUUCGCUUAGCGAGGUGGGACUAAAAAAAUAGCUGUAGAAAGAAUCAACUAAAAUACAGCUGCAGAAAAUAAAUAACUAAUUAGAUGGGUCAAAACCACUUCACAUAAUGCUUUAAUGUCUUAUGGUUCGGCCCUCGUGAUACCAUGCCAACUUUCAACUUUCAACUUUUUCAGAGUUCAUUUGAAAUGCUUUAAUGCAGAAAACAAAAGAAAAUAAAUAAUGCAGAAAGCAAAACAAAAAAACUGGAAAAAUAAAUAGAAUAGCAACAAUAAGUAUUUUGUUGUAAGUAGAAACAAAAUAAAAUAAAUAAAGCAAAAAGAAAACAAAAAAAGUGUACUCAAAUUUGAAAACUAAUGGCACUAACAGAAAGUUUAUAAUNNNNNNNNNNNNNNNNNNNNNNNNNNNNNNNNNNNNNNNNNNNNNNNNNNNNNNNNNNNNNNNNNNNNNNNNNNNNNNNNNNNNNNNNNNNNNNNNNNNNNNNNNNNNNNNNNNNNNNNNNNNNNNNNNNNNNNNNNNNNNNNNNNNNNNNNNNNNNNNNNNNNNNNNNNNNNNNNNNNNNNNNNNNNNNNNNNNNNNNNNNNNNNNNNNNNNNNNNNNNNNNNNNNNNNNNNNNNNNNNNNNNNNNNNNNNNNNNNNNNNNNNNNNNNNNNNNNNNNNNNNNNNNNNNNNNNNNNNNNNNNNNNNNNNNNNNNNNNNNNNNNNNNNNNNNNNNNNNNNNNNNNNNNNNNNNNNNNNNNNNNNNNNNNNNNNNNNNNNNNNNNNNNNNNNNNNNNNNNNNNNNNNNNNNNNNNNNNNNNNNNNNNNNNNNNNNNNNNNNNNNNNNNNNNNNNNNNNNNNNNNNNNNNNNNNNNNNNNNNNNNNNNNNNNNNNNNNNNNNNNNNNNNNNNNNNNNNNNNNNNNNNNNNNNNNNNNNNNNNNNNNNNNNNNNNNNNNNNNNNNNNNNNNNNNNNNNNNNNNNNNNNNNNNNNNNNNNNNNNNNNNNNNNNNNNNNNNNNNNNNNNNNNNNNNNNNNNNNNNNNNNNNNNNNNNNNNNNNNNNNNNNNNNNNNNNNNNNNNNNNNNNNNNNNNNNNNNNNNNNNNNNNNNNNNNNNNNNNNNNNNNNNNNNNNNNNNNNNNNNNNNNNNNNNNNNNNNNNNNNNNNNNNNNNNNNNNNNNNAUAAAGCACGAAACAAAACAAAAAAACAAAAAAACAAAAAAAGUGUUUUCAAAUUUGAGAACUAAUGGCACUAACAGAAAGUUUAUAAUUUUUCUAAAACUAAAAGCAAAAAGAAUUAAAAAAUAAAGCAAAAAAACAAAAGAAAAUAAAUAAUGCAGAAAGCAAAACAAAAAAUCUGGGAAAAAAUAAAAAUAGCAACAAUAAGUAAAGAAAAAAAAGUGCCUCCUACUAGGCCCCCACGGCCUGAAUACGACUAGAAACCCACCAUGGGCCAGGAUUCAGGCCCGCAGGUGGCCCAGUAGGCCCAUCAGGCAAAGCAGUAGUAAGUAAGCUCGUAAGCCUGCAGUGGAGAGGAGCUCGAGAGGGGUGCGGCAGUGGGGCUUAUAAACCACUGCGCGCCCCUCUCAGCUAGCAAGGUGGGACUAAACUUUCGUGCCGCACCGUGCCAGCACACGACCAUUGGUCCCGGUUGGAGGCACCAACCGGGACAAAUGCCCACCCUUUAGUCCCGGUUGGUGGCACCAACCGGGACCAAAGCCCUCUGCUUCCCGCCCUUUGGGCUGCUGAAAAGAGGCCUUUGGUCCCGGUUGGUGCUACCAACCGGGACUAAAGGGCGCAUUAGUCCCGGUUGGAGCCACCAACCGAGACCAAAGACUUUUGCUAUAUAAGGAAAUUUUCAGNNNNNNNNNNNNNNNNNNNNNNNNNNNNNNNNNNNNNNNNNNNNNNNNNNNNNNNNNNNNNNNNNNNNNNNNNNNNNNNNNNNNNNNNNNNNNNNNNNNNNNNNNNNNNNNNNNNNNNNNNNNNNNNNNNNNNNNNNNNNNNNNNNNNNNNNNNNNNNNNNNNNNNNNNNNNNNNNNNNNNNNNNNNNNNNNNNNNNNNNNNNNNNNNNNNNNNNNNNNNNNNNNNNNNNNNNNNNNNNNNNNNNNNNNNNNNNNNNNNNNNNNNNNNNNNNNNNNNNNNNNNNNNNNNNNNNNNNNNNNNNNNNNNNNNNNNNNNNNNNNNNNNNNNNNNNNNNNNNNNNNNNNNNNNNNNNNNNNNNNNNNNNNNNNNNNNNNNNNNNNNNNNNNNNNNNNNNNNNNNNNNNNNNNNNNNNNNNNNNNNNNNNNNNNNNNNNNNNNNNNNNNNNNNNNNNNNNNNNNNNNNNNNNNNNNNNNNNNNNNNNNNNNNNNNNNNNNNNNNNNNNNNNNNNNNNNNNNNNNNNNNNNNNNNNNNNNNNNNNNNNNNNNNNNNNNNNNNNNNNNNNNNNNNNNNNNNNNNNNNNNNNNNNNNNNNNNNNNNNNNNNNNNNNNNNNNNNNNNNNNNNNNNNNNNNNNNNNNNNNNNNNNNNNNNNNNNNNNNNNNNNNNNNNNNNNNNNNNNNNNNNNNNNNNNNNNNNNNNNNNNNNNNNNNNNNNNNNNNNNNNNNNNNNNNNNNNNNNNNNNNNNNNNNNNNNNNNNNNNNNNNNNNNNNNNNNNNNNNNNNNNNNNNNNNNNNNNNNNNNNNNNNNNNNNNNNNNAAGUAGUUUGUAGUAAGUGCUACUUUAUUUAUUUAUAGUAAGUGCUACUUUAUUUAUUUAUAGUAAGUGCUACUUUAUUUAUUUAUAGUAAGUGCUUAGUGGUUGAACUAGAUAGUUGAUUUAAUUAAUAAAACUACUUUAUUUAACUAUAUAUAGAAGUACGUAGUUCCCGCAUCGACAUCGGCGAUGCCUAUCCCGCAUCCUCGUCGUCGUCGACUUGGCGGUGGAGGCCUGCUUGAUCAGGGCCAUGUUCAGAACUGGGCUCCGCCGGGCUGGUUUUAGGAGGUGCUACCUUCUGGGGGACGUAGGUUGGUGAGGAGGCAGCCCGUUGUUGACCCGAUCCUUUUUUGGUGGCGGCCGCGUGGGCCAGUGACAGUGCCGAGGCUUCCAGACGCCGCGGAGGUGGUAUGUCACCGUGUCAGCGAGGAGGACGAGCACGUCCGUCGCUACAUGGUUGCGCUGGAGGGCAGGUUCGACAAUACCUGGCAGGUUCUUCAGGGAUCUCACUAGAGCUAUGAUCAUGUGAUCGUUCCUUAUCUUUGGGUGUCCACCGCCCGCGACGAUACCCGUCGGGCGCUACGGUUCUAGCUGUAUUAAUUAGCAAUGUUAUAUGUAUGAUAGUAUUCGAAGAGUAUUCGACGAUGUACGAACACAAGAGAUGAUGUACUUUUGGUUAUAAUUGAAUGCAUGCUAAUUUGAAUGCUACUUUAUUUUACGAUUUGGUUUUGCUUAUUGAAUGCUCAUAUUGGAAAAGUACUCCUACUUUGAAUGCUAAAAUUGAAGAGCACUCCAUGCAGAAAUCUAGGAGCCCCCUCCAUCAUCCACGCCGUCGUGGGGGUAGCUUCUCCUUCAUUCCCGUGUGCUAGACAAUUUGUUGUAAUAAUGUACUCGGGAAUGAAAGGAGGAGCUACAUACCAUCACCAAUAGUCAACCCGUGAUUAAUAAUAAUGAUCUAAUUUAGGUUUUUUAGUACAUAUAUUUAAUAUUUGAAUUAUGAACUUAGGCCGGAAAUAUCGUACUCGGACGAUGAAAAACACCGGGGGGAAAGCGACUGGUACCACGACGACUGAGGUAUGUGUGACAGGUUCAUUGAGCUGGACGAAGAUCGGCGCUUCAGCAUUAAGCUCGAGGAGACCUUCGAUGUUCAUACUGUACGCAACGACGAGAAUAGUUUUUUUCGUAAUUAAGCACGACUUCAACUAUUUUAACAUGUAUUUUUCAUCUUUUCCAAUUCGACUAGCUUAUCCCAUGAUUUGCAAGAUGCUAUGUCUUGGAGAGGAUGGGUUUUAAAGACCAUGAAAGUAUGGAAACCAAAAAAAUUAUUCUAAGUAUCCAUCAUGGUGUGGAUUUUCAAGUAAAAUUGUACAAUGCUCAGAGUGUAACCCAUUGUGGUUGCAAAAACUGAGAAGCACUUUGCAAGAUGUAUGGUUUUGAUGAGGGUAUGCUUGUCACCAUGGAUCUUGGUGAUCCUACAAUCGCGCAAGAGAGACCUUCGAUUUUCAUCCUUGUGGAUACACCUCCAAUUCUUCCCCCAUGUGAGCUUAACAUAGUUAUUAAGUAAUUUAUAUUGUUUAUUUCAAAAUAAUUGACAACUUAUUUCCAUUGACAGCUUAUUUUCACUCUUCCAAGAAUGUGCGAAAGAUGGUAGACAGAACCUACUACACCAAAGGCUCCGAAUUAACUUAUCAGGAGAAAAAUCAUCUGGUCGCAUUUUGUACUGAUCUUGAGAAUUACAAUAUCUACAAUCAAACUCCUCAACAUUAUGGUCAAUACGUGCCACUAGUGCACGUGUUGAACUACGGUAACUACCAUGGAGAUACCCUGGUAAGAUUUUUUACUAUUACGACAUCCGUGCAUCUUUUUGCACACUUCUAAAACUAGUACAUCAUUGCUAACUACGAAGUUAUUACUAUGUUUUUCAACAGAUAAUCCCGAAUGAUUGUGUGCCUCAUCUGAUGUAUACACACGGUAGUCUUCAUGUUUUGAACAUACAACCAGGUCUUCCUACGAAUCUGAACUGUCCAUACCGGGUUUCUAAAAGAAGUGGAGACAUGACAAUCAAAGAAUGGAAAAAAUGUAUGGACAGUCGUAAGGAGCUUCUUGGAAGCAACAAUCAGCGGAGGGCAAGAAUUGGAGACAGGAUGAUCGCCAUUCUUUAUAAUGGAGAGUCAGGGUCUAUAUUGUUUUAUGUUAUUUUACCUUAAGGGUGUUUAGGUCAUGUCCUACCUGAUACUGAUGAUCAUGUGCUAAGAACAAUUAUGUAGGGUUGGGUUUGAUGACUAUGAGGAUGAUGAUCAUAUGAGUUAUUAUUAAUAAUGAGUAGAAGUUGUAUGAUAAUGCAUGAUUAGUAGGACUUGUUAUUAUAUAUGAUGAUGUAUGAUGCGAGCAUGCAUGAGUUAUUAUAUCAGCGGGUGAAAUGAACAUAUAUAGCAGCAGCGUUGGUAAACCAAGGACGAAGAUAUAAGAGAGGACACUUCUCUCUAUUAGCUAGCUAAUAACAACCCAAAAAUAACCCCCAAAACCUCUAAAGCAGCCACUUUUCUAAAAAAACAUGGACUUUUGGUCCCGGUUGGUGCCACCAACCGGGACCAAAGGCCCCCUGACUGGGCUCGGCGCACAGGGCCACGUGGAGGCACAUUGGUCCCGGUUCGUGUUCGAACCGGGACUAAUGGGUGGAGGUAUUAGUAACGACUCAUUAGUCCCGGUUCAUGAACCGGGACUAAAGGCCUUUACGAACCGGGACUAUUAGGUGUUUUUCUACUAGUGUACAUCCGUCCUGGUUUAUAAGUCCCCUUUGUAGUUUGUGCCAAAUUUUAACUAAAGAUUUAACUAACAAAAUGUUAAUGCAUGUCAAGAAAAAUUAUCUCAUUGGAUUCAUAUUUGAACAUAGUUUUCAAAAAAUAAUGUUUGGUGACAUGCUUGAACAUUUUGUUAGUUUAAUCUAUAGUCAAAAUUUGGCACGAAAUACAAUGGGGACCAAUAAACCCGAACGGAGGUAGUACUUACCUGAACGGGGUCGACGACUGAUCAAGAAGAGUCGUGGCCUAGGCUAGUGGUCCACAUUGCAAUUGGUGGAUGCGCUGGCUUUCCUUUGUGGUAGAGGGGGUACGCGUCCGCGCGGCCCCUGCCAAUUCUUUAAAUUAAAUUUGAUAUUUUAUAGUUGUAGGGAUUUAUGUGUUUGUUUGGCCCCUGCCAAUUCUCUAAAUUAAACAUUGGACCUUUAUUAUUGAAAUAGUACUAGCAUUGCAGCUGUUGAAGACAUAAGUUGUACUAGCCGAUGUCUGAUUUGGCGUAAUAUCACAGUCGAGGUACCCAAUAUUACACCCAGUUUCAUUCUUGCAACUCAUUUUCCAGCAGGCUUCUAAAAAAAUCGCUACAUUAUUAGAUCCCUUAUAUUAGAAAGAAGGAUGAAAACUUGAGCAACACAUUUGACUUGAAAUUUGGUGAAUUUUUGGAUAAGACGGAACCCUGGGAACCCGAAGACCCCCGCAUCGCCUCGCUCUGGCGACACGGGGGGAGAAAACCUAGCGCCGCCACCUUCUCCCCCCUUCCUCCCUCCAGCAGCGCCGCCGCCAGAGGGCGCCCACCAGCAAAGUCCGGGCCGGCCCCAAGGAAGGCGGCGGCGGGGCGCUAGCCCUUGCCGGUGCAGCACGACGAGGAGGACGGCGGCGUGUCGCGUCGGGGAGCUCUGCGCGGCCCAGAUCUGGUCGGUGCGCAUCCGCGACGGGGAGAUGGAGGCGGCUGGUCGGGCGCCCAUCGGGCUGCUCGUGUGCGCGCGGCUGCGCGGUGGAGUUGCUGGGCAUAGCCCGCGCGGCUUGUGGGCGCAGGGGCGGCGCGGCCCGUGCGGCUUGCGAGCGCUAGUGGCAGCGUGGCGGCGCGGCCGCGCGAGUCGCUGCCGUGAGAUGCUGCGGGAGGACGCGGGCUCCCCCUGGAGGACGGCCCCUGGCUUGGACGCGGUCGGAUCUGGCGAGCCGGCCGGAUCUGGCGGCUGGGGGUCAGGAGGCGGCUUGGCUGGCGACGGGGUCGGCGUUGCUGCUGACCAUAAACCGUGCGGUGGAGGAAAAGGACUUUCCUCUUGCAGAGAGGAGCCCGACCCUCGCGUCGCCCACACCGGGCGACUCGAGGGGAACCCCAGCCGCCACCGACCGCCGCCCCUCCUCCCGGCCACCCCCGCGUCGCCGCCGGCUCCCCGUGCUCUCUCGUUGCGGCCUCGCGCUGGCCGCGGUGCACCUCAACCUCUCCUUGUUGGGUGCGGCGCCCCGGCGUGUUGCUGCUUCUUUGGCCCUCCGUAGCUCGCUUCGCAGCUCAUGGCUGCCUAGAUUGUUGGGCUACGGCGGUGGUUGGCCGACUUGCUCCGGUUGCGAGGUGGAGGAGGCACUGCCGGGUGAAAACUUCAUCGACGAUGACGGCUGCAGCCGCGGCUGCAGCCGCCAUUUUUCCUUCUUGAAGGCAUCGAGUUUGGCAUUGUUUCCCUCCCCCCCAAGCACUCAGAUCCCGAGAGAAAUCUCGGACCCGGGGUUCCCCGUGUCGGAUGGUGUCGACGUCUCUACGCCGUUUCCUCCUUGGGGGCAUCUUCUUGGAUUUCUUCUGCUUCGGGUGGACUCGCCUCUUGCUGCUUCCUCUCCACCUCGGCUUCGAUCCCUGGCUGGCCAUUGUCCUUGGCGACUCGAGUGGAGCUUGCUUGGACAUCCUGGGGUGGCCUCGACGACGCGCUGCCCUUCGACCUCGGCGGCAGUACACCGGUACUGCGCCCUUCGGUCUCGGUGGCGUGUUGCCUUCUCGGCUUCGCUGGCGGCACACCGGUGCCGCCACUCGAACUCGGCUAUUCGACGCUCUUCGUUCGCGCCAGUGAUGCUUCUCGAUAUGCUUCUACUUCGGUGUCUCCUUUCUAUCAGGGAUGUGCUUCAUGGUGGCCCGGACGACGUUUGCGUGGACAUCCUGGGGUGGCCUCGGCGGCACGCUGCUCUUCGACCUCGGCGGCGGUACACCGGUGCCGUGCCCUUCGGUCUCGGUGGUUUGUUGUCUCUUGGCUUCGCCGGCGCACACCGGUGUCGCCGCACGAACUCGGCUAUCCGACGCCCUUCGUUCGUGCCAGUGAUGUUCCAUUGCGAGUUGCUGUUAUGGUGCCCGUCUUUUUCUCCCUAGGCCUUGUUCUGGUUCAUUGUCAGUGGUGGAACAAGCUGCUCAGCGGAGCUUGCUACCUGAGAUGUCGGCCUCCAGGGGUUUCGGUUUGGUUCUGUUGCCAGCCUUCCCCUCCAUUUUGUUUUUCUUUCUUCUAGUUUUGGGCUUCCUCUUGAAGCCAUCCCCUGUUAUUUCAUUUUGUGCCUUUGUGCACUUACUUGUAUCUGUACUGACUGCCAAGUCACUUUCGAGUGGGAAUAUAACAAGCGGUGGGGUUUUUGGCCCCCCCGUCAAUCUCGAAAAAAAAAAUUUGGUGAAUUUUGACAUAUGAAAUGUUGAAAGGUUGCAUAUAAAAGCAUCCAGAUACCAUACAUGACUUUGGUUGCAUAUAAAAAGGUAGCUAACAAGUAAAGUAGCAGGUUGUAUAUAUAUACAGCCCCUUCACAGGCAGUCUUUGCAACACCUCCCGUAGCUUUGACAAUUUCACAAGUUAGAAAGAAUAUGGGAUAUAGUCUUGGAAGAUACUGGGCAAGAAGUAUAAGCGACAAGAAUGUUAUACUUGAUAUUGUGGCCACAUAUGAUUUAUGCGGGACAAGUGGGUUUAGCGGGAUGUCCACAUAUUAUCGUUAUACUUGGUCCUGUAAGAUUUAAAGACUUAGCGUCAUACAACGAUGAACGUAGGUUUCAGAGUACCCGUUCCUGUCUUCAGAGUUCACAUGGAUAUCCUUUCUGCCUUUAGAGCAAACAAAAUUUUAGAACACCAACUGUAUACGUGCAUGAGUGAUGAGUCUGUCAGUUGCUAACAUCCAUGAUCCAAGAGUGCACGAAUUAUUAAAAAGCAUCAGAUGCUAGUUUAUUCAAUGUGUGGUCACCUACUACAAUCUCUAGGACAACAGAUAACCUGCAAAAUUCAGAAUAAGGAAAAUUGGUGCUUCUCAGAAUAAAACUCCUCAGGGCGUGAGGUCCUGCUUGUAACUGAAGCUUCAGGUUCAGGGUUCAGUAGGGUAUCAUCAAUUAUAGACUAGCACAAAUUAGCAGAGAACCCCAACGUAUAUGUCAGCAAGAAAACACAUACUCUUACAGUACCUUGUUCUUCCCUUCUUUGGUCCUCAGGGCUCUCACGCACCUCGUCGAUAUUGCCAACCUCUGGGUGCAAUUGCUCCUUGUGCGGUUGUGCCACACCUGGUCCCCGUCUUCCGGCCCCAACACCCUUCGGUGGUGCUCCCCCGCGCGGCCAUGUCUUCAGCACCUUUUUACCCGUGGACGUCCACGAAGAUGAUUCAUGUGGGCUUGGGUGUGGGCGCGGCGGACAGCCCACGUCUAAGAUUUCGAAGAGAGGUCGUUUUUCUAAUGAACUGGGCCUGAGCGCCGAAAAUCCCAUCAGAAUCAGGCCCACGACCUUGCACCAGGUGCACCAUGGCGCUGCGCUCUUAGAGUCUUGGUUAGUUUGUUUAGUACCACCUCGGCCAGCGAGAGGAGGCAAGGGAGGGAGAGCCUGCUAUAUAAUGAUCCCUCGGUGCACCCUUGCAACAUACUUACCUGGACGGGGUCGACGGCUGAUCAAGAAGAGUCGUGGCCUAGGCUAGUGGUCCACAUUGCACUUGGUGGAUGCGCUGGCCUACCAUCUCCCCAAGUGGGAGAGUGGACGUCGUAAUUUGUGGUAGAGGGGGUACGCGUUCGCGCGGCCCCUACCAAUUCUCUAAAUUAAGUUUUGUCCUUCCUACUUUAGUGGUUCUUUGUGCUGAAUUCACGUUCAGUUUCAGUUACUUUAUCCUGGCCUUGCAGAGUCAGCUUAUAUGGUUUCAAAUUGCUGACAGGUCACUCAAUCUAGUGUGGCAUUUUAGAAAUAGACAGUGUGAUGAGACGCAUAUGCAGCAUUACCUGAAGUUGAUGUUCAAGUGGCCUUUACAGUCUAUACUUUCAACAAAAUAGCAAACCUUGUACAGACAGACAGUCAGUUUAUAGGCUCCAAAAUGGUACAGACUAUGGCAUCAAUGUCAGGAUUUCUUUGAAGCUCAGACAGUCAGUGUAGCGGCACCCUGUGCUGAGGCACCAAGAAUUUUACAAAUGUACAACGUACCGAUGACUAUAUUAUAUAUGUGUACUUUAAACUGUU